rnacentral:lncRNA from 1 species
UAUAUAUAUAUAUGUGUGUGGCAUAUUCCAUUAUUUUACAACAACCAACCCCACUCCAACCCCCCUCCCCCCCACCCCCAAAAAAAGAAAAAGGCACCAACAUGUGAAAGAGUUGAUGUGGAUCUUAUGAAGGGAAUCAAAACAUCGCAUCUUAAUGAUUAGUAAUAAUUAUUUUUUAGUUUUAAAUUUUUUUAACAAGACAUCACAACAUGUGAGAGCAUUUUUAGUAUACAUGUAAAAAUAAUAAUAAUAAAAAAAAAAAUACUACUAAUUUUUGGUUGACAUUGUUAAUAACGUCAUAGAAAAUCUAUUUGCAAUUGAAUCUCUACCUAUUAUCUAAUCCCUUCCAUAACAGUAUCAUUAACUUACAAAAGAUGCAUAAUUAUAAAAUCACAAGCGCUUCCAACUUCCAAAUUCUCCUAAUCUCCCAUAUAACACGAUAGGUAAAUAUAUGAGGUCUAUUAGAUGAAAAACGAACAUAAGAUGUAACAACAAUCAAUUAAUAAUGACGUAGUUGAACAGACUAAUCUGCGAUAUUUAUUAGGCCAAAAUGGACAAUCUAUGUCAUGAUUUUUAAUUUCUACAAAUAUGAUAGUAGAGUCAAGUUCCCACGGUAUGAUGGUGAAGCAAAGUUCAAUAAGGAAGCUAAGUUCUUAGUUCUUACUCAUUAAAGACCCGUAUGCAUAUGAUGAUGGCGGAAGGCAGGUUGACGAAGAAGAGUAAAAUAGAAGGACUAAUAAGCUUUUAGGUUGAUAAGCUUUCGAAGAACAAGUGUGUCUAACACCUUAGGGCCUUAGGCAAAUUCAACAUCGAAAAAAAGAGCAAAAUGCUAGUACAUAAGAUAGAGCACAAAUUUACUUGGUACACACAAUUUUUGGACCGAUAAUGUCAUAAGUAGAUAGGCAAAUCUAUGAGGUUUAUUGGACCAAAGUAGACACAUGUCAUAAACAUGAGUCGUGACAACAAUCAACCAAUCCUUUCACGUAAUUUUUUUAAACUUCUCAGACUUCAAUCAUUUAUUUGUACUUAAUGAAGGUAUGAAUUUAAUUAGUCAGAUCCUAGUUAUUAAAUGCAUACAUAAUUUUUAUUUGAAUCUUACAAAUUGAAAUGGAAAAGCGCCAAAAAUAUCCUGAACUAUUUAAAAUAGAGUAAAAAUAUUCUUCAUUAGUUUUUUGGCUCAAGAUACCCCAUCGUUAAAUUUUUUGCUCAAAAUUACCCUCCCUCUAACAGUUGGACACCAACCAUGCUAUAUGGACAAAAAAAUGUCACUUGAAAAGUCCGCAUGAAAAAUCCUUCACUUAAUAACCAUCGGCCCAAUUUUAAAAUCCAACCCGAACCGACCCAAGAGGCAAAAGUAAUAAAUGUGUAAAUCGAUCAAUAACCUUGCAUUCUUCAUCGAUCAGGCCGAACAGAAAUAGAGAGUCUCAAAUGCUAUCAACUCUACUGAAUCAUAUUCCAGGUCACUUGAGUGAUUUAUUUUUUAUUUUCAUGAAUUUUGAUUGAUCUGUAUAAUCAGUUUAAACUCCUUUUAAUAUUUCAGAUUCAAAAGUGUACUUUAUAACCUGCUCGAUGGUUCCUCGUACAAUGCAACGUUUGAGGAUGACCGCCGAGCUAUUAUUGGAGCUCGGUAUAUCUUCUUUUCACCAUAGAUAAGUUGAUAUACAAAAUUGUCGAACAUGUAAGUACAUGUGUUUUUCAUUUUCUCCUUGUUUGGUGUAUGCAACUGUCUUGUACAAUUUUAUGUUUCUGCAUCUCAUGCAACUUCAGACGAUAGCAAUAAAGGUUGUUGAUCGAUUUACCUAUUUAUUACUUUUGCCUCUUGGAUCAGAUCAACUUUUAAAAUUGGGUUGAUGGUUAUUAAGUGAGAAAUUUUUCACAUGGACUGUCCAAGUGGCCUUUAUUUUCAUGUGACAUAUUUGGCGUCCAAUUGUUAAAGCGAGGGGUAAUUUUGAGCCAAAAAUUAACAAAGGGUUAUUUUGAGCCAAAAAAUUAAUGAAGGGUUUCUUGCUUCAAUUUGAAUAGUUCAGGAUUAUUUUAGGCUUUUUUCGUAAUUGAAAUCUUAAUCAGUAAGUGCAUUUUAUUUUAUUUUACAAUCUUUUAAAGGGUCUGAGUAUACAUAAUUGAUUACGAAUUAUAAUAAAGUCUUAGUAUCAUUAAAAUAUUGCCCAUUUAAGAAUUUAUGCAAGAAUGACUUUUUACCACAACUCUAUCCAUUUUAUCAUAGUAGUUGUAAUGACCCUUCAGGUUAUUUUCUAUAUUUUCAUACCUUUUCACUGUUUAGAGCUUUCUUAUGGUUGUCCCAAGUCAUUUAUGACUUUUUGGAGUUGACAGUUUAGUUACCGGACAGUUUAUUUAAUUUGUAGAGCGAAUUCUCUAUUUUGAAGUCUUCACUGGUAAGAAUUGGCUAUCGGACAUUAGCUUUAGGUUAACAACCUCGUAUGUCAAUUCUGACUAUUCUGUCAGAUUCAGACACCAAUAUUAGGCUAGGAGGACCUUUGGUUGGGAUCUCAAGACUUUUAAAAACGUUUUAGGUUAUUGGACGGAUUAUGAUAAAAGUGACCUUUAGGCGUGGGCCCCAUAUUCCAUCUAAAUGACUUCGCAUGAAAAUUUAAAUGGCAUCGCUGAGUCCAAAGUGUUGAAUUUGAUAGUAUAGCAUAGUUCAUUUGCAUUCACGAAAUUCUUAAUGAAUUUCGAGGGGUCGAUGAAAACUUGACAAAAAUCAAGUUUCAGCUGGUGCAACCGCUUAACCGGACCUUUGAUCACUAAAGCGGUGGUCGCUUAAACAGCCAAGACGGACCCUGCCCAAUAUCUUUAGUGGAGACCUGGCCGUUUGAGCGGAGGUCAACCUAGGGUAAGGAUUGCUUAAGCGGCGAUUGCUUAAGCGAUCAAAUGACCGCUUAAGCAGUAACUCCAGAGACAUUUAUUUUAGCCUUCACCCAUUUUCCUCCCAUUUAUCUAAAGCUCCAAGUCCAUCAAAAUCCUAGAAAGCUUAGAAAAUUGAAAACAUUUAUUCUUGGGUGAUCGUGGGGUGUUGGUGAGUUCGAAAAAGUCAUUUUCUCAUCGUAAUUCUUGUAAGUUUCUGUCUAAUACUUGAAUUAAUUAUUCGAUUUAGUCUUAAAUUUCUAGUUUCUUGAUGGGUUGAUUUUAGUGUCGUUUGAGCUAAGAAUUUACUUAUUAUUUUAGGAUAAAUGAUCCUUGAGCAUAGAGGGAUUUGUUGAUGGUUUUAAAGUUGAAUUUUUGCAAGAGAGGGUCAUAUGAAAUUUUGACCCGAUUUUAGAUUCGAAGCAAUAAAAUGUAAUAUGGGUAUCAUUAUUCUCGUAUUAAAGUGUAGAACACCAUUUUGAUAGUGUGGCAUCGUGUGGAGGCUUCUCGAAAGGAAAAAAACUCUAAUUUAGCUAGUUUAGUGGACAUUCUUUGACGCCCAAGUAGGCUAGGCUUACUCUUCUUAUAGAUUGAGCUUCAUUGUGGUAUUGGUAUGAUAUUAUGCUAUUCUUAGAUUGGAAAAUUACGACUCGAUUGUAUAUUUAGCAAAAUUCAAGGUUAUUUAGCCAUUAGUGAGCUAAACUUAGGUGAAUUUGACCUAUCCAUGUGUUCCUUAGAUUGGAUGGAUGUCUUAGGACUUAACGAGAUUUACUUAGCAUCUUGUAGCGGGACUUCAAAAUUUUAGUCUAGUUUUGAAUAGAAAUUACCUUAGAAUAGACUUUCAAGGUCUAGAAAUGGGCCUAUCCAACCCUCUUUAGGUCAAUACUAUAUUAACUCCAUUUAGACUUAAAAGGCCUUCUUCCGUUAUCCUAUUUAUAUUUUUGAGCCUAGGGAGAAUUUAGACAUUUUUUGACUUUGAUUAGGCUUGUACCUUGAAUUUAUUUAAGACCAGUUCGAGUCCGACAAUUAUGAUAUUAAGACCUAUUUGAGUUCGGUAAUUAUGAUACUAUGACCUAUUUGAGUCUAGCAUUUAUGAUACUGUAUUCAGUUCAAGUCCGACAUUGAUGAGUUACUUAUGAUGGUUAAGGAACCGAUUCGAAUUCGGUGUUUAUGACAUGGGAGACUUCACAGUUACCAUUUUGAGGUUCAGAUACUUUAGGAUUAUUACUGCCACUAUUCUUUCUUGAUUGCAUCUAUCGGGCUUAUAGGGGCUCGGGUGAAUUAUUUACUCUUGUGGCAUCUUUUAGGCUUAGGGGAGGGGAGGAGGGGUCCAAUUAGACUAUAGUUAGUUACAUUCUUUAAAUAUUAUUUAUUCAGUGAUUGUUUCAGUAUUUGGAGCAUUGUUUAAGUUUUGCCCGCUUUUGCUCUUUGACUUUAGCUUACUAACUCACAUUUUAUUGGACUUUUAUUAUCAUUUAGCUCAGUUGGUCGAUGAUGCCUACUGAGUACCCGUUGUUUUGGUACUUAUACUACACUUCUGCAUUUUUCUUUGAUGCAAAUAUGAGUACUAGAUGCACUCGCUGAAGUCUAUACUAGUGUUGGUCACAACUCGAAAAUACGGUGAGCUUUCAGAGUCGGAAUUGACCUUUUCUCCUUUUUUUUUAUUUUAUUUUGAUGGUAUUUCUGUUCGAGACUACUAUAUAUUUGCUACAAUUAGUACUCUUAUUCUUUUUCUAGAGGCUCUUGUACUGACCUUACUAGGUCAUGGGAUAUUGCUACUCCUUUCUUUAUUUAUCUCUAGUUAUGCUAUCAUUCUUAUACAGUAUGACUUGUAAUUGAAUUACUUCCGUAAAUUCGGUAUUUAUUCUACUUUUCACCAACUAGCCCAUUACUUGUCUAUUCAGGUUACAGUUUAGCUUAUCUACUGGCAGAUUAAAAGUAGGUGCCAUCAUGACUCUUGAAAUCAGAUCAUGACAACAGUCUUCACCCAACAUUAUCAAACUACCUCUAUCUACCAUCCACAAUAUUACCAUUAUCAUCACCAUUACUAUGUACAAUAUUCAAUCAUCACAAUCAGUUGUUUCCAUAGAAACCAUCAAUCACCACCUAUCGAACUCGAUAAAUAAUAACGAAAAUAGCUAACCUCUAUAGCAGAUACCGUAUUUGCCACCGUUGAAAUCAAUGAAGCAAAUGAUUGACUCAUCAUAUCAAGAAACAGAAAAUAGCAAAAAUUUUGAAUUCACAGCUAAUAGCAUUGAUUCAAUUGAAAUUGACAUAAUAGAAAUAUUUUAUCUGUUAAGAAGGAUUCCCCAAAUACCUGAGCGACCAUCAUAUACCAUCAACCACAACUAUCAAUCACCACCAUUAUUAGCUAGAACUAUCAACCACAAUUAUCAACCUUAACUACCAACUACACCAUCACUAACCAUCAUUAAUCACUAUUGUCAGCUACCACUAACAUUAGCUACUAGUCCAACCAAAUCAUCUUUCAACACCGGUUUUUCAACACCAAUCCACACCCAAAAUCACCACCAUUAAUCGUACCACCACCAACUACCAUGUAACACCCCAUAUUUUUGUGUGUAUUUGUUCUAUUUAUAUGGAACUUGAUAUAUCUUUGUGGUGUAAAUGGAGUUCUAAAUACUUUUCAUGUGGUUUAAUGUGACCAAGUAUAUACAAAUUUUUAGUUAGUUAAAGAGUUAAAAACUAAAAAUUGAGUAUUUUCUUAAGGUGCUUUCUUGACUUACUUAAGCUAGUAGGUGGAUCACUUACUUGAGGUAUUUGGACCAAGUUAAUGAGAUCAAGACCAUGUAUUAGAUUAGGCCUUAUAUUAAUGUACUAAUUUUAGCCCAAAUUAAGUAAAAGAGAAAGAAAAUGGAGAAAAGAGGUCCAACACUCAAAUCUGUCAAAAUACCAAGUUAAAGAGAAGAAAAGGAGGAAAAAUUGGUAGCUAAGGCCCAAUAAUUUUUGAUACACAAAGGCUCAAUAUAUUGGUCAAGUGUAUACAUCAAUUACUUGAAAAAAUAUGGCCUAAAAGUAGUCAAUAAAUUCGUCCAAGGGCAGCUCCUAUUUAUGGAUUGAAAUCAGAAAUUUUUCUCAUUUUAACUUGGACAAAAUUUCCAGCCUUCUAGGUUUUUCUCUCUUGUUCUCUCUUGGCUAUGAAACAACACUAUAAUUCCACAAGGGUUCUUGGGAUUGACCUUCCUUCCAAGCUAAAGGUAAGUGAACAAUUCAUGAGCUUGUACCAUGGAAACUAUGUGUUCUUUAAGAUUAAUUUUCGGACAACCCUCUCUAUAAGUUUGGGCAGUCCAUUGUUCUUAGUUAUUAAGGGAUUUCUCUUUUCUCUUUUGAUGUAUGUGUGAAGGGAUUGAGCUAUUGAGGAAAUAAACAUUAAGACACUAAAAUACCAAGAAAAUCAAGGUAUGGUUGCUGUCCAUUUUUGUCCUUUUUUCCAUAUACAUGUGUUGAUAGAGGAUUACACAUAUUAGGUUGCUAUUAAAGGACGAUUGGAGUGUUGUUGCGAACUGUUUUGUGUGUUUGUGUUGUGGGCUGCCUGGUUGCUAUUGGUAAAAGGUGUGAUUAGUUUGUAUUGAAUUAUAGAAGAUGGAUAUGGUGAUACACCACUGAAUUUAUGAUUGUGUAUGUCUAUUGCUCAUUUCAUUUUGUAUGUAUUGAUUGGAAUGUGAAAUGAAGUCGAGGUUAUGUCGGGGGAUAUUAUAUGAAUAUGUAUGGUAUGUGGCUGUAAUUGAAGUAUAAGAGGGUUAAAGUGACACCCUUUGUUGAUAAAUUAAGGUUUUACUUCCCAGCCACUAGUUUGGUGAAGUUAAAUAGCCAAAAUGUGACGUUUGGUUGCUAAUAUUAGUUUGUCAUAUAUUUCAUUGUAGAUAAGUAAUCUAAAAGUGCGGGAAGUCGAGUUGGGCUGGUAUUGGAGUUUUACAACCAGGUAUGUAAGACAUACUCUAUUUUGCAUUCUUGGCGUGAAAACGGAUACUUGUUCCAUCGAGUAAGCUUCCAAGGUCAUCCAAAAACACAUGCUACAUAAUAGCACCUAUGAUAUCCCAUGUUACUAAUGAACUUAUUCCCACUCUCUAAUGUGUUAAACCACCUCGAUACAUGCUUACUACCUAUCCUAAAUGUCUAUUUUCACUAGUAAAUUUCAGAAUUUCUCCGGUUACUCAAAUAAGACCCAUGUGUUAUUUUUAGCUCCUAAACACUUCAUUAGUGUGGCAACAACUCCUUACUUCAUUUUUAUUGCAUUAAUUGCCUAUUUACAUGUCUCUUAUUGAUAGAUCAUUGUUUCAAGGUACCAUAAUGUUAUUACCACCGAAGUAACAAUCUCAAAAGGCUAAUUAAACUAAGUAACGAAAAUCUGUAAAAUGGGUGGCAGCUCAGGGGCAUAAGCCUAGCAUAGGCCGAUCCCGAUACUUUAUAUGUAGGUGGCAGCUCAGGGGCAUAAGCCUAGCAUGAACUGAUCCUGAUUUGUUAUUUACCACUGAUCAGCUGGUCAUUUGUAUCAUAUGGAUUACAAAGAUAAUGAAGUAAGAAGGUAAAAGGAAGAAAGAAAUGUAAUGUACCCCGUUCCACAAGUAAAUGUAAAGGUGGUCUACUAGCACUAUUCUUACACUUGUUCUAUAUUUUUAUUGAGCCUUUAUGUCAUGUAUUGUUACUUUUCCACCUUGCAUACUCAGUAAAUUUUUUCCGUACUGACUCCCCUUAUGGGGGGACUUAUAUUUCAUGCUACAGGCACAUGUGCUUCGGCAAACACGCCUCCUCAGUAGGAGCCCAGGAUAUCCAUUUGCUAUUGGUGAGCUCCAGUUUGCUUCGGAACUUUUCGAGUCGGUUCCAUAUAUUUUUGGUAUUGUAUAAAAGUUAAUAGUAUGGCGGGGGUUUGUCCUGACUGUCACACCUCUAUUAAAUAAGGAUUAUUUUAAUUACAGAGUCGCCACUUGGAAUUGAGUUAUGGUGUUCCAAGUCACCUUUUUGAAUCCCUAAUCAAAAGGAAAUGACUCUUUGUUUGUCUGCGAAAAUAGAAGACCGGGUAAGGAAUUCUGUUGAUCGAGGGGAAGGUGUGAGGCACCCCUCGAGUCCCGUGGUUCUAGCACGGUCGCUUUUAUUAACUUAUACUUAACUUUAACUAUUUUGGAUAAAUUAUGUUUGCCGUCCUGAUUUGCUCAUUUUCUUAUACUAAAACUCGCCUAUUAUUUCAUAUUAAAUAAAUUGGUGAAAGUUUAAAAAUAUUUGUCAAGUUAAUUUUUUUUUUAAAUAUUUACCAAGGUGUAUUUUUACAUCCUUGUAUUUUUAAAUGUCUCAAAAAAAGAUGCGUACGCCGCAUUCUUAACCGAGACCAAAAAAACAAGCCUAAAUUUGUCUAGCGUUAAAGGCAUUAAUUUCGUCUCUUAUAAACUCAAGACAAUUUUAUCUUAUCUAUUUUAUAAAGGGAGAUGAAUAAAAUCAUAUAAUAUAAUAACGUUAUAAAAAUCAAGUAUCGAUUCCACAUAGACUCAAGUUAAAUGACUAUCUAAUUCUACUUUCACUAUUAAAAUUAAUUAGACAGACAUAACUAGUGAAAAAGUUUUUUUUUUUUUUUUUCAUUUUUUUCACAAAAAUGUCCAAAAGUCAAAAUAUAGGCUGUAAUGUAUGGCCAACUUUUUAAACUAAAUUUCUAGUAACUUUUAAGGCACAUACAAAGUUCAAAUUAAAAAUUGAAAGAUAAUAAAUAUUUAAAUCUACUCAUUUUUCUAUCUCACACUAGCUAGUCAUAUUGAUAACCUUGAUUCAUCUCUUACUUUCUGUUUUUUUUCUUCUUUUUUUAAACUGUUCGUUCCUUUUAAAAAAAAAAUAAAAAAAAUAUAAGCUUUUAUAUAAUUCACUAAAAAACAAAACUUAAAAUUAAACAAAGAUAAAACAACAAAUGGAUAUUUUUUUAAAGAAAACGUAACUUUUUUUUUGUUUUCAUCUAUAAAUUUUAAUAUCUAUAAUUAACAAAAAAAAAUCAGCAAUGAGAUAAAACAAAUCACCAAGGAGAUAAGAAGACAAUUCACAACAUAAUAAUUAAAAAUCAUUGUUAAACUGAUUAAGCAUACAUUUUUACUUAAUACAGUAAAUAAAUAACAUCACAUAUUAAACUAUGGAAUCAUUUACAUAACUUUGAACACGAUUCGAUUCACUACAACAAUCAUACUAUAAAUAAUACAAACCCGAAUAAGAACCUGUUGGUGAACUAGGGCAGAAAAUCGAACGUCGUCACCGAAAACUCGAACGAAAACUUCGAAUUCAACUUUCUUCUUUUCUCUUUUUUAUUUUCUGAUGUUUUUUGAAUAUUUCCCUCACUGUAUUUUUUAACUCUUUUUUUUUUUUGUCUCUGGUUUUUUCUCUGUCUCAGUAUCUGUUGUAAUGUUUGAUGAUGAUAGUAUACGUUAUUUUUAUGAUGUUGUUCUGGUGUGGGAGAGUUCCUUAAUACAGGGUUUGUUGAGGGGAAAUUGAGGGGGAGUGGUUACUUAUCAGAUAAGGAUAAUUUUAAAUUUUGAAUCUUUUUUUUUAAGAAGAUAAUUAAUAAUAACAAAUAAAAAUAAAUAAUAAAUAAUAAUUAAAUAAUAAUAAUAAAAAUAAUAGAAUAAUAACUAAUUAAUUUUAUAUUUAAGAAAAUACAAUAAAAGUUUAUAAAAUUGUCAAAAAUAAAUAUAAUUAAGAAAGUAUUAAAACUACUUAUUUUUAUUAUAAUUAUUUNNNNNNNNNNNNNNNNAAAAUAAAAUAUUUUAAAAUUAACUUUAUUUAGUUAUUUAUUUUUUAACUAAAAAUUUAUUAAAAAUAAAAUAAGAAUCAAAAUAACAUUAGAUUAAAUAUACAUAUUUAAUACCGAAAAAUAGGUUAAAACUCAAGGAGGGUCAAAAAUCACGUGUCUACAUUUUGCUCCUCUUUGUGUGAAAUCUCGAAGAGUUUUCAUACAAAGAAGUAGACAAAGAGGUGAUUUUUGAUCCUCCGAUUAUUCAAAAAGUGAGAGAAAAAAAUAAAAAAUAAAAAAUAAAAGAAAUGAAAAGAUGCGACCGAGUCCUGGUUUUGGACCGCCUACAUAUCCCGGGUUAUAAGGGAAUCAAGUCACGUGUAGUUCAAAGGUAAAUUGGUGAGAGAACGAGUUAAAGAUCGAGUGUGGUUCCAUCGAGUUUUCGAUUGAUGACUUCUACCUUUUACACUCGAAGGACUAACAAAAAUCAAAAAAUGAAAAAUACAAGUGAAAAUUACAAUCUCUAGAAUCUUGAUUCUAAUCUUCGUGACUUGAACUUGAAAAUUCACCCUAUUCUUCAGGCGACUCUUGGCUUGCUUUCCCUUCACCCUGUUAUUCAGGUGAGCUCCUAACUUGUUACUUCUUCACCCUGUUCUUCAGGUGGGCUCCUAACAUGUUACUUCUUUACUCUGUUCUUCAGGCGGGCUUUUGAUUUGUUCCUUCUUCACCCUGUUCUUCAGGUGGGCUCCUGAACUUCUCUUUUUCUUCACCCUGUUCUUUAGGCGGUCUCCUAGACUUUUUUUUUCUUCACCCUGUUCUUCAGGCGGGCUCCUGGACUUCCAUUUUUCUUCACCCUGUUCUCGAGGCUGGCUCCUAGACUUUCUUUUUUUCUUCACCCUAUUCUUUAGGCGGGCUCCUGGACUUACAAUUUCUUCACCCUGUUCUUUAGGCGGGUUUCAGAACUUGCUACUUCUUCAUCCUGUUCUUUAGGUGGGCUCCUGAACUUUCUUUAUCUUCACCCGGUUCUUUAGGAGGGCUCCUGGACUUCUAUUUUUCUUAACCCUGUUUUUUAGGCGGGAUCCUAGACUUCCCUUUUCUGAUUUUUUAAAAUAUGUUGCUGAACUCAAAAUAAAAGGUCAAACAGAAAAAUAACAUCCAUUCUUCAGGAGAGUCCUGGACAUAAAAUAAAUUCCCAUUCUUCAGGAGGGUCCUGAGCAGAAAGUAAAAUUCAAUAAACACGAACAGAAUGUUUGCCCCAGUUUGUACUUAGAAAAUGACUCGACUAAAAGGUUGCCUUAUAGGAAUCAAGGAGAGUGACUCGACUAAAAGGUACAUCUUAUAGGAAUCAAGGGGAUGACUCAACUAAAAGGUUCGUCUUAUAGUAAUCAAGGGGAUGACUCGACUAAAAGGUACGUCUUAUAGGAAUCACAGAGAGUGACUCGACUAAAAGGUUUGUCUUAUAGGAAUCAAAGGGAUGACUCGACUAAAAGGCAUGACUUAUAGGAAUCACAAAGAGUGACUCGACUAAAAGAUUCGUCUUAUAGGAAUCAAGGGGGAUGACUCGACUAAAAGGUACGUCUUAUAGGAAUCACGAGGAGUGACUCGACUAAAAGGUUUGUCUUAUAGGAAUCAAAGGGAUAACUCGACUAAAAGGUAUGUCUUAUAGGAAUCACGGGGAGUGACUUAACUAAAAGGUUCGUCUUUUAGGAAUCAAGGGGAGUGACUCGACUAAAAGAUACGUCUUAUAGGAAUCACAAGGAGUGACUUGACUAAAAGGUUUGUCUUAUAGGAAUCAAUGGGGAUGACUCAACUAAAAGGUACGUCUUAUAGGAAUCACGAUAAUGACUCGACCAAAAGGUACGUCUUCUAGGAGUGAAUGUUCAAGUUAGGAAGUGCUUCAUCUAACAAAUGAAAACUGACUUAUUUAUACUAGGAAGUGUGUCUCCUAGGGGUUGAAUUUUUACCAUAAUUUGAUUAUCAAACCUGUGCAGCAACAUUAUUUCCUGCACUUGUGGAAUGAGGCAUUGUAGCUCUUGGUAUUUAUGCUCUGAAGUCUUUAAUUUGAAGGUAACAUGUUUCCUGCUUCAUCAAAGAAAACUUGUGAGUUCAAAAACAUGGUGGAAGGUUUGUGGCUUUAGCUUCCAUUACAAUUACUCUUGCUCUCGUCACAUUUAACCCAGCUUCCAACCAUUAGCAUAUGUCACCGACUAGCUGCAUCGUUCACCCAAAUUCAGAUUAUUAGAAGUGACUCUGAAACAAACACAGUAUCUUUGCUUUUCCAUGCUCCUCAAAUAAACCUUUUAAACCUUGGUAUUUUCAUGAGUUUUCAGACUUGUCUGUUGACAAAACUUUUCUGCAUGCCUUAUUUCGGCUCACAAUCAUGUCUCGUUCAUGUGUUGGAUUUUUGUCUUGCUUUGUGCAAUUGAAGAAGCUAGUAGCAAGUUUUAAAAUCUUUUCUCACUUAUUUUGACACACACUCAACUCAAAGACACGAGAAAAAUGACAAUAAUUUUUAUUUGAUAACAAAUGUACCAAAAAACAACAAAAAUAGAAAAAUUAAAAAAAAAAAAAGGAAAAACAAUAGGCAUUUUUUUUUUAAAAAAAAAAAGAUAGAAGAAAUCUUAUUUGGGUGUGGUAACCGAUUUCAGCAAUCAUGACAUGCAUUUUGAAUUAAACAACCUGAUCUACCCACACUAAUCAUUAUCAACUUUUGUCCACUUAUUGAACUUGAAAUUGAGCCAAUCUUGAAUAUGCUCCCUCUAGAUCACAAUCCUCCUUCGGCUAGUGGCACCUCAAUGGAUUUUUGCCAACACCUAUCUCAUUUUUAUUUCUUUCUUAUCUCACUAUUUCUUUAUGGUGCCUAAAAGGGUUUUCACCAAUAAGACACUCAUUUUUUUCAUCAUCAUUUUUUUUUCAUUUUUUUUAGAAUUAAUACCCAUCAUACGAAACAUCAUGCACCCAUAACAUGUUUAGCCUUGACAUUCUCAAAGAUCGAUCUGAAGGUCUUUCUUUGGUUGUAACUUGGCUUUUGGAAAAGGUUAGAAAGAAAGGGUGGCAUCAGGCUAAAAAAUUUACAUAAUAUUGGGUGAAAUAUACAACUUUUGGAAUCGACUCUUUUAAAGAAAAUAAACUUUGCCCCAGUUUUAUUUCAUUUUGGGUAAUUAGAAUUUUCUUUUGAUUGGAUCGAACCCCAGAGUAGGGCUGCCUACGUAUCUUGUCAUAACAAGAAUCAGGUCAAACGUAGUUCAGGAAUCUUGUUCUUUUGCUUGAUUUUCUUUCCUUUUCUUGACUUUUCUCUUCUUUUUUUUUUUAGAGAGAUAGAGAUAUUUUUUCCGACUUCAUUUUUUCUUGACACUUUUCUGACUCUAUUCUUUUUCUUGACACUUUUAUUUUUUUUAAUUUUUUUUUUCAAACUCUAUUUUGAUUUCAAAAGAGGGAUAUAAAAGAAAUAAAAUAAAAACUCAAAAGAGGUAAUUAAGGAUGACACAACAUUUGGAUAGCAGAAUGAAAUGCCUUCGUCAUAUCAAUCCUUAAAAACGCAAGUAUAUAACAUGAAAUCUAGGAAUGGAACAUGAAGAUCAUACACACUUUUUUGAAUAUUGACCAUGACUAAGCACAUGCAUGUGUGUCACUUCUUUUAAACUUGUAAACGAUACAGGUUUACUUGUAUUGUGCUUUCCUCACAACAGAUGACAUCUUUUUUUUUUCUUUUUUAGCUAACUUCCUUUUGCUUCUUCUGACAAUAGAAACUAUAUAUCUCUGGUUGAUCUCAUUAAAAAAUGCUUGAGUUGAACCUUCUCAUUAAAGAUCAAGUCAUUUUUUAUUCGCAAAUUGAUUGUCUCAAAACAUUCUAGUGAGGAUGUAACUAGGUCUCCAAAACAUCUCAACACUUUACUUAUUUUUCUUACAUUUUUCUUUCAACUCUAGGUUCUUGAACGAAUGUUUCAGCAUUAGAUUGGGUUUUAAGGUCUAGCUGAAAAUUCAACAUACUUAUCAUAUUACCAGAAUCACCAUAGAAAGAGCUCUUUGAAGAAAAGAAAAGAAAAAAUAAUAUAUAUUGAGAAAUAAAAAUAAAAAGAACACACAUUUUGUUGAACACACAUUUUGUUGACAGAAAGAUAGAAGAGUUUGAAUAAAACGAUAAAAAAAAUCAGACAAGAUAGGUCCUAAACUACAAUCCUAAAAUAAUUCGAGUAACAAAAAAGAAAACAAAACAAACUACUUGACCUCUUCCUAGUAGGGAGAAGGGUGACUUCUCAAUUGCUCAGCCUGACAACUUAGCCACUGAUUUGCAUAUCAACAUGACUAGAACUUCCACCAUGAUCAGACACAUUCCCUUCAACAAAUAAGUUCUGGGUCCCCAUACUUGACUCAUUAUUUCCUACAUAUCGUGCAGUAUCACGUGCUGGCCAAGAACUCUGUGGGACGGUUGAGGUGUCAAUGUUUUGUACCACAAUCAAUUUUUCUUUAAUCAUUUUCUUUAUUUCUCUUUUCAAAAUAUGACAUCUUCAGUACCGUGACCUUGUAUAUUAGAAUGAUAAGCACAUCGUACAUUAGGAUCAAAAUAUUUGGAAUGUGGAUCGGGAAUAUACCCAGGGAUGGGAGUAAUCAUGCCCCAUUGCCUUAAUGUAUGGAACAAACUGGUAUAGGACUCCCCAAUUGGCGUGAAAUUAUCCUUUGCCUUCCUCCUCAUUGCAAACUCUGGCCUCGGAUGAAACUUGAAUUUAGAGGUUUCUUGAUAAAUUUUUCAGGGUCGAGGACGACGUUGAGGGACCGGGACACGCCAUUGUGGAUAGGAAGAUGGAUGAGAAUACGACUGUGCAUUGUUCAAAGGAUAUUAGGGAAAUGGAAUGGGAUUUCUUGGAUUUUGGAGAAAGGAACCUUGUUGCAUCUGGUUGUGUGGAUUUAAUAUGUAAGCUCGGGAUUGAGGCUGGCAGUAUUGGUGGGUUGGACCUUUCAAACUCUGCUUUGGCCCUGGCAUGACAAUAAAUGUGUUUUCUUUCUUCUUUCCUUUUUCAAUUUCCCUUGAUCGAUUGCAGUAUCGUCCCAAAUGCUUCACAGAAUCCUCUUGUCCAUCAUGUUCCUUAAAUUUCGAUAUCUCAAAGUUUUGAAGAAGGUUGACACUUGAAGACAUGCCCCAGUCUUUAAUAGUGGGGAACGGAGGAGGAGGAUGCCCACUGGCCCAAGCUCGAUACAUUUUCAUCAUUUGUUGCCUUAGUCUCAAAUUCUUUUUCUUUAAACUCUCAUUUUUGUGACUCUUUGUGUGAUCCAUGAAGUCACUUAAUAUAUCCUUGUUGGACACAGUUAAACCUUCUUUAUAUUUGGUGUGAUAUGGAGGACCAGCCAAAAUACCACAAACCAACCACCUUAAACUAACUGUAUAAGAAAUAACAAAGGCGUCAGAAUAUAAUUUUUUCAAAAACUCUUUUUCUUUUAUCUACUUUUUUUAAGAGAUCAUCGAAUCCUAGAAGGGUUGCCUACGUAUCUCACUAAAAUGAGAAUUAGGUGUGCGUAGUUCUCGAAAAUUGGAGAUGCGAAGAAAUAUAGCUUUUUUUCUCUUUUUUUUUUUGAAUAAUGAGAAAUUUAUUUAUUUAUUAAAUAAUAUUUUUUCGUUUUUGAAAACAACUUUUUUUAUUUUUAGUUUAAAAGGAAAGACAACCAUUUUUUAAGAAGAUCGCCAAAUUCAUUAAGGACAGCCUACGUAUCUCAAUAAAAUGAGAAUCAGGUGUGCGUAGUUCUUGAAAAUUAUGUCGUACAAAAAUCAGCCUCAAGACCCCUAGAGGUUCAAGGCUGUUAAGAUUUAUAUAAAAAAAAAUUAUAAAAACUUAGCCUCAUGAUCCAUAAAGAUUCAGGGCUGUUAAGAUUUAUAUAUUUUUAUUUAUUUUGUAAAAAUUUAGCCUCAUGAUCCCUAAAGAUUCCGGACUAUUGAAAUAUAUAUUUUUAUUUUUGGAAAAACUUAGCCUCAUGAUCCCUAAAGAUUCAGGGCUAUUUAAAUACAUAUACAAAAAUUGAAUUUGAGGAUAAGAAAAAUAAUUAUGAAAGUAAUCAUAUUUUCAAACUAUUUCCCAAUAAAGCUAUGAAUAAUUUUUUAAAAGAUAGGGUCGUAUCCUGGGAAGGACUUCCUACGUUUCCCACUAAGAUGAGAAUCAGACCCUCGUAGUUCAUGAAAUAUAUGUCGUACAAAACUUAGCAUCAAGACCCUUAAAUGUUCAGGGUUGUUAAGAUUUACAUCUAUUUUUGUUUUAUAAACACUUAUUCUCAUGAUCCCUAAAGAUUCAGGGCUAUUAAGAUUUGUAUUAUUUUUUAUUUUUUAUAAAGCUUAGCCUCAUGAUCCCUUAAGAUUCAGGGCUACUAAGAUAUAUAUGAAAAUUAAUCUUAAGGAUAAGAAAAAUAAUUAUGAAAUUAUUCAUAUUUUUAAAAACAUCCCCCAAUAAAUCUAUGAAUAAUUUUUCAAAAGAUAGGGUCGUAUCCUGGGAAGGACUUCUUACCUAUCCCACUAAGAUAUGAGAUUCAGACCCUUUUAGUUCAUAAAAAUCAUAAAACUAUGUUACUAAAAAAAUUUUCUUUUAAAAAUAAUUUUUUCCUUUAAAAAAAUGAUUCACCAAAUGUAACGGUAAUUUAAUCUCUUGCAUUUUAAUGUUGCCUAAAAGCUGGUCAACACGCAAAUAGUCUUCCAAAUAAAUGUCAAAGAGCACGUAGGAUGCACAUAUUGGUCUUUAUAAAGUAGGUCACCAGUCCUAGACAGACUCAGCACCUGUGCCGAGUCCCGCUAAGUCAUAUGAUACAAAUAAAGCGGUAACUAAUAGGGAUAACCAGAUUCUAAGUUUACAGUUCUUCUAAGUUUAAACCUAAUAGGGAUAGGUGUCUAGACUGGCUUACCCGAGCAGACACUCGAACCGGGGAGGGACAAAUUGAUCGGUAGCAGGGCAACACCACCUUCGUUGUCGAUCCAAACCCCGACUAAUAUGUGUGACUAUAUCCUUCACCAAGUACCUUAACACUCCGGUUAUCUCAAAAAGAAGGUGGGAUGCAUAUGUUGAAUUCCCUCUAUCCUAUUUUAGAGACUUAGAGAGGGUACGUGGGAGAAGACAAUAUAUAAUACAGUUCAAAUAAUAUCAAAGCAAUAAAUAAGCGACAAGUAGCACAUAAGGCCAACAAACACAAUAUCAAUAAUAAUUAAAGCAAGUAUAAGUAAACAUAAAAAGCUCAAAUUCUUAUUAUCCCCAGUAGAGUCUCCAGAGAUGUCACACCCCUUUUUCGCCCGAAGAAAUCGGAGUCGAAGGGUUUUUCCAAUUAAAGUGAUGGUUUUGAAUAAGAAUUAUUUUAAUUACAGAGUCGCCACUUGGAAUUGAGUUAUGGUGUUCCAAGUCACCUUUUUGAAUCCCUAAUCAAAAGGAAAUGACUAUUUGUUGGUCUGCGAAAACAAAAGACCGGGUAAGAAAUUCUGUUGACCGAGGGGAAGGUGUGAGGCACCCCUCGAGUCCCGUGGUUCUAGCACGGUCGCUUUUAUUAACUUAUACUUAGCUUUAACUAUUUUGGAUAAACUAUGUUUGCAGUCCUGAUUUGCUCAUUUUCUUAUACUAAAACUCGCCUAUUAUUUCAUAUUAAAUAAAUCGGUGAAAGUUUAAAAUAUUUGUCAAGUUAUUUUUUUUUUAAAUAUUUACCAAGGUGUAUUUUUACAUCCUUGUAUUUUUAAAUGUCUCAAAAAAAAGAUGUGUACGCUGCAUUCUUAACCGAGACAAAAAAAAAAAGCCUAAACUUGUCUAGCGUUAAAGGCAUUAAUUUCGUCUCUCAUAAACUCGAGACAAUUUUAUCUUAUCUAUUUUAUAAAGGGAGAUGAAUAAAAUCAUAUAAUAUAAUAACGUUAUAAAAAUUAAGUAUCGAUUCCACAUAGACUCAAGUUAAAUCACUAUCUAAUUCUACUUUCACUAUUAAAAUUAAUUAGACAGACAUAACUAGAGAAAAAGUUUUUUUUCUUUUUUUUUUUACACAAAAUGUCCAAAAGUCAAAAUAUAGGCUGUAAUGUAUGGCCAACUUUUUAAACUAAAUUUCUAGUAACUUUUAAGGCACAUACAAAUUGAAAAUUGAAAGAUAAUAAAUAUUUAAAUCCACUCAUUUUUCUAUCUCACACUAACUAGCCAUAUUGAUAACCCUGAUUCAUCUCUUACUUUCUGUUUUUUUUUUCUUCUUUUUUUAAACUGUUCGUUCCUUUUUAAAAAAAAUAAAAAAAUAUAAGCUUUUAUAUAAUUCACUACAAACAAAACUUAAAAUUAAACAAAGAUAAAACACCAAAUGGAUAUUUUUUAAAGAAAACGUAAUUUUGUUUUUGUUUUCAUCUAUAAAUUUUAAUAUCUAUAAUUAACAAAAAAAAAAAAAAAAAAACAAAUCACCAAGGAGAUAAGAAGACAAUUCACAACAUAAUAAUUAAAAAUCAUUGUUAAACUGAUUAAGCAUACAUUUUUACUUAAUACAGUAAAUAAAUAAUAUCACAUAUUAAACUAUGAAAUUAUUUACAUAACUUUGAACACGAUUCGAUUCACUACAACAAUCAUACUAUAAAUAAUACAAACCGAAUAAGAACCUGUUGGUGAACUAGGGCAGAAAAUCGAACGUCGUCAUCGAAAACUCGAACGAAAACUUCUAAUUUAACUUUCUUCUUUUCUCCUUUUAUUGUCUGGUGUUUUUGAAUAUUUCCCUCACUGUAUUUUUUAACUCUUUUUUUUUGUCUCUGGUUUUUCUCUGUCUCAGUAUCUGUUGUAGUGUCUGAUGCUGAUGGUAUACGUUGGUUUUUUGAUGUUGUUCUGGUGUGGGAGAGUUCCUUAAGUACAAGGUUUGUUGAGGGGAAAUUGAGGAGGAGUGGUUACUUAUCAGAUAAGGAUAAUUUUAAAUUUUGAAUCUUUUUUUUUUAAGAAGAUAAUAAUAAUAAUAACAAAAAAAAAGAAUAAAUAACAAAAUAAAAUAAUAAUAAUAAUAAUAGAUAAUAAAAAUAAUAUAAUAAUAACUAAUUAAUUUUAAUAUAUUAAGAAAAAAGAAUAAAAAUUAUAAAUAGUCAUAAAUAACUAUAAUUUAGAUAGUAUUAAAACUACUUAUUUAUUUAAAAUUUAAAAAGAAAAAUAUGUAUUUUUUAAUUUUAGUAGUAUUUUUAAAAUUAGAAUAAAAAAUAAAAAUAAAAUAUUUUAAAAUUAACUUUAUUUAGUUAUUUAUUUUUUAACUAAAGAUUUAUUAAAAAUAAAAUAAGAAUCAAAAUAAUAUUAGAUUAAAUAUACAUAUUUAAUACCGAAAAAUAGGUUAAAACUCAUAGAGGGUCAAAAAUCACGUGUCUACACUGGCCUUAGCUAAAUUUUGUGUAUCGUCUAGAGGAUUUGUAGAUCAAUGUUAAGUUAAGAAUGGUAGUGUGUUAUCUUGUAGAUGUUAUGGCCCCAACGGCCAAGUCUAUUAUGUAUAUAGUUUUAGGGCUUGUCGUUUAUAUGUUUUUUUAUUAAGGCAUUAUAUCUGUAUAUGGCAAAACCUUUGCCUGUUAUAGUUGCAUGCAUAUGAAUUCCAAGGUUAUAGGUUGGUUCUCUCUGGCCUUCACGGCUACGGGUGUCUGUCCGCCCCAAUAGGAUUUGAGGCGUGACAAAAAUGGUAUCAGAGCGAGUCAUCCUAGGGAGUCUACAAAGCUGUGUCUAUGUAGAGUCUUGUUUAUGGGUGUGUUGUGCACCACAUCUAUAAACAUGAGGCUAUGGGACAUUUAGGGAUUGUCUCUUUUCUUCAUAUCUUAGAUCGUCCAAUAGAGCCCAUGUUGUAGAUAAAGUCAUAUUUAACCAUUGAAUCUUUUUGUUUCUCUUAUUAUAGUAAGGAUGCCGGUUACGAGGAGUAAGAGUAUAGGCAAGCGAAUAGAUGUAGCUGCCGGAGAAGGAACUAUCAAGACACCACCUAUACAAGCUAAUCAAAGUGAGGCUCAAGCUGAGUAUGUAUCGGAAACUUCUUCCACUCCAGAAGAGCUAAGAAGGAGAAGAACCACAUCCUCAGAGCCAUCUAUUAAUGCUACUGAUCAAGAUCUUAGAAAUGCGGUACAAAUUUUGGCUCGUAUAGUUGCUGGACAAGACCAAGGGCAAGCCAUUCCUACUACAGGUUCUAGUGGUGCAGAUAGGGCAGCUAGCCUUCGGACGCAAGAGUUUCUUAAGUUUGAUCCUCCUACCUUCACCGGAUCAGAUAUUAAUGAAGACCCACAGGACUUCAUUGAUCAAAUCCAACGGGCUCUAGAUGUUAUGCAUAUAUCACGUAAAGAGACAGUUGAGUUAGCAGCAUAUAGAUUCAAAGGGGAGGCUAUAUUUUGGUAUGAAGACUGGAAACGAUCUAGAGGUAUCGAUGCGCCCUCAGCUACUUGGAAAGAGUUUAAAGAGGAAUUUCUUGAUCAUUACCUUCCAUUCGAGAUUUGACAGGCUCAUGCAGAUCAGUUCUUGAAUUUUCGACAGGAGAAUAUGAGUGUGAGGGAGUACAGCCUCCGAUUUAACUCUUUGUCUAGGUAUGCUCCUAAUGUUGUAUCUACUGUAGAUGAUAGAGUUCGUCGAUAUGUGGAUAGGUUGGAUCCAUAUUUGGUUAGAGAUUGUACUCAAGCGAAUAGAUGUAGCUGCCGGAGAAGGAACUAUCAAGACACCACCUAUACAAGCUAAUCAAAGUGAGGCUCAAGCUGAGUAUGUAUCGGAAACUUCUUCCACUCCAGAAGAGCUAAGAAGGAGAAGAACCACAUCCUCAGAGCCAUCUAUUAAUGCUACUGAUCAAGAUCUUAGAAAUGCGGUACAAAUUUUGGCUCGUAUAGUUGCUGGACAAGACCAAGGGCAAGCCAUUCCUACUACAGGUUCUAGUGGUGCAGAUAGGGCAGCUAGCCUUCGGACGCAAGAGUUUCUUAAGUUUGAUCCUCCUACCUUCACCGGAUCAGAUAUUAAUGAAGACCCACAGGACUUCAUUGAUCAAAUCCAACGGGCUCUAGAUGUUAUGCAUAUAUCACGUAAAGAGACAGUUGAGUUAGCAGCAUAUAGAUUCAAAGGGGAGGCUAUAUUUUGGUAUGAAGACUGGAAACGAUCUAGAGGUAUCGAUGCGCCCUCAGCUACUUGGAAAGAGUUUAAAGAGGAAUUUCUUGAUCAUUACCUUCCAUUCGAGAUUUGACAGGCUCAUGCAGAUCAGUUCUUGAAUUUUCGACAGGAGAAUAUGAGUGUGAGGGAGUACAGCCUCCGAUUUAACUCUUUGUCUAGGUAUGCUCCUAAUGUUGUAUCUACUGUAGAUGAUAGAGUUCGUCGAUAUGUGGAUAGGUUGGAUCCAUAUUUGGUUAGAGAUUGUACUAUUGCUGCUUUAAACAAAGACAUGAACAUAGCAAGGAUACAAGCUUUUGCACAAAAAUAGAGGAUCAGAGGCAAAGAAGAAGAACACAAGAAUUGGAAAGGGGAUAUUUCAAGAGGGCCAGAUCUACGGGGCAGUUUAUGGCAUCCCAAGGAGAUUUUAGGCCUCGAUUAUCUAAUAGACCACCUAGGCCAUUAUCUUCUUAUUCUGCAGCUAGUGCUCCACCACAGUUUCAAGGAUCCAAAGGUAAUCAAUUUGGGCAAAGAAGUGAGAGUCAGAGUUCACGAACAGUGGGGUAUCAAGGUCAAGGAAGUAUGAGCCAAUUAAGACCUCCUCAACAACCAUGCAAAUAAUGUGGAAAGCUUUAUUUAGGUGCAUGUCGAUUCGGGAUAAAUGCUUGUUUUUGGUGUGGUAUGUCGGGGCAUAUGAUGAGAGAAUGCCCAUAAAGGGGCAUAGGUGGUAUGGCACGACCUACUGGAUCAGCCGUUGCAUCAUCAUCAUCGGUACCUUAUUCAGGUAGGGGUGCACAACCUAUGGGUCGUGUUAGGGGUGAUAAAGGAUCAACUAGUUCUAGUGGAGUUCAGAAUCGUACGUAUGCUUUAGCGGAUCGACAAAAUUUAGAGGCUUCUCCAGAUGUGGUUAUAGGUACAUUGUCUAUCUUUUCACUUGACGUAUAUGCAUUAAUUGAUCCCAGUUCUACCUUAUCAUAUGUUACUUCAUUGGUUGCUGAAAAGUUCAAAAGAACACCAGAAUUGCUAGCUAAGCCAUUGGAAGUGUCUAUGCCUGUUGGGGAAUCCAUUAUAGCUAGAAGGGUUUAUCAAAAUUGUAUUAUAACUAUUUGUGGUCGCGAUACGAUGGCUAAUCUUGUUGAGCUGGAAAUAGUAAAUUUUGAUGUUAUAAUGGGUAUAGACUGGUUGGCGUCUUGUUAUGCCACAGUAGAUUGCCGAACUAAAAGGGUGUAUUUCCAUUUUCCAAAGGAGGCAGUCCUUGAAUGGAGAGGUAAUAUUGGUACGCCAAGAGGUAAAAUUAUUUCUUAUUUUAAGGCAAAAAGAAUGAUUUCCAAAGGUUACAUAUAUCAUCUAGUUAGAGUGAAGGAUACAGAUGAGGAACCACCAACUCUUCAAACUAUUCCGGUGGUAAAUGAAUUUCCUGAAGACCUUCCAGGUUUGCCUCCUGAACGAGAAGUGGAGUUUGGUAUUGAUGUGAUUCCAGGCACCCAACUAAUCUCAGUUCCUCUGUAUAGAAUGGCUCCGGCAGAAUUAUGAGAAUUGAAAGACUUUCUAGAGAAAGGAUUCAUAAGGCCUAGUAUGUCCCCCUGGGGCGCACCAGUGUUAUUUGUGCGUAAGAAAGAUGGUUCAUUGAGAAUGUGUAUUGACUACCGACAACUGAAUAAGGUGACUAUUAAAAAUAAAUAUCCCCUCCCAAGAAUUGAUGAAUUAUUUGAUCAGUUACAAGGCGCCAAGUGUUUCUCAAAGAUUGAUUUGAGGUCAGGUUACCACCAAGUGAGGGUCAAAGAGAAGGAUAUAUCUAAGACAGCUUUCCGAACAUGGUACGAUUAUUAUGAGUUCCAAGUCAUGUCAUUUGGGCUAACAAAUAAACCCACAGCUUUUAUGGAUUUGAUGAAUAGAGUAUUUAAUCCAUUCUUAGAUGUGUUCGUGAUAGUUUUUAUAGAUGAUAUUCUAGUUUAUUCCAGAUCAGAAAAGGAUCAUACUAAUCAUUUACGACAGGUAUUGCAGAUUCUUCGUGAUCGCAAGCUAUAUGCAAAGUUCUCUAAAUAUGAGUUUUGGUUAAAAUCGGUGCCAUUCUUGGGUCAUAUUGUAUCUAGUGAAGGAAUAAAGGUUGAUACUCAAAAGAUAGAAGCCGUGAAGAGUUAGCCAAGGCCCACAACGCAUACGGAGAUUCGUAAUUUUCUUGGGUUGGCAGGUUAUUAUAGAAGGUUUGUUGAAAGGUUUUUCUUUAAUUUCUGCACCUUUAACCAAGCUAACACACAAAGCAUCCAAGUUUCAAUGGAAUGAUGCCUGUGAAAGGAGUUUCCAAGAUCUAAAGAAUAAGUUGACUUCUACAUCCAUAUUGGUACUUCCAGAAGGCAUAGAAGGGUAUGCAGUGUAUUGUGAUGCUUCAAGAAUUGGCUUAGGAUAUGUAUUGAUGCAGCAUGGUAAAGUAAUAGCAUAUGCCUUCAGACAAUUGUGGCCACAUGAGAAAAACUAUCCUACGCACGAUCUCGAGCUAGCAGUAGUUAUAUUUUCUUUAAAGAUAUGGCGCCACAACUUGUAUGGGAUUCAUGUUGACAUAUAUACUGAUCAUAAGAGUUUGCAAUAUAUCUUUAGCCAGAAGAAUCUAAAUUUGAUACAACGGAGGUGGCUUGAACUAUUAAAAGACUAUGAUGUUGAUAUCUUAUAUCAUCCAGGGAAAGCAAAUGUAGUAGCUGAUGCACUAAGUCGUAAGGCUAUGAUAGCGUCUAUAGAAAGGAAAGGGAUGAUUAAAGAUUUCCACCAACUAGCUAAUUUGGGGGUUCUCCUUCUUGAAACUCUAGAUGAGGGGCUUAUUGUGCAUAAUGCAACAGAAUCUUCAUUAGUAGCUGAAGUGAAAGAGAAGCAAUAUGUAGAUCCAAUUUUAUUACAGCUUAAGGAAAAUGUACAACAUGGUACGACGAAGGCAUUUGAGCUUACGCGAGAAGGAGUACUUCAGUGCCAAAAUAGAUUAUGUGUGCCUAAUGUAGACGGGCUAAGAAAGAGGAUUAUGAUAGAGGCACAUCGUUCGAGGUAAUCCAUUCAUCCAGGAUCAACUAAGAUGUAUCAAGAUUUGAAAGAAAUAUAUUGGUGGAGUGACAUGAAGAAGAACAUUGCAGAACUUGUAGCUGAAUGUCCAAAUUGUCAAAGAGUUAAAGUAGAGCACCAGAAGCCCGGGGGUUAUAUGCAAUGCAUAGAUCUUUCAAUCUGGAAGUGGAACAUGAUCAACAUGAAUUUCGUCACUGGUUUGCCUCGUAUAUCUCGAAAGUUUGAUUCCAUAUGAGUUAUAGUUGAUAGGCUUACCAAAUCCACACACUUCCUACCAGUAAAGACCAUUACAUAGUUGAAGAGUAUGCAAAAUUGUAUAUUAAAGAGAUAGUUCGACAACACGGAGUGACAAUCUCUAUUAUAUAAAAUCGGGGAGCCCAAUUUACUGCAAAUUUUUGGAAGUCUUUCUAGAGGAAUUUGGGAACACAAGUGAAUCUAAGUACAACUUUUCACCCUCAAACAGAUGGACAAGUAGAACAUACCACUCAAACACUUAAAUAUAUGCUACGAGCUUGUGUAUUAGACUUUAAGGUUAGCUGGGAUGAUCAUUUGCCUCUUAUCGAGUUUGCCUACAACAAUAGAUAUCAUUCAAGUAUCAAAAUGGCACCACAUGAAGCUUUGUAUGGAAGAAAGUGUAGAUGACCAAUUGGAUGGCUUGAAGUGGGUGAAACUGCCUUAUUCGGACCAGAUCUUGUUUAUCAAGCUAUAGAAAAGGUUAAAGUAAUUCAAUAGCGGCUGGAAACAGCCCAAAGUCGACACAAGUCAUAUGCAGAUAUUAGAAGAAGAGGGCAAGAGUUUUCUAUCGGUGAUUGGGUAUUCUUGAAGGUAUCACCAAUGAAAGGGGUGAUGAGAUUUGGUAAGAAAGGAAAACUAAGUCCACGUUAUAUAGGCCCAUAUAAGAUUAUUCGGAGGUUUGGCCAGGUCGCAUAUGAGUUAGAGCUACCCCAAGAGCUCUCAGCAGUACAUCUGAUAUUUCAUGUCUCAAUACUUCGAAAGUACAUCGGAGAUCCAUCACAUAUCACUUCUCCUGAAGACGUACAAGUUACGGAAGAUCUCACCUAUGAGGAAAUACCUAUUGCCAUUCUAGAUCGAAAAGUUAAGAAGAUAAGUAAUAAAGAAAUAACAUCUGUAAAAGUACUUUGGAAAAACCAGCAAGUGGAGGAGAUCACAUGGGAAGCUGAGGAAGCAGUGAAAUCCAAAUACCCUCAUCUAUUCAAAUACGAAGAGAAAGUCCAAGAUGUUGAAUUAGAGAAAUAACAAGUAAGUGUUUAUAUAUACAUAUAUAUAUAAGUACUGUGUGAUGAUAAGAAUAUUAACCUUAGGCUUGAACUUGUUUCGGUUGGACAAUUAUGCUAACAUUCGAGGACGAAUGUUCUAAAGGGGGGAAGGAUGUAACACCCCAUAUUUUUGCGUGUACUUGUUCUAUUUAUAUGGAACUUGAUAUAUAUUUAUGGUGUAGAUGGAGUUCUAAAUACUUCCCAUGUGGUUUAAUGUGACCAAGUAUAUACAAAUUUUAAGUUAGAUUAAAGAGUUAAGAACUAAAAAUUGAGUAUUUUGUUAAGGUGCUUUCUUGACUUACUUAAGCUAGUAGGUGGAUCACUUACUUGAGCUAUUUGGACCAAGUUAAUGGGAUCAAGACCAUGUAUUAGAUUAUGCUAUGUUAAUGUACUCAUUUGAGCUCAAAUUAAGUAAAAGAGAAAGAAAAUAGAGAAAAGAGGCCUAAUACUCAAAUCUGCCAAAUACCAAGUUAAAGAGAAGAAAAAGAGGAAAAAUUGGUAGCUAAGGCCCAAUAGUUUUUGAUCCACAAAGGCCUAAUAUAUUGGACAAGUGUAUACAUAAAUUACUUGACAAAAUAUAGCCCAAAAGUAGUCAAUAAAUUCGUCCAAGAGCACCUUCUAUUUAUGGAUUGAAAUCAACAAUUUUUCUUAUUUUAACUUAGACAAAAUUUCUAGUUUUCUAGAUUUUUCUCUCUUGGCUAUGAAACAACCCUAUAAUUCCACAAGGGUUCUUGAGAUUGACCUUCCUUCAAAGCUAAAGGUAAGUGAAUAAUUCAUGAGCUUGUACCAUGAAAACUAUGUGUUCUUUAAGAUUAAUUUUCGGACAGCCCUCUCUAUAAGUUUGGGCAGUCCAUUGUUCUUAGUUAUUAAGGGAUUUCUCUUUUCUCUUUUGAUGUAUGUGUGAAGGGAUUAAGCUAUUGAGGAAAUAAACAUUAAGACACUAAAAUACCAAGGAAAUCAAGGUAUGGUUGCUGUCCAUUUUUGUCCUUAUUACACAUGUUGGGUUGCUAUUAAAGGAUGAUUGGGGUGUUGUUGCGGAUUGUUUUGUGUGAUUGUGUUGUGAGUUGCCCGGUUGGUAUUGGUAAAAUAUGUGAUUAGUUUGUAUUGAAUUAUAGAAGAUGGAUGUGUUGAUACACCACUGAAUUUAUGAUUGUGUAUGUCUAUUGCUCAUUUCGUUUUGUGUGUGUUGAUUGGAAGGUGAAAUGAAGCCGAGUGUCUGGGGAUAUUAUAUGAAUAUGUAUGGUAUGUGGCUGUAAUUGAAGUAUAAGAGGGUUAAAGUGACACCCUUUGUUAUAAAUUAAGGGCUUACUUUCCGGCCACUAGUUUGGUGAAGUUAAAUAGUCAAAAUGUGACGUUUGGUUGCUAAUAUUAGUUUAUCAUAUAUUUCAUUGUAGAUAAGUAGUCUAAAAGUGCGGGAAGUCGAGUUGGGCUGGUAUUGGAGUUUUACAACCAGGUAUGUAAGGCAUACUCUAUUUUGCACUCUUGGCGUGAAAAUGGAUACUUGUCCCAUCGAGUAAGCAUCCAAGGUCAUCCAAAAACACAUGCUACAUAAUAGCACCUAUGAUAUCCGAUGUUACUAAUGAACUUAUUUCCACUCUCUAAUGUGUUAAACCACCUUGAUACAUGCUUGCUACCUAUCCUAUAUGCCUAUUUUCACUAGUAAAUUUCAGAAUUUCUUCGGUUACUCAAAUAAGACCCAUGUGUUAUUUUUAGCUCCUAAACACUUCAUUAGUGUGCCAACAACUCCUAACUUCAUUGUUAUUGCAUUGAUUGCCUAUUUACAUGUCUCUUAUUGAUAGAUCAUUAUUUCAAGGUACCAUACGGUUAUGACCACCGAAGUAACAAUCUCAAAAGGCUAAUUAAACUAAGUAACAGAAAUCUGUAAAACGGGUGGCAGCUCAGGGGCAUAAGCCCAGCAUGGGCCGAUCCUGAUUUAUUAUUUACCACUGAUCAGCUGGUCAUUUGUAUCAUAUGGAUUACAAAGCUAAUGAAGUAAGAAGGUAAAAGGAAGAAAGAAACGUAAUGUACCCUGUUCCACAAGUAAAUUUAAAGGUGGUUUAUUAGCACUAUUCUUACACUUAUUCCAUAUUUUUAUUGAGCCUUUAUGUCAUGUAUUGUUACUUUUCUACUUUGCAUAUUUAGUACAUUUUUUUCGUACUGACUCCCCUUAUGGAGAAACUUAUAUUUCAUGCUACAGGCACAUGUGCUUCGGCAAACACGCCUCCUCAGUAGCUCCAGUUUGCUUCGGGGCGAGUCGGUUUCAUAUAUUUUUGAUAUUGUAUAAAAGUUAAUAGUAUGGCGGGGGUUUGUAUUGACCUUAGCUAAAUUUUGUGUAUCGUCUAAAGGCUUUGUAGACCAAUGUAAAGUUAAGCAUGGUAGUGUGUUAUCUUGUAGAUGUUAUUGCCCCAACGGCCAAGUCUAUUAUGUACAUAGUUUUAGGGCUUGUCGUUUAUAUUUUUUUUUUCAUUAAGGCAUUAUAUCCGUAUAUGGAAAAACCUUUGCCUAUUAUAGUUGCAUGCAUGUGAAUUCCAAGGUUAUAGAUUGGUUCUCUCGGGCCUUCACGGCUACGGGUGCCUGUCCGCCCCAAUAGGAUUUGAUGCGUGACAUACCAUGCUUUUCUUUUUUAAAAAGAAAAAUAUUUUAUAAGAAUAACAUUGAAUUAAUUUACAUUGUUUACUUUAAUAAUUAUAUUAAAAUAAGUCUUACAAAUUUAGAUAUUGAGAAAUUAAUAUACUGUAUUUUAUUUUUAAAUAUGAUUUGAAACAUUUGUUUGUGUUUUACUAAUAGUAAUAUCGCUGUUAAAAUAGCUUCUUAUUACUAAUUUCAAUUCCAUGAUUUUAUCUAAAAAAAAAUUAAUCUUUAGACUUUCAUAUUUCAAAACUAAAUGAAAAGUCAUAUACUUUAUCUUAUAAAAUAAUUUUCUUAUUUUUAAUCAUUUUAUUAUUUAUAGUUAGACUAAAGAUCCAAUAGUUUUUCUCGUUCGAUUUGUUGUGUAUAGGUAGGGGUACAUAUCUAGCAAUUAUUAUUUAUUUUCCCCUUUAAUUUUGGAUCAAAAUGACAUUGUCAAAUUGUUUUUAUUUUUAAGAGUCAAUUGUUGGCUAAUACUGCAUUUACUAACUUUAUUUAUUCAUCUUAAUUAUUUGUAUCUAAAUAUAUAUAUUGACUGUAAUAUUUAUAGCAAUAUUAGUUUGGGAGUAACUUGGGUGACCCCCAUUGUUUGAAAAAUCUGGGCCCCUGAGAGAGAAGAGAAGAUCAAACCGUGGAUCUGACGUUAACCCCACUUUGGAUUUUCUUGUUUAUAACUCUCAGAUCUCUUCCCAAAAUCCAUUAUUUUUGUAUUUAAAUCUAUUGAUUUUCUUGUUUUCUUUGCAAUCCAACAGUUCUUGGAUUGUUAUAAUUAGGCAAUGAGGUUCAAGAAGAAAUUAACAUCCCAGAAAAGUAUUCGUUCUGCUUCUCCAGUUAAUCAGAUGUCUAUUUCAGGUAAGUGGAUUUUUUAUUUUUUUUUGGUUGAAGAAUUAAAGUAAAAAUAUAUGUACAAUUCAUGUAUCUUAUGCGUAUAAGGAUCCAUUUUGUGUUUUUGUGUGUGUGUGUAAAACUAGGGAAUAGAAGAAAAAAGAGAGUUUUUAAUGGAUUAGUUUGUUGUUUUGAGUAAUGGGUAUGUGUUAAUAUUUGCUGGAAGUAAAUAAAGGAAUAAUCUUUUUUGGUUUGUUGACUGUUAUCUGCUGGAUGAAGGUGUAAAUCAGUAAAUCUGUGUUCUUGAUGGUGAGAUUGGGAAAAAUUGUGUUUUGUGUGGGUGGGUGGUGGGGUGGUGGGAAUUUUGAUGGAUGUCUAGUGGUUUUGAGGUUAAUGCAAUUUCAUAUUGGUACUUGAGCUGAGGGUCUAUCGGAAAUAACCUCUCUACCUUGCUUGUGUAAGGUCGAUAUACACACUACCCUCCCCACCCCUGACCCCAGACCCCACUUGUGGGAUUACAAUGGGUAUGAUGUUGUGUUGCAAUUUCAUGAUGUGGAUGUGCAACUAUUUCUCGUAGUUGCUUAUAUUAAGCUUGGCCAUGUGUUUAUGGAGAAUCUUGGAAAAUUUAAUGUAGAUAAAUCUAGAUAGAUGGCCUUAAAAGUCAGAAAUGGUUAAGGAAAUAUAUUGUUAUGAGGUUAUUCGUGAGAAGGUAGGAGUGACUUUGGUGGAAGACAAGAUGCAGGAAGUGAGGUUGAGAUGGUUUGGGCAUGUGAUGAGGAGGGGUACGGAUGCUCCAGUACGGAGGUGCGAGAGGCUGUCUAUGGAUGGUUUAGGCGGGGUAGAGGUAGGUCGAAGAAAUAUUGGAGGGAGGUGUUUACGCAUGAUAUGGAGCGGUAACUUAUGGAGGACAUGACCCUUGAUAGGAAGGUGUGGAGGACGCGAAUUAGGGUAGAGGGUUAGUGAAUAGGAGUGCGCCCGUAGUAAUAGGGAGGAGUGCGUUGUUUGUAUCUGUGCCUGUAGUUUCAUAUUUGUAGUGUUCUGAGGAUAUUUGUGAUCUCAAAUAGAUAAUUUAUAGUAUUACUCUGUCGAUGUCUUAUUUCUUUUAUUAUCUAGCGAUGUGUUAUCCUAUUUUGUAGUUUAUUUUUAUGUUUUUUGUGGUUGUACUAUUAUCUGUUCUGAGCCAGCGGUCUAUCAGAAAUAACCUCUCUACUUCAUCUGGGGUAGUGGCAUGAAUUGCGUACACUUUACCCUCCCUAGACUCCACUUUGUGGGAAUACACUGGGUAUGUUGUUGUUGGGUAAUCUUAAUACAACUAUAUGGUUGUUUAAAAAGAAUAUAGAUGUGGCAAUACAUAGUUUAGUUAAGUUGUUUGUAUGAAUCCUCGCUUCUAUCAUUGUGUUGUUUUUUGGUUGUACGGUAUCAGAACUUGAAUGUUGAACCCAUUGUGCACCUUAGCUGAUAUGGGAUGGCCGGGUGUGUGUGUGCGUGUGUGUGCAGGUUUUGGGCUAUGAAGGGCGGGGCGGGUUGAAAUAAUUAUUUUAAAAAUUGAUGCAGGGUGGGAUGCGGGUUUAUGUGAGUUUAAACACAACAAAAGCAAAAAAUUUAUUACUCUAGCUCUAUAUAGAUGAAUUAUUAACACCAAGUCUACCAUACGUAUGUAUGUUGUUUACAUAUAUUUCCAAUUAUGACAAAAAAAACUGAAGAGUAUUUUUAAUUUACAGAUAUUUCCAAUUAAAUUUUUUUGUACUGUUGGUGGAACUUUCUUGAUUUAAUGAAGCAAAAUCAACAAUAUUUCUUAUUCACAUAAAAAGGGGCAGUUUUUCCGCUUGAAAUAUUUCUUUUUGCUUACUGCAUUUUCUGCUUGAAAUUGGUACGACAUUUGUUGCAUUGUUGGUUAUAUUCUGGAAUUCAUAAUUUGUCCAUUUUUCCUUGUUUGUUGGUAUUGUUUGGUACAGAAUUCUUGAUAUGGUCUUCUCAGAAAAAAAAUUUGUUCUCAGAAGCAUUCUUGAUAUGGUAAAGUAACAACAACACUAUCAACAAAAGCUUUAUCUAACAGUACCUUAUGGUGGGGGGAAAGGAAUGGAAAGGGUAGUUUUCUCAUAACCUAACUGCUGAAGUUUGGAGCCUUUUGUAGGGUGUUAAAUAGCAGUUAUUAGCAUUCUGCACGCUUCUUUAAAAUUAAAAAGGUAGCAAAUUAUGCGGGACGGUGCGAAAACAAAAAAAAUUAUGCUAUGUGGCGCGGGGCGGGGUGGGGCGAGGUGAAAACAAAAAACUAUGCUAUGCGAGGCGGGAAGUGUCUUUGCGGGUUUGCACGGAAUUGCUCUGCACCCGCCCCACGCCAUUUUCCAUUCCAAUUCGUUGAUGUAUCCUUCUUCAGGGGAUGGAAACACUCCUAAGUAUGCUGAUUUAAGCAGUUGCAGUUGUCUAUUUUAAUUAUUUCUGUCACUGUGGAGAGUACAAUAUAGAAGCUAUAAACAGUAAUAGAAAGAAUAUAUAUCUGCUGUUUUUGUUGCAUUUUUAAUGAUUGUUUGACUGUAGAAUCACAAAGCACUUUCAGGUGAAGUAUCAGUCUGUGGCAGAAGAAACUUGGUCAUUCAUGUCCUACUUUAUGCACCUUAGUCCUCGUGAUCAUAUGCCAAGUCUAUGGAAGAUCCUGUUUUCCCUAUAUACUAAGCUAGCGAACUCUUGUACCCGGAAGUCCUGUACUCAUUUCGUUAGGUUUUUAAGGUCAUCUCAUUGGCUUCUUUUUGGGAACAGACAAUCGUCUAAAAUUGUUGUCUCUUGACAUCUAAUUAUAAGAUAAGAUGAAGUAUCUCAAACUAGUACCAUUUAGUUGGUUUUCAUCUGGACUAGAUUAGUUCAAGCUUCAUCCAAAUUUUCUAGCUUGGUUAAAAAUCACCUGCUUCAUUUGUUCAUUUCCGUGUCAGUAGUUAUUCUUUAGCAUAGCUAAAUGUUAGAAUAGAUAAUAUUCAUUUUAGUUUGAAUACGUGGAGUAAAUUAUAUAUAUAACAUAGAAAGAUAACCGCCGAUAUUAAAGUCCGUGGAACAUAUAUUCAUACACUGAACCACAUCUUCAUUGGUUUAGAGCGGGAUGUUGUCUGAUUGAAGCAAAUUAUUUUUCCAAUAUGCUAAAUUCCCUGAAAAUCUUGUUUGGUAUCGUCCCAGAUUUGUCAUGAAGGUAAAAUCCAGAUCUCAGCAAAGUUAGUUGUGGAUUCAAAAAGCUAGGAUCCCACUUUGCUCUAAUGUGCAAAGUUUAUAAUAGUGUUUUCUCUUUAUAUCUCUUACAUCUGUUUGUUAUUUUCUAUUGCAUAGCGUUGGGUGAAGAUGAAAUGUUAAGGCCUUUAAAGUUUGAGAUUUUCUCAAUAUUUACUUCCUAUAUUUGGUAGUUGUUUCUCCUUUCAUUGUAGCACCAAUCUGUUUCGGUGAGGCUUUCCUUAUCCACAACAGUGCUAUAUUUAUUGCAUUUCUGGAAAUUACAUGAUGCGUUGCGCGCUUCUUCUUAUAAAGACGUGAGAUUUGGAAAGUCCUUUUGAUUCUGAAUACCUGGAAAGAUAACUAAAUGCAUGUGGGAAGGAGAGAAAAUUUGUAGAAAUCGACACAUUCAUGUUCUUGAACUAUGAUAUAUCAAAUUUCUCAGAAAGAAACACUUGCCUUUCUCAACAAAAGAACUCAGAAAGUAGCUUUAUUGGGAACUGCUAUUUAUUGCAAAAUUUAGAAGGUGUUAUCUUUGUUUCCUGUAAGUGAUCAGCUCAGUAGGUGUGUGGUCCUUGGCAAACUUGUUUUCAUUACAUCAACUUGAUCAUUAUGCUUACUAAUUUCACUAUAGAAGUCUUAUAUCUCCUACAUAAACGGGGAAGGAUAUCAAUAGCAGCAAUCUGUCACAUCUUACGUGAAUUUUACAUCUUGACCUACUGAGUUGUAGUUUCCUGUUUAUCAUUGAUUUAGCAGCAUAACAUCUUACCGUAUCCCUUCUGUUAAGAAUCUUUUGAGAUUGUAUACUAGAGAUAAAAGGGGAAAACAGUAACGUGCAGAUAUAAAAGUUCUAAAAGAAAAUAAAAUCGUUUAGGCAUCAUUAUCUCACCUUACAUUUGGAAGCUUAUGUUAUACCUCGGGUCGCGUGGUAUGGAUGAGGAUAGAAAAUAGUACACUUUAGUUAACUGAAUGACGAAAAAAGAUACUGACAUGUAUAUAGAGAAAUUCAUUUCUUUUCCAAAAAAUGAUAGUACAGUUAUCAAUGAGAAACUUUUAUAGGAACUUCCGAUUGGCUAGUGUUAAAAAUAAGGACAUGAAAAUUCAAAGGUCUUAAUUGAUGAUAAAAAUAGGAAACAAAGUAAUAAGCAUGUUUUCUUAUCAAAUUGGUUGACUAUUGUCCAAAAAAAAAAAGAACAAUUGGCCCAUCAAAGAAAAAAAGCUAAAAAGUAAGAAACAAAAAUAUUUUAUCUGUGGCAUUUUGUAGGAAGGAUAUAAUAAUUUAGUACGUUUUAGCUGGAAGCUUAUUUGUGAUGCUCACUGUCUAGGCAGAUUUGAAAAGAGAAAAGAAAGUAAAGGACAAAGGAUUUGGAGAUGUGACAGUCUAUAUUCUUUACAGAGGGUGGGGGUGGGGGUGGGGGAUGCUCCUAUUGAAGAGUAGAAAAUAUUGCAUUCUAAAGUUACUUGACUGAGUUAAUUGCUAUUGCCUUGCAGAUCAUAGUGCGAAACAUCAUAAGGAUUUAGAAAAUUUGAAUCUGUUGACACAGCCUUUCAGAACGCUCAAGCUUUUCAGUAUGGCGAUGAUGCAGUAUCUCAGGACGUCGAUAGCAUACCUUUUGUCGCAUCGAUGGUGUAUGCUUUUCAGUACAAUUGUUGUAUUUUCCUUAACACUGCUUGUGACAACAGAUGGGCCUCAUGUAAAGGUAUGCUUCAUGAAUUUCAGAUACUUAUGCAGUCAUGGUUACUAGUACCAUCAACAGAAUAUAUGCCUUGCACCCAAGGCAUAUCACAAAGUUGGCCUUGAGAAACCAAGGCUCAUAUUACAAAAGGCCAAAAAAAAGCACUGGGUGAAUUUUACCAUCUGCCUAAGCUUUGGUGGGGCAGAGUUCUCUGAUGUAUGUGUUAUAUGGGAAAUACUAUGUACUUGGUGUAGUAGUCGAGGUGUGCACAAGUUGGCUCGGAUACCACCAUUAUCUAUAGACACACCCAUACACAUGCCUGGUUAAGAAAAAGAACUUUAUUGCUUGUUGCUGGAAGACGACAGUUGGUCAACUUAAACCUGUGUUUUCUGUUGUUACAUUGCUAAGUGAACUGUUUAUUUGGAUCUUUUUGACAAUUUUCGAUUAUUUUGUUGAGGAGUUAGAAAAUGUCAGAUAUCCAUUUUUCCUCAGCUUGUACAUCUGAUGCCGAAAGGAAUGGGAUGGGUAUAGAGGAUUCAUAUAUUAUCAUAUAGCCACCCAACUAGUUUUGAAGAGGCUUUGUUUGGUUUUUCGUUGUACAUAUUAAGUGGUACUGAAACUCAGUCUUGUCAACGCUAAUAAUAGAACAUUUCUGUUUCAAUGCAGCAUGUUGAGGAGGUUCUUAAAUAUCUCCAGUUUGGAUUCUGGUGGGUUGCUCUUGGUGUUGUAUCUUCUAUUGGCCUUGGUAAGCAGCAUUCACUGUUAGAUUUUUUAGCUUCUUAUGUUUAAUGGCUUCUAUAUUGGAGGGAGAUUUUUCUACUCAAAUCUCCAUAAUGGAACUUGCUGAUAGUAAUGGUGAUUUAACUUGCUUCUUUCUAGCUUUUCCAAUAAAAAAAACUUAGAUUCUCUAUUUUGUUGCCAUGUUGCAGGUUCUGGUUUGCACACUUUUGUCCUCUAUCUGGGUCCUCAUAUUGCUUUAUUUACGAUAAAAGCAAUGAAGUGUGGGCGAGUUGACCUCAAAAUGGCUCCCUACGAUACAAUACAAUUUCAAAGAACACCUCAAUGGCUUUUUAAAGAUUGUUCAGAGUUUGGGCCCCCUGUAUUUUCAUCUUCACAUGGCACAAGUGUUCCUUUUAGCAGCAUACUGCCCCAAGUGCAGUUAGAGGCUGUUUUGUGGGGCCUUGGAACGGCACUUGGAGAGCUUCCCCCAUAUUUUAUUUCAAGAGCAGGUUCGUCUACACUAUCUUAUGUCUGUAAGCUUUACACCUAUAUUCAGUAAAUAGUUCAACACGUGCAGCACAAAUCGGGUGCUACUUGUCCUGGUAUAUUAUGCAGUUAUUCAACCUGCAGGGUGCGUAAAGAUAUUCACCUGUAAUUUGGAAAGUUCUCCCCUUUUUCCAAUCAAGAAUCAAAUUUUUUGUGAUAUAGAUUUGAUAAUCUUUUUUGAGUUUCAAAUGUGCCUUAUGGGACUUGCUUUGUCUUCUCGGCCUUCCAUCUUUUAGAACAGUAGUAGGAAUUUGAUUUUCCUCAAUUAGUCAACUAGACAUGCCCUCUGUGCCUAGAUGUGCAUAACUUUUGGUUUAUUUUAUUAAUUAUUUCAAUUUUUGAUAAAUCAAGACCAUAAUUCAGGGACUUGAAUAUUUUCUACAUGUAACGAUCUUGUCAGAUGCAAAAGUACAUUUUGAAGUUUUUAAUCUUCAGGGCGUGUUUUGUUAAUGUAUUGGCAUACCUUUAUGCAGCAAGCCUCUCAGGAAGUAAAGUGGAAGCAAUGGAAGAAUUAGAUGCAUCUUCUGAAAAUAAAGGAUUUCUAGCUACUCGUCUGGCUCAAACGAAGCGGUGGUUUUUUUCCCAUGCACAAUGUUUGAACUUCUUCACCAUUCUAAUACUUGCUUCGGUUAGUCAAAAUCUUUAUUUAAAUCUAUCUUCUAUUCAUCCAAAGAAUCAUGCAUGGAAGAUAAAGUUGAUGACCUAUUGACCUUAGUUUUGCAUGCAGAUAUUAUGUUCCUUAAGCUAUACAUUAGAGCGUCACACUCACCCAACCCCCAACCCAAAAUGAAGCUGAUUUUUUGUUCACCAUAAAAAAUGAAAUUGUGUUUUAGUACAUAAUUAUGGUUUUAAUUUAGUUGUCUCUAUAAACUGCAAACCACAACUUCCCAUAACUAAUGACAGCUGUAGUAAAGGUGGUUGACCAGAACUUUUGCUGGCCAGAGUAACAUUGUUUUUGAGAUGUUUGUCAGUUGGGAAGAUUUUGGAGCAAAAAUAAUUUUGACUUGAUAAUAACGCGAACGACUGUUUGGUCCAGCAACUUCGACAGUUGUGUCGUGCAGCAUCUUUUUGAAGGAAUUUUGUGUAGAUAUCGAAAAGGCACUGUGAUUAUUCAAAACUUGGGAAGCUCCCAACAAAUUUAGUAGUCCACAAAAUAUUAGAAUUGGGACACACAGGACCAUAUAUUUCCAAUUAUUGCUUUCUAGCUCAUCUUUUUCCUCUUUAUGUACUGUUGGAUUUAGCUGCGUAUGGUGGUGGUAGCUUUCAGUUAACAGGCAGACAUAUCUUCUCAAAUAGUAUAGCUGUUCUAAUGGAGGUUUCUUUUGUAGGUUCCAAAUCCUCUAUUUGAUCUUGCUGGCAUAAUGUGUGGACAAUUUGGGAUCCCAUUUUGGAAGUUCUUUUUUGCAACUUUGAUUGGAAAGGCUAUCAUUAAAACUCACAUACAGGUCUGUCAACUCUUACGUUCUGCAUUCAUGAGUUUCCACAUCUUAGAUGCAGUUUCAAUAGUUUUGGCGUCAUGUAUGAUCUUUUCCUUUGCUUUCUUGGUCACCUUUUUCAGACUUGCCUAUUUAUUUGACACGUUGAUUCUGAUAGAGAUAUGUUAUUUGACUAUCCUUCUGCAGACCGUCUUUAUAAUUUCUGUUUGCAACAAUCAACUUCUUCAUUUGGUGGAGACCGAGUUGAUUCGGAUGCUUAGUUUUAUACCUGGUAUUGAAACCAUGUUACCCAAAAUUAUUGCCAAGCUCCAUUCCAUGAAAGACAAGUAUAUGGCUACCAAAACUCCUUCAACAUCAAAUAUAAAGGUAAUAAUUGAUCUAAUUCUGUUUUUAUAUGAUUAAAGAUUUCUGUUGUGAUAUUUAUUGGGCUAAAUCGAAUAAAUUUUUUGGUUUGCUUAUUCAUUAGUUUAUGGUGGUUCAUCUUAAUUUAAACUCAGAAUCCUUGUCAGGUGAACAAAUGGGAUUUCUCAUUGGCUUCAGUUUGGAACGGUGUGGUUACAAUCAUGCUACUUAACUUUUUCGUUAAGAUUGUAAAUGCUACUGCACAACGGUUUUUAAAAAAACAGCAAAAACAGGAAUUGGCUGCUCUGAAGAACAAAUCAUCUUGAGGUCAAUCAGAUAAUCCUCUUUAUUCUCAUCGAUUUGUUUUUUCAAGCUUUUCCUUUUCGCUAUCUACCUUUGUCAAAUGAUCAGAAAUAGGGUAAUACGAAAUGAUUUGUGACUUUGGUGAUUACGAUGAAAAUUACUUGGGAGACUCGGCACCAGCAAGUCCAUUUCAGAAACUUUGUACAAAAGAACAGUAGUCUCACAAGUUCAUUGGCUAUGUAACUUCAAGAAAAAAACAAUUAUUUAGGGGUGCCAUUGUUGACAAAAUUGGAUAACAGGAAACUGGAAACUCAGUAUUGGGCAGAUGCUCUAUCAUUUAGAAAGUGAUAUAUUUUUCUGCAUUUAUAAACAGGCCUGAGUUAAGUGUAGCAAUUAUCAGUGCUCUCCCUCCCCUUUUUCUUUACUCAGUUAAUUCAUUGAUUCAUGCAAGUCAUGCUUGGCGUGGACAAAAGUUUGUAUUGUACCGUGUGCUGGAGUCUUUUUAUGUAUGAUCAUCCUAAGUGCUUCGAUGUUCUGUGCUCUCUGAUAUCGUCUUUUUGCCCUCAAAAUCUUUCCUUGUACCAUCUCCUCCAUUGGCACUCUGACCGUGGUCAUUCAUUGAUAGUCGGACACUUUUAGCAAGGGUUCUUGAUAGUUGCACCUCUAAGAUACGAAAGUUCCUUCACACUUUUGUUAUGAAGGGAAGCCUUGGAGCAGCAGUAAAGCUGUCUCCCUAAUGUUCGAGUCGUGUAUAAGCCACUGAUGCUUGUGUUAGGAUAGGUUUUAUGUGACCUAUUGGUUACCCUUCGGGUCAUCAUGAUGGGCAUAUCACAUCCAAUAUCAGCUAUGGAAUAAGCCACUGAUGCUUGUGUUAGCGUAGGUUCUGUGUGACCUAUAGGUUAGACAUCAAGUCAUAACGGUGGGGACAUUACAUCCAACAUCAACUAUGGAAUAAGCUACUGAUGCUCAUGUCGUCAUUGCGGUGGGCACAUCACAUCCUCUUAGGGUGCAAUCUUUCUUUGGACCCUGUGUGAAUACGGGAUACUUCACAUACUCUCGAGAUUCUUAAUUUUUUUUAUUUUUUGUUUUGGACUCAACCCAUCCUCUUUGUUUGGUCCUUCACCCAAUUAUCUCCCUUUUUGAAUAUUUGUUUUCAAGCUUGACCAUCAAGUUCAUGGGCCAUAUGCCCCUUGAGUUGAAUCACCAUUUAGGAUUGAAAUUUUGGGCCAUUAUGGUAACAAUGUCGUGGGCCAUUGGCCUAUCUACUGCAAGUUACGUAAAUUUCAGAAAUAGCAAACAUUUUUCGGCAAUUCGCUUUAGAUAUUUGUAUAUUGAGUCCGAAGAGCUUCAAAAUUAGAUUUGCGUAUGUGCUCCGAAUUAUACAAAUUCAAAAGAAAUCUAUAUUUAGCUAUAUAAUAUAAAUCUGAACUGUAAAUGAUAAUUAUUUUAAAUAUUAGCCACGCACGGUAAUUAUGACUUGAUGUUUUCGCCUCCAUGUAAUUUUUUCUCUUCUUUUUCUUUAACCUUUUGUAUAGUUGAAAUGGAUUAUCCUAAUAAAUUACUUCUGAUUUUUUUUUACUUUUCGUUAUACUAAAAAGUAGAAUUUUCUUUUUUACUUUAUUCAUUUUAAGAAAUCAAAAAAUAAAAAUCUUACUUCUAGUAUUAUUGUUAUCAUUUAGGCCUUACUUGUUUGCACUUAAUGGAGGUCUGAAUCUGAAUGGUUCAAGUUUCAGUUCAUUAAGUGCAUUUGUUUUUUUUUUAUAAAUGCCUCUUAAUGUGUCUGAAAUCCUUUGAAUCAGUCAGAUAUGAAAAAGAGUCUGAAUUCUUUUUAAAACAUGAUAUAUUCCCUCAAAACUCUCUCACUUUGUUAUUUUCCUCUCUAUAUACGUGUAAAAUGAAUUAAAAUAACUUAAUUUAUUAUCAAAUGAAUUAUAAUGCAAUGGAUUAUAAUACUAGUAAUUCGCGUAUUGAAUUAUUUAUUUUCCUCUCUCAUUUGACAAUUAUUUAUUUUCCUCUCACUUUGUUAUUAAAAAUAUUGAACUAUUCUAGUAAUUAUAACUUACACCUCAAAACUCUCUCACUAUUUUAAUAAUUCAUUUUAUAAUUACAUCUUAUCACAAUAAUUUUUAAUCGAUAUAUCUUUUUUUAAUAAUGUAGAUAGUUCAAUAAUUAUAUUUAACAUAAUCUAUUUAUUUAUAUUUUUAAAUAUUUUAAUUAUCACUCAAAUAAUGUUUGUUGUUUAAGUUAAUACUUUAUCUAAAUAUUUUUUUCAUAUAAUAUUUUAUUACUUUUUAAAUUUGAAUUGCAUAUUUAUUACAAAUAAAUAAAUUACAUAUAUUCAGAUGUUAAAAAAACAAACAGUCUUAAUCAUUCAGUAUUCAGAUCAUUCAGAUAUCCAUUCAGAUUCAGACGUUUUAAUCUUAAAAAAAACGAAUACACCCUUAGUAUGAAUGCUUUAUAAGAUUAGAUAGUUACUUGGAACCGUGUCAACUCAAGAGUAAAUAACUAAAAAAAGGAAGUGGGGGAAUAAUUUAAAAAAGGAGCAGCAGUGAUCAAGAGGUAAUUAAAUUCGACCCAUCUGAUAAUUUUACUAUUGAAUUUGUGAUAAUAGUAGGUGUCAUCAUUACUUACGUAAUUCUUAUAUUAUACUAUUAUUUUAAAUAUUAAUUAUUCUAGUCAGUAAUCAUCGUUUAAAUCACGAAACCCACAACCAUUUGUCAUUUUCUAAGUUCAACACUAAAUAAACUUCACACAUCAGUCUUCGUGUCCGCGGAGCAUAAAAUAUUAAGAUCCUAAUCAAAUACUUAGUACUAUCGUUAACUUAAUUAAUCAACAGAUAAUUAUUAUAUUAUCUGAGUUUCCUCCAGGUCAGGUGAUUUAAUAUUAACAAUUCAAUUUUGAUUCCACUUUUCCUUCAAUAAGAAUCCAAAGAUAAUGUGUCGAUGUUAUCUACUAAUUUAAUAAUAAAUUAGAGAUAUCUUCACUUAAUAAACCUUUGACCCACUAGGCCAUUUGCCUUUUUUUUUUUUUUUUUUUUCAGAAAAAAUUUUUAUUAGACAAAGGAAUAUUAGUUAGUUGGUUUCAGCCUAGGGCUUCCUAAUUCCUAUAAUCAAGAUAUCUAAUCUUAAACAAACCAAAGUGGCUGGAUACGUGCAUGUAUAUUUAAUUACAUAUGUUAUUUAAACACCAAUAAAGGUCUUGCGUUUAAAUUUAGAAUAUGAAAUUGUCUUUGUUAAAAAAUAUUUUAUUUUGGAAUAUUUUUUUUAAUUCAAAUUCAGAUUUAAUUCAGACAUCAAUAAUGAUAUCAGAUGUGUCCCAUUCCAUGUAUAUGUAAUUAUAUAUGUUAUCUAUACAUCAAUAAAAGUCUCAAGCUCGAACUCAAAAUAUGAAGUAUAUAGUAUAUUUUUUUUUAACUCAAAUUUCAAUCUAGUUUUGACCUCAAUAUUAAUAUAAGAUAUGUGGAAAUAAAACCUAAAAACGUUGUCUUAACCACCCCACCCCCACUAGGGCCUAGGGGGCUUAGGGCAUGUGGGUGGAAGAGACAAGAAAGCAACCACUUUUGACAAAUUAAGUAAUGAUGAAUUAUAUAUUAAUGAAGCAUGUAGGGUAUAGUAAAAUGCAUUAAGUUAAUAAUAAUGGGGUCCAAUUUUGCUUAGUGAUUGAAAUGUGGGACUUUAUAGGUGGGUUGAUUUCAUUGUCAGGAACCAGACUAUGUUUUAAUAAUAUAUUUUGGGGGUAGAUCCAAUAUUUGUUUUCUAUGGAUUGAAUAUAGUAAGUAAAUCACAUCUACAUGGUUUGCUUUUAUUUUCUUUUAAUUAGUUUGUUUAGCUUUCUUUUUUUUUUUUUUUUUUUUUUAUGACAAGUGUUACCUUUUUGAAGAUCUCCUCAUUAUUUCACUAAAUUUUGUCACAUCAUAAUUUGAUAACAAUUUACCUGCUUAAAAUAUUUACAUCUAAUCAAUUAUUUUAUGUGACAUAAGUUUGAACAUAGAGCAAUACUUGUUCUGUUUCAAAAUAUUUGUUAUAUUUUACAUUAAGAAAGUCAAAUUAUGCAAUGUUUUAGAAUAUUUUAUUUCACCAUAUAUUAUUAUGAAAAGAAAUUGCAACUUACAAUUCAAAGUUAGGUUAAUGUUUGUUAUCUGUCAAUUUUCUCUUAUUUGAAUAAACUAUAGUAUUUGUAUUCCUCAAAAUGAUUGUUGACUAAUACUUUUCAAGGCAAAAAAAGUCUCCUAGAUUCAUUGUACUGCACUAUUGACUAAUGUGUAUAGAAUUUAAUUUUAAAUUUUAUUGUACACAUUAAAAUUUUAUGUCAGAAAUAGAUACUUUAUCCUGGAGUUUUAGGGUUCACUAGUAAAAUUCUAAGUCCUGGAAUUUCAAUUGUAGAAUGAUAUUUCUUCUUCAAAAAUAUAGUUGAAAAGUUGGUAGUGGACACUAUUCCAAUGUAGUGACAGAUUGUUCAUAAUUUUGGAUCAUAUAUAUUUUUUACUAUAAAAAUUAAAUUUGAACCAAAACCAAUAGUACUAUCAUAUUUGACCAAAAAAAGAAUAAAGAACAUUUAAUAAGAAGGUGAUGAAGAAUAAUUUGCAUCUUCAAAUUUAAAAUUUGAAGAGAGAUGAUCUAAGAUAUUAAUCAAUGCAAGAUGUUGAUCACAUAAAUAAUUCACCCAAAAAAGAGGGGGAGAAAAACAUUGUAACUUGCAUUUUCCUCAAUGACGACCAAAGACAAAUCGUCAAUCAAUUAAUGUUGAAAUAAUAAAAAUUAGUUGAAUGACUACGUGAGAAAUCAAACCAUCAUGAUAUUGUUCGCUUUGGGCCAAGUCCUUACGGAUUUGUUUUUGGGCACCUCCCAAAAAGCCUCAUACUAGUGGAGUUGGGUGACACUUUAAAUAUUGGAUAUGUUCCCUUUAUUUUUUCGAUGUGGGAUUGUGUUUGCUACUCAACAGCUUUCACAUACGAAAAUUGAUUCUAUAAAAAGUUGUUAAUAUCGACCCAAAUCAUUUGGAAAAUAAAAACCAGAAACUGGGAGUAGAGAAACACUAGAGAAUUAAUUCCACUUUUUUAAUCAAACAAUCUCUUACUUGGAAUUAAUUGCAUUUUAUUAUAUAAGAAUAAUAUAUUAAUCAAAAUUCACAAAGAACAAUCUCUUACUUGGAAUCAAUCAACUGUAAUUCGAUCUUAAACUAUUUAAGAUCGAUAAUAUGAAUUCCCUAAUUCAUUUUGCUUUGUUUGUGCUCGUAAAACUACAAGAAUACCUACACACCGACCAAUAUAUAUCGUUCUUUCAAAUAAUGAUUGGUAGAGCCAAAAUUUCGCUAAGGGAUUCAAAAUAUGAAGAAAUAAACACACAAAUAAGUCAAAGGGAGUUCUUGUUUAUAAUUUUUUGUUGAAGGGGAUUCGGACGAACCCGUUGAUCCUACCUGGCUCCACCCUGCUUUCAAGACUUUCAAAAUCUAACCUUUUUCUCCAAAAUGCAAAUAUACUUGAGGAGUUCCAUAGCAAGAACCAGAAGGCUUUUUUUUGCAGGGCUUCAUGAAAGAAACUUGAAGAUUGUUUAAUUCAAGAUAUGUUUGUUUAUUUAUACCUUUUGCUAUUGGUUUGGUUGCUAAGAGUAGUAGAAUUAUUGUAAUUUGUAGGCAUCUAUGACAGCUACGCGUCAAUUUUCAUUAUAAAUAGGAAAAUAAUGUUGGGCCCUAUACAUUAUUGCUGAAUCAUCAUAUGUAGUGGAUUUUAGAGGUGGCAAAACUAAUUCAUAUAAAAAUAUACUCCAUAAUUUAUCCAAUUUAUUUAAGUUUGACCUAUUUUUUUUAGUUAUCCAUUUUAAUUCAAUUUUUUUUUUGAAUAUAUUAAUAAUUCAUCCAUAUAAAAAUAUAUAAUUUGGUUCAGUUUGACCGCGUUAUUGACUCGCCUAUUUUUUGAGCUAAAUCUAUUUCAACUCAAAUAAUUUUUAAAUAUAUUAAUAACCUAUUCAUUUAUAAACUUAUCUCAUUUCAGUCCGUCAAAAUUCAAUUCAAUUACUAUUUCACAUUUCUAAGCCGUUAAGCCAAUUCAGGAGUAAGGUCAGUGGAUAUGGAAUUCUACUAUCAUGAGUAUGAAGUUAAUAUAAAUAUAAAUUAUAUUAAUUCAAAUAUAAUUAUAAUAUAUUUACAACUAUUUCUCUAUAUGAACUUUGAAGCAAAUAGCAUUAGAUGCAGGUUGAAAUCAAAAUUAUCAGGUGUUAUACAGAAGUUAAAAAAAUAUAAUUUAAAUAAUGAUAAAUAAGAUAAUAAAAAAAUAUAUAUCAAAAAAGAUAUCUAUGUUCAGUUGAUGACCUACAUAUUAUAAGUAAUUCACAAAUAUAAAAGAAAGCAUAAAAAUAUUAAAAAAUAUCUUCCUUUAAAUAAAAUUCUCCAAUCCUAAAAGGACUAUAUUAUAUUUGUGAAGUGAGAAGGAAGAUUUUUUCAAAAAUUAUAAAAGUUCAAAAUGAUUUUUAUAAAUUUAAGGAUAUUUCUUUGACAAUGAUCAAUUAGCCUCUCAAAAAAGAACCUCACAUAUUCAUUCUAAAAAAAUAAAAUUGACUAUGAUAAAUAUAAUAUUUUUUAUUUCUUCAAGUGAAAUGAUAGGAAUACAAUUGUGUGACAUUAGCACUUUAUAGAUAAUGCACCCACUAUACUAGGAAGUGUUGAAUAAUUUGACACGUAAAUUAAAAGGAAUAAAAGACAAUGGCUAUAAACAUUACUAAUAAGAUAAGAUUUUGGACCUUUAUUUAUCAAUCGAUUUAUUGAUUCAACUAUUUUUGUUACCAAUCAUUUGUCUAUCCUAAUUGGACCACCUAUUAAAAAAAAAAAAAUCAUCAAUAAUGAAUCUACACACUUAACAGUUGCGAACUAUUUAGGGCCCACCCAUCAAUCUCUGUUUUCUCCUUUUUCUCCUUUUUCUCCUACCUUUUUUUUUCCUUUUUAUAUAAUAAUAAUAAUCUUUUCUCACUCAACAAAAUGUUCUUCACACAGCCUUUUUUCUCUUUUUUAGGUAAUAUGAUUUUAUAAAUAAUAACUUUACGCUUAAAAUUUAAAUUUAAAAUCUCUAAUUAAAAAGAGAAAAGUUUUUACAACCACAACACAACUUUCGAUAGCUUUCUCACCCCUUUCACUUCCAAGCUAUCUAAAGGAUGUUUAUUCCAAUGCUUUUUGUUUUAACAUAUAAUAUUUAUUAUAAAUAGUUAUUUAUGUGAACAUAUUUAAUUGACACAAAGUAUAAAAAGAAAAAUUCAAAAGCUUUGCAUUCAAAAUUUAAUCCGGUAUUUCUAUAUCUAUAAAUCAUGUCAUUAAAAAUAGAAUAACUAAAUUAUUUUUAAUAUAAAAAUAUGCCACUUCUAAAAAUAAUAUCAUAUAAACUUAAACAUGUAUUGAAAUAUUUGUUAUUGCUGUUUUUUAUUUUAUUUUGAUACAUCCACUUGGUUCACAUUAAUAGAUUUUUCUAGCUUUAUACUAAAUAAUUUUAAUAUUUUAAUUUUUGUUGAUUGUGCGUAACCAUAAUAAAAAAAUUUACCUACAACAUAAUAUUAGUACUCAUAACAUAACAUGAUUGUUAUGGCAGUUUAAGUUUUCGAAAAGUGUGAGAAAAAAAGGUUGAAAAGAUUUCUGGCCUAUCAGCAGUGGCAGAGUUUGAGGUCAAAUUAUGAGCUUGAUCGAAUUUAAUAAUUUUAAUUAAAUUUUUAUAUUUAUUUAAAAGAAGUCACUUGAUAUUAUUAAUAAUUUAACAAUUUACAAAAUAAAAUUUUAAAUUAAUAAAUUUUAAAUUUUGAUUCCACCAUAAUUUACUAGACAGAGAAUAUAUGCCCACAUGUGAGCAUGGUGAGUGACUUUAUGGCCAAAAACUCAUAAAAAGUUUGUUGAGCUUUCAUGGGGUCUCUGCUGUUAUAUUUGGACAAAAUGGGACCAGAAAUAGUGGACAAAUUUUGGCAAUUGAAAAAGUGACAUAUCCAUCAACUUUUUAUACUAUAAAAUCCAGUGAUCAAUACUGAGAUAUUAUCAAAAAUAUCUGCCAACAAGUAGUAAAUGAUAGCAUACAGUUCAAUAAUGGAAUUAAAUAGGAAAUACAUGUAAAAUAUUACUUUUAAAAAAUUCUCCAUAGCUCCUAAUUAAAAAGAAUAUUACUACUUGGUACGUCAGUUGGACUUUUCCUGAUAUUUUUGCUGUAUAUAAGUGGUACAAAACUAGUCCAAAUUCUGAUUAACAUAGCCAACAAAAAUCGUUACUAUUAUUAUAAUGUGCAAGUGAUAGCUAUACACAGGGGCGGACCCACAUGUAUCGAUGGAGUACACGUGCACCCAUUAACAUAAAAAAAAUUUAUGUUUAUGUACUUUCAGAAAUCGAAAUAUAGUUAAUAGUGCACCUAGUGAGCUGUUUGAAGCCGCCGCUUCCAUCAACACGAUGGAUUGGGGAUUCGAACCCGCAACUAAUCCCAUAAAAUCAUCCUUAACCAUUAAGCUAUCAUAAUCAAUUAUUUAAUAAUGUUAAAAGUAAUAUUCAUAUUAUAAGAAAGUAAAGUUAUUAGCUUCGAACAAGUUAUUAGCUUCGAACUCAUAUUUGUUCUAUAUAUUUAUUUUUUCAGUAUUGUUCAUGUCUUUGGCGACCAAUUGAAUAUGAUAAUAAUCGACACUGAAAGUUUUUCUAACGUCUUAAGAUAAUAUUGUGCACCACAGUAUGAUCAAAAGCAAUAAGCGUAAAAAAGCUUCAAGGUCUAUUGUGUUUAAGCACAAAGUACAAAUAAAGUGUGAGAUUUAACGAAAAAGGGAAUAAAGAGAGAAAAAAUAUAAAUAUAGGUCUAGUCCAAGACUAAUAAUAUAAGUAUGAAUGACAAAUAUAUGAACAAAAAAAUUAGUUUUUUUUUUAUAAAGUGAAAUAGUCAGUCUCUUUAUAAAGCCUUAUUGACAAGGGAAAGUAUGUAUUAGAAAUUAGAACCUAAACUGCACAUUAAGCGAGGCGAGCACUUAACAUAUUUUGAGUCUUGCUUCGAGGCUUAUGCGUGCCUUUGACAACAUCGAUGCACCCACAGACUUCAAAUCCUGAAUUCGUCUCUAAGCUUAUACACAUAAAUUUGGAGGAUUUGCAUAGGCAAAAAUUAAUUAACUUUUUUCCCAGUGGCAAAAUUAAUUGACUGACUGAACAUUUUUUCCAUAUCUUAUACCAAACUAUGUAAGUUCGUAGAAUUAAUAUCUAACAAUCUCCUAAACUCCAAAUUAUACUCCUUCUGCCUUUUUAAUUGACAUUCUUAAUUUCCUUUUUAGUUUCUUUAUAAAAGAAUAUAAUCUUACUAUAACAAUUUAACUUUAAAGUUCAUCUUUUACCCAAAGACUUUAACUUUAAAAUGGUGCGGAGGGAGUAACAUUUUCUGUCAAAAACUUUUUUGUAGUGCGAAAUAGCAUGGAGAGACGUCAACUCUCUUAAUUAUUCUUUUUAUUAUUAUUUGCUAUUUUCUUUUAAAACAAAAAUCUUCAAAACUCUAUAUUUUUUUACCAACAACAAUAUACUAGUUGAAACACAUACCCUUAAGUUAUUUUAAGUGAGAAAAGGAAAAGAAGAAGCCAAAUUGUGGUUAUAAUCUUAAAGACUAUCCAAAGCAACAAAAUAUAUCAAGAAUUCAUUGGAGCAUUGUGGUUGUGGAAACUGCAAAUUAACUUACAGUGCUACGCACAAAUUAUAAUAUGUACUUAAUGAUCGAAAUUCAUGACACGUAUUGUCUGCUUUGGAUUUAAUUUUGCAUAAUUUAAUUUGCUUUCGGGUUAUAUCAAGCAUAUGACGUGAAUUUAUGUCAUGCCUUAUAAAGUUAUUCACUCGAAGUUUGUCAGUCUAGAAGUCUGUCAAUUCUGCUAUUCAUCUACCCACCCUCUAUCAGAAUGCAUACACUAACAAAGAUAUAUGACUGUCAUCUUUCUCUUUUAACAUUUUUAAUCUAUCAUACGUACCAAAGCAAUACUCCCGAAGUAUUAGUUAGGAGUGGUACCUAAUUAUAUUAUUAGUUGGCCUGAAUAGUACGAAAUGUAUAAAAAUAAGGGUUCAUGUACCUUACAUGAACUAUUUUGUGACAUAGAUAUAGUUAGAUCAUUGAUUUGAUUGAUAUACAUAUAAUAUACAUGCAAUAAGAGAUUGACAAUGACUUUUGAAGUGAGGUACACUAUCUUCAAGGUCACAAGUUCUUUCAUAUGAGUCUAUCUAACUAACAUAUUACCAGUGAUAGAAUGCUUUUUCCUCUUAAAAAACUACGACACUAACUUCCAUGCUACCUAAGAAAAUUAAUUAGCCUAUUAUUCUAACAGUACUCCCUCCGUCUCAUAAUAAAUGAAUUGUUGAAUUUUGACACACAUAUUAAGAAAAAGACAUCAAAGACAUAAAUUUAACGCAACUUUUCAUUUUUACCCCAAAAAAAAAAAAGUUGGUCUUAUAAUACUUUUUCAAAAGUUAAUUGGUUGUCAAAUCAUAAGGACAAAUUUGAAAAAAAAUUUAAUGAUUCACUUAUUUUGAAACACCAAUAAAUACCCCAACAAUUCACUUAUUCUGAAACGGAGGGAGUAAUUUUCAUCCACUAUGUGAUGGCAUUCCACUCGAUACGAUAGUAAGGCCAACUUUUGUCCCGCUUGAGGGGUAGUUUAUAAGCUCCCUUCUUUUGUUGCACUCGAGGGUCAAUCUCCGUUCGGUCUGAAAAAUAUUUUCACACUAUCUGUUAAAACAUUAUAUCUUGUUGUAAGAAUCUUUUGAUUAUCUAAACCAACACAUGUAACAUCCUUUGACAUUAUGAAUUAAUUAAUGCCCCAAUGACUUUCCUAAUCUCAGUACUUAUAUUGAUUUAUUGCCUCAAUAUGUCAUACUUUAGUGAAGUACGUUGUCAGAAUAGUAAGUUCCACUCUAGUAAUUUUUGGUACUCAUCUUAUAAUUAAUGAUUUUUCAUUCAACUAUAUUACUCACUAUUUUUCGUUCCUCUACUCAUUUACAUAUGUGUGGUCCAUAUGGCCACACUCAUGGGCGGACCGACGUACAAUUUUCGGGUGCUCGAGCACCCACUAAACUCGAUAUAGAAGAGGUAUAAUUAUAUAAGAAACAGUGAAAAAAUGAUAAAAUAUAUACAAAAGCACCCAGAGAACAAAAGCAUGGUUGGGUGCUCUGGCUUUAGACAUAACUUUCAUGUCUUCCACGCUGGGAUUGAAUCCCUGUAGCUGCGUUGUUUAGUAAAAUUUUUUUUGAGCACCCACAACCUACAAAAGCUGAGUCCGCCACUGGCCACACUUAAAAUCAAAAGUCAAAACAAAUUUCCCUAGUAAGGUGAAUGGCCCAUCCACAUUUAAUUGAAUUCGUACUACUUGUAUAAUUAGACACUCCCUAAUCAUAUCAUUAGAGCAUGACAAAGAAUGCAUUAUUUUAUAAUUUCAACCUAAUUAAGCCUUACACAUUGGCCGGCUUUGUCCACGUGGCAUCUAUAAGAACCUAAUCACUAAUAAUUAAUCAGUUAAUUAUUCUAAUAAGUACAACAACAACAACAACAACAAACCCAGUGUAUUCCCACUUUGUGGGGUCUGGGGGGGGUAAGAUGUACGCAGUCCAUACCUCUACCUCUGAUGAAGUAGAAAGGCUGUUUCCGAAAGACCCCCGGCUCAAGUUACGAGAUAUCAAACAAACACAUAGUACAGCACAGAAGCAGAUGACAUAACAUAGAUACUGCAGCCAUAAGGAAUAUAAAACAGAGUAAAGCAGUAAUGCAGGAAUAUAAAGCAGAGGAAAGCACACAGAUUCGUAACAAACAUAGAACACGGAACACGGAACAGAACAUUGAAUACGGAAUCAUACCAGGAAUACACCCCCACCAAUUACCUCCCUACAUUAGCGACCCGAACAGGCCCUAAUCCUCUGCCGUAAUUCGCGUCUUCCAGACCUUCCUAUCUAGGGUCAUGUCCUCGGUAAGCUGUAACUGUUCCAUGUCCCGCCUAAUCACCUCACCCCAGUACUUCUUCGGUCUACCCCUACCCCGUCUAAAACCAUCCAACGCUAGCCUCUCACACCUACGGACCGGGGCAUCCAUGCCCCUCCUCUUCACGUGUCCGAACCAUCUCAAUCGUGCUUCCCGCAUCUUACACUCCACUGAAGUCACCCCAACCUUCUCCCGGAUAGUCUCAUUCCGAGCUCUAUCCCUUCGGGUCAGUCCACACAUCCAGCGCAACAUCCGCAUUUCUGCCACCUUCAUUCUUUGGGUGUGGGAGUUCUUAACUGGCCAACACUCCGCUCCAUACAGCAAGGCCGGACGGACUACCACCCUAUAGAAUUUACCUUUAAGCUUGGGCGGCACCUUCUUAUCACACAGCACCCCCGAUGCAAGUUUCCACUUCAUCCAUCCCGCCCCGAUACGGUGCGAGACAUCCUCGUCAAUCUCACCGUUACUCUGGAUCACGGACCCGAGGUACUUGAACUUAUCCCUUUUCUUUACCUCCUGCGCUUCUAGCCUCACCACUACCUCAUUCUCUCGCCUUACGUCAUUAAACUUACAUUCCACAUACUCUGUCUUGGUUCUGCUCACCCUGAACCCUUUAGACUCCAGAGUUUGCCUCCACAGCUCUAAUUUGUCGUUCACACCCCCUCGCGUCUCAUCUAUCAGGACUACAUCGUCUGCAAAAAGCAUACACCACGGCACCUCCCCUUGGAUACGCCGCGUUAACACAUCCAUUACUAGCGCAAACAAAAAGGGACUAAGAGUAGAUCCCUGAUGCAAUCCUGUCAGGACAGUGAAAUGCUCUGAGUCUCCUCCCGCCGUCCUCACCUGGGUUUUCGCUCCCUCAUACAUAUCCUUAAUUACUCUGCUAUAUGCCUGCGGUACUCCACUCACCUCCAAGCAUCUCCAAAGCACCUCCCUGGGGACUUUGUCGUACGCCUUUUCUAGGUCGAUGAACACCAUGUGCAAAUCCUUCUUCCUUUCCCUAUAUUGCUCCACCAACCGCCGUACCAGGUGAAUUGCCUCCGUCGUCGAGCGGCCGGGCAUAAAUCCGAACUGAUUUUCCGAGAUAGACACUAUCCGUCUCAGCCUCACCUCGACCACUCUCUCCCAGAUCUUCAUAGAGUGACUCAGUAACUUAAUCCCCCUAUAGUUAUUGCAACACUGAAUGUCCCCCUUAUUCUUAUAGAGGGGGAUCAUGGUACUCCACCUCCACGCCUCGGGCAUCUUUGCUGUCCUGAAAAUUUCAUUGAACAAUGCAGUCAACCACCUUACACCAGCCUCUCCAACGAACUUCCAAAACUCCACCGGUAUCUCAUCCGGCCCCGUCGCCCUACCCCUUCGCAUCCUGCGGACUGCCUGUCUAACCUCGUCUACCUUAAAACGUCUACAAUAGCUAAAAUCCCGACACUCCCCUGAGUGCUCCAGUUCCCCUAACACAAUAGCUCUGUCCCCCUCGUCAUUCAAGAGCCUAUGAAAGUACGACUGCCAUCUCUUCUUUAUGUGGCCGUCCUCCACCAACACUCUACCGUCCUCCCCCUUAAUGCACCGCACCUGAUCGAGGUCACGACCCUUCCUCUCCCUAGCCUUAGCGAGUCGGAACAACUUUUUCUCCCCUCCUUUCCCCUGUAACCCUGCAUACAAGCUCUCAAAAGCAGCCGUCUUAGCUGCCGUGACCGCUGACUUCGCCUCCUUCCUUGCUAGCUUGUACUCUUUCCUGUUUACCCGCUUCUCCUCUUCGUCCUUACUUUCCACCAACUUAGCAUACGACUCUUUCUUGGUCUCCACUUUCUUCCCCACCUCUUCAUUCCACCACCAAUCCCCCCGAUGAUGUCCGGCCCGGCCCCUAGAAACACCCAACACCUCCCUUGCAUUUUCCCUGAUGCACGCUGCCGCCCUGUCCCACAUAUUAUCCACGUCCCCCCUACACUCCCACACCCCCAUUCCCGCCAACCUCUCCCCUAUCUCCCACGCAUUCACUGGCGUCAAACCGCCCCACUUAAUUCUCGGUCUACACUCCUUACUCCUCCUCUUUUUAUUCUUCUUCAUACCCAAAUCCAUAACCAAGAGCCUAUGUUGGGUCGAAAGGUUCUCACUCGGGAUGACUUUACAAUCUUUACACAGCGCCCUAUCCCCUUUCCUAAGCAACAAGAAGUCAAUCUGGGUCCUGGCUACCGCGCUCCGAAAAGUGAUCAGGUGGUCGUCCUUCUUCGGGAAGCCCGAGUACUUGUUUUAAAAGUGGAAAGCUCCGUAGUUAAAAGUAGAAUAUUUUUUUGAUCCAUAUGCCUUAAAAGUUAAAAUAAGAAACCAGAGAUACCGUGAAAGAUUAAUAAUGUUUAAACCGUUGUAAUAGAAAAAUCUUCACUUAAUAAACCAUUGUCCCAUUACCUUAUUUUUAUUCAUAUAGGACAAUUAUUGGGAUAUUUAUUAUUAUCCGUCUGUCCCAAUUUCUUUUACCCUUUCGAUUCUCCACCAUUACGUUACGUGUGCAUCUCAAUUAAAAAGAAAAGAUCGAAUUCGGUCCUAUUAAACUAAGCGUAUAUAUAUUUAAGGGUGACUGAAUUGGUUGAGCAGAUAAUCUUUCAAAUAGAGUGUCUUGGAUUCAAAACCUCCUAUAUGCUUUCUCGAUCGAGCUCAUUGCAUGAGUUUGCUACCUUUUUCGAGGCUUAUGAAUUAUUAUACUAAACCGAGAUUUAUCUUGUGCACACUUGAAGAGUAGCAAUUGAGGUUUUCUUGUCAACAUAAAAAAAUUAGUGUGUAUAUAUAUAUAUAUAUAUAUAUAUAUAUAUAUAUAUAGUAUUUUAAAUAAUAAAGAGCACUCAUUUGAUUAACAUGCUAUAUUUACCUAAUCUAUGCAACAACUUGAAUAAAAAAGCUUAGAUAUAUUGUGUACUCUGCAACUCCGCCUAUGAAUUUUAAAUGUUAGGAUAAUGCUUUUUAUAACUAAUUAGAAAAAAUUAAUAAGACAUGUAGAUUUAUUUCUUUAUGUGCUCUUUCCAGUACAGCAGCUAAAAGUCAAAAGGUUUUUAUGGGCCAUGUGACCCGAUUCACCGAAAUCCAUUUCACUUUUGGCCCAAUAGUUAUGGGGUCCACUAUUAGGUUGGUGGGUGGGUUCGAGGCACAAAUAGCCUAUUUAAAUUUGUAUUCUAAGUUAAAAUAAAUUCUACAAAAAUAACUUUCGAAUUAAAACUUAAUUACAAGGAUCGCUAAAAGUUCUGAUGGAUAGACGAAGACUUAUCUUGCCACAUGUCCUGAUGAAAUCUUAGUGGAUCAUCGGGACUUUAGGAAAAAUUGUAUUAUAAUAGCAAAUUUGUUAGAAUUUCAAUUAUAAGUUGAUUAUAGUUCUAACGAAUUAUUUGAAUUUGCGCAAAAAAAAAAAAAAUAGGUAAAUUAAUUUCAAAUUUGAUGUUGAACCUUCCAAUAUCAAUUAUCAAGAAUUCCUAAUGAUUGAUUCAAUCCAAGCAUUCAAAAAUCAAUAGAUCUAUUAUGUCAUGUUCAACAAUUACAUCAACAAGAUCUAAUGAUCUAAGUAUUGUCCAAAGUCCAAACCAACCCCAAAUAAGUAGGAGAUGUUUAAAAUAUAUGAUGUAUUUUCUUUGAAAUUGCUCAGUUUUUUCAUCCAUUUAUAUCUUUGUUGCUAGUUUCAAUUUCAUUGGAAGUUUGGAACUAACUUUGACCUCGUUCAGUUUUUUACUUUUUACCCUUACUUUUUGGGUCUCUGUAACCUAAAUAUAGAAUAGGACCCAAACUUGUCUUAUUCUGCAAUUAUGUUGUACUACUUAUCAUGUUAUCUGAUAUAGAGACAAUGGGUCCUACAUGUAUCCACUGGGUCCCUAUAUCUUUGACCACUUGACUUCUUUUACCAAUAAUUAUAGUAACUUUUACUAAAAUUAAAAUAAUAUUAUGCAUAUAUAUAGUAUACGUCAAAUUAAGAAACGGAAAAUAGAACAAAAAUGGGAAAAAGGGCUUCAAUUUUCAAAUUUUUUUUGGCAUUUUCGUUUUGGGCUUUGAGAGAAUUAUUAGUAUCAUUUGCAUUUUUGUACCUAUUUUGUGCUCGUUUUUAAUUAUAUUCUUUAUAACAAAUAUUUUUAAUUUUUGUAUCAUAAAUUUUGUGUCUGAACUUUAAUUAUAAAGAAUUUAAAGGAUAAAAAUUUAAAACUAAUCCAUUUAAAAGGAAAAUGUGUAAUUUUAUGAUAUUCGGUUUACAUUAACGUACAUUGGGCCGAAGUAUAGAAAUACCUGAUUUUAAGAUCAUUAUUUAUGUUAUAUUCGCAUAAAAGAAUUUAAGUCUACAUUUUAGACAUGUGGAUAUUAUCAGACUAUAUAACUUCAAACACGACAUAUUUAAGUUAUUCCGGAUAUAGAUACACAUAUAUAUAUGAGAAAAAAAGAAGGUACAAAUUAAAUGACAAUGUCUAAAAUAAAAUAUUUGUGAUAGUUACGUCAACGCCUUCCCAUAUAACUUGAAAUAAAUUUCUUGAUUGACUACUACUUUUCGAGGAGAAAGUUUGUAUUGUUGCAUAUAUGCAUUGUAUCACAUUUUUGCACUGUUAUUUGUUGACUAAGAAAUAAGCAAGCAACCAAUGUAUAGUAAAGUUGAAAACUAAGAUAGAGAUUGAAAAGGAUAAAGAGAAAAAGAACUUGUGUUCUAAUACAUGCAUGACUUUGAUUAAAAACUAAGUUAUUAACAUUCAAAAAGAGGACAAUCAAGUCAUUAAUCAACACAAUGUGUUAGAAGGGAUGGAAUUGUCAACCUUCUUUAGUGCUGAUAGGGGUUGUAGUCAGUGGCGGAUAUCCCUCCGUUUUAUAAUAAAUAAAUUAUUGAAUUUUGACGCACAGAUUAAGGAAAAAGCAUUAAAGACAUAAAUUUAGCACAACUUUUCAUUUUUAUCCCCAAAAAAAAAAGUUGACCUUGUAAUACCUUUUCAAAAGUUAAUUGGUUAUCAAAUCAUAAGGGUAAAUUUAAAAAAAAUUCAAUGAUUCACUUAUUUUGAAACACCAAUAAAUACUCCAACAAUUCACUUAUUUCGAAACAGAGGGAGUACUAUUUUUAUACAGUCAAAAAUAUUUUUAUGUAUACACAGUAGAUGUUGAACCCCCAUCGACUAGUCCAUAUAUUUACUUCAAUGAAAAUCCUGGCUCCGUCACUGGUUGUGGUAUCUAACUCCGCCCAUGUGUGAGUAUUUAGCUAGGUCUGUACGAGAUUGUUCACAUCAUCGGCUCAAACUUAAUUAAACAGGAGGGUUGUUGGAGGUCGAUCAAAAAUAAUCAGCCUCUCUACCGCAUAAAAGUAAAAAUAAAACUACAUAUAUUUAAUCCUUUAAAUUUUAUUUGUAAAAUUAUAUUAAAUUUGUUGUUAUUGGUAGAUUUCACAAAGGAAGGAAGAAAAAAUUAUAAAAUUUUAUCAAUAUCUUAAGUAUAAAGUAAAUUUGAAAAAGAGGCAACCAAGACAUUCAUUAAGCAGAAUUUACCCGCACUCAAUAUAUAUUUACGUUUAGUCAAUAAAUGCACGUAAUGCGUUUUCGUAUAAACUCUCACUACUUAACUAUGACAUGUUAAAAUUCAUUUUUACCUCAUUAAAUCACUUAAUUAAACAUAGGUGCUGUUAAGAAGAAAAAAAUUCAACUUUCCAAAAAUGGUGAUCUUUUAAAGAGGAAGAGUAUGAUGAGUUGAAAACUCUCAACCAUAAAAAAAACAAAUAGAAAUUGAAUGAAAAUCAUCAUUUUACUUGAAAUACUUUUCAAAUAAGUCUUUUCUUUUUCCUUAACAUUUCAUUCUAAUUUGAAAUGCUAAUGACCAAACCAAUUCCAAUACUUCAAAUACUACAAAAACAAACCAAUAUUUGCAAAUACUAAUAUUUUAAAAGUCAUAUAAGUGAUUCUUUUUAAAUAAACUAAAACGAAAAGUAAAUCACAUAUGCCGAACUAGAACAUUAUACAUAGCCAAGAUCUGAAGCCUUCAAAUAAUUUCUUACUUGGAAUUGAUAAUUGCAUUACUACCUCAUUUCUGAAGUAGAGAAACAAACUGCGUACAUUUUACCCUAUCCAGAGUCCAGAGACCUCACUUUGCGAGAUCCAGUAAGCUUGUGAUUGUUGUUGGAAUUGAUAAUUGCAUUGUGGCCACUGUCAUGGAAACAAAAUUCAUACUCCACAUAUAUGCUUAUUUCCAUUUUUGUUUGUAUAAUUCUUUCAUCAAAUCUUAUUCAGUUUCAUCCAAGCUCGACUUCACAUAAUUUUUGUGGAAGAAGAAGAAGAAGCGAUUCGCCAGACACUAUAUUUCCAAAAGGUAGAUAAUAGAAGGCAUUUUGGAGGUACUUCAAUGGAAAUGCUAUUAUUUGCUUUGUUAUUGAAACAGAGGGAAUUUCAAGUUAAUUUGUUUAUAUACAACUUUUUUCAUUUGUGUGGCACAAAGAAGAAAAUAAGGGGAAUAUAUAUAUAUAUAUAUAUAUAGAAUAAUAGUGGAUAUUGUACAUUAAUUGUUGGUAAGUUGUUGCCUGUUGGGACCAUUGACUUUAUUCUUCAUUUAUAUAUCAUCCCUAUCUACUUCACUACCAUGUAAUGUUAGGCAGUAGUUUUUUCUUUUUUCCACAUUCGGUGUCGAUAUUCGUCCUAUCACAUAUUACAUAUUCAAGCGAUAAAAAUAGUCUCUUACAAAUAAAAAGUAAAGUUGCAUACAAUUAAAUUUAAUACUUUUUUAAUCCAAUACAAUGCUAUAAAUGAGAUGUGAAGAAAGUAGGGAGUAUGCAGAAUUUAUGUCCAUCGAUCUUUUUAAGAUGAAAAGAGUAUUUUUAAUGUCGAUAUUCAUAACAAAAUAGUCCAAUGAAUUUAAAUUUACACCACAUAAAAUCCAUAAAGAAAAGUACUUUUUAUUAGAUUUUCUUUAUUUUUAUGACUUGAAUUUGAAACUUGUUUCCAAUUAAAGAUAAAAAAAUUCUCUGUGUGUCACCACUAAUUCUUAUCGGUAAUUUAGGUGAUUGUUUGGUAGCAUUAUUGUGAGAAAUAGGUUAUAUGUUAUUCUAUUCUACAUAAAACAAAAUAUUAUUAUUAUUAUUAUUAAUAAUAAUAAUAAUUGUGCUAAUAUAAUUCCUUUAUUAACAACUCCUGUGUAACUUAUGUUUGAACUAAAAUAAAAGAACUUAAGUCCAUCCAAGGUUUCGAUUUACUUAUCAUUCCUUUGUACUAACAAGUCCAAAAUUACAUAAGUACAAAAUACUUUUAAAAUCUACUGCAUAUUUCUUCUGUCUCAAUUUAUGCAAAAAUAAUUCUUUUAUAAAGUAAAUUUAAUCAUACUUUGAAACCAAUUAUGUUAGAGUAAUUUAAUAUUUUAAAAUUAAAUAAAAAUAUUUAAAAUUAUACAAAAAGUAUUAUAAAUUGUAAUCUUUCUCAAUUCAAUAUGACAAAAAUUAUAUUUUAAAUUAUUUUUUAAAACAUAUAAUUUGAAUCUCCACUAGAGAAAAUAUCAUAUAAACUGAAAUGGUUGAAGUAAUUAAGAAAUCGCGUAACUUUUUUUUUUCUUUCUAAAAGGGGGAUUGAAGGUGGAAAUGGUUAAUGUGAUAAUUAUUCAAAUUUAUUAGAAUAACAAACUGACUGUAGUGGGGUGAUUGAAAUUUUUCUAUUUUUAAUAAAAGAUCUCGAAUUUCAGCUUCUGAGAAUGGGAAAAAUUCCUUUGGGAGCAUCAUUUUUAGAAAUAAAUCCUAUCAUUCGAGAAUUUAAAUUUAAUCAAACUCUAAUACAAAUAUAUGAUGUUUCAUGAAACCAAAAAAACAAAAACUAUAGUAAGACCAAUUAUCCACAGUUUAAAAAGUGCAUCCACUCAGAGGCGGAACAAGAAUUUUAAAUAAGCGAGUUCAAUAUUCAAAGAAAACUAAAUUGAGGGGGGUCAAUGCCUGCUAUAACUAUAUAAAAAAUAAUUUUAAUUAUGUAUAAAUAAUAUUUUUUCUAUCGAAAAGAAUUCGAACGAAUCCGUAAAGAGGCGUAGCUCCGCCUCUACAUCCACUAUGCUAUCUUCCCCAACUCACGUUCUUGAUAUCAAAAGUUUUUCCACCAAAAAUAAGAUUGAUGACAAGUGGGAACAAAGAAAGAUUCAAAAGUGAUAAUGAUUUAGAAAAACUAUAGAAAAAAUAAAUAUAAUAUUAUCACUUAAAAACAAAAUGAUGUAAAAAUAAAUAAAAAGAAACGUUGGAAAAUUAGACACGUAAUAGAAUUGAGGGAAUAAAAGACAAUGAAUAUACAUCACAAGAUAAGACUUAUUACCUUUUUUUCUUUCUUAUCCAAUUAAGUAAUUUUAUUAAUUCAACUAGUUUGGUCCCAAUCAUUUACCUAUUUUGAUUGGACCACAAUUACAAAUAUUAUCAAUAAUGAAUCUUAGCCGUUGAAAAAUUAAGUAUUGGAGGACCCACCAUCCAUGUCUUUUUCUCUUUUAUUUUUUAGGCCUAUUUUUUAUGAUAUAAUUUUUAACUAAUGUUUGCUCAAUCAAGAAAAUUAUAUUCUAAUUCCUUUGUCUUUCAAACAAAAGCAAAUUUAAAGCAUGUUUUAUUCUUUGUCAAAAGAAGAUUUAGACUUUGAAUUUCCCUUUCAACCUCUUAAUUUGACAUAAAAUUCUUUGCCACAUCAAUUUUUUUAAAAAAUAUAUACUACUAAUGGGGUCCAUAUAAAUUUGUUUGUUUUUGAAAGCUAUGACUUAAUUUUGGAAAAGUUCAAUUAUUACAACUAGUUUGUUACUAUUUUUUUGGAAAAUAAAGGGAUGGAAUUCAGAAUAAUUGAGUAAUAUUGAUGGCUACUUUUUUGCACAAAAUGAAGAAAAGAAAAAAGAGAGAGAGUAAAAAAAGAUUGGAUAAUAAAGGGUAAAAAGCACUUCCUAUUUUUAUUCAAUCUCUUGCUAAUUUUUAUGAUUCUUAAACACAAUAUAUUGUACAAAGUUCUUUUUUCCUUCUACGUAAUGGAAUAUUUAGAAGUGCUUAUUUUUUCACUAGCUUAUAACAAUGAUCUUUCAAAGUGCAAAUCAUCAAUUAUUCUCUUAUCAACUUGUUUUCAUGUAGAUGAGAUUGUUUCACUUGAUCUACUUAGGAUUUUUUUAUUAAGUAGUAUAUAUUCACAUUUAGCUAUUGUAUAAGAAUUUAUUAGUAUUAUACUUUCUCCAUUCACUAUAUCAAAAAUAAAUAUUUAAUUUUAUUUAAAUUGAAAAAAAUAAAAUAUCCUAUCAUUAUACAAUAGUGAAUGGAGAAAGUAUAAUACUAAUAAAUUCUUGGAAGAUAUAAUACUAAGGCAACCAUAGUGGUGAUUUCCAUAACAUUUUUUCAUUUUUUAAAGUUUUGGAAGAUGUGAACAAAUAAAAAAAAUAGUAGGCCCCACAGUGGAAUUUUUAAAACUUUUGUGGGCAAAUAAUUUUUUUGUAAAUAAAAAAUGGAGUGGGUCCCACGAAAGGACACUAAAAAAGUGUCCAAGCCUACAAGGCAAAAAGAUAUCUGGACACAAGUGACCUUCUGGAAGCCAAAAAAAAAUAAAAAAAAUACACUAAAUUAAACAUAUGCUGACCUUUCAAGGGCCCUAUGCUGUUCAAUUUGGAAAAAUGGGACCAGCAAAAGAAGGUCAAUUUUGUCAAUAUCAAAAUUCUACAUACAUCUAUCAAAAUCCUUAAAAUAAUCCAAUUAUCUAACAUUGAGAUAUUAUCAAAAUAUCCACCACUUAAUGAUAAUAUAUUAAAAUAAUUUAUAGUUUUAUACCGCCCGUUUUAUUUUUCUUGACUCAUAUCUACUUGAUACAUCUCUUAAAUUUUAUUUAAUAGAAAUAUAUUUUAUUAAAUUAACCUUAUUAGCUAAGCUUUGAAACUCUAAAUUUUGACUACUACUACUUUAUGUAGUUAUUUAAUCCUAAGGAUAAUAUGAAAAAAAAAAAAAUUAAACUUUCUUCAUUCGUAAAAAUGAAUAAAUAAAUUAAAACACAUAUUUAGUAUGAAAAAAUUACAUCAUAUCGAUCAUACUACAACUUAACUUAUCAUAACUACCUUAAAAUCACAAUCUUUAAAAAAGAAUAUAAAUCUCUUAUUUUAAUUAAAAGCUCAGAUGCAUCAAUGUGAAGUAUUCGUGUAAAAUUAAGUGACGUUUACGGAUGAGAUGAAAUAUGUCAAAGAUUAAAUGUGAGAUAAUUAAUUAAAUAAGUUCUUACUUUUAUAUACUUUGGAGUUGCAUGUUGGAUCAGAUGUAAUAUCUCUCAAUAUAUAUUAAGUCUAUGGCAAAAUUUAUAUUGUAUUUAAUUCACGUUAUAAAUUUAUACUUGCAAUCAAAUAUUAUAAUUGAUGAUAAAAUAGAAUCAUGAAUAGUAAUUCGAUUGAGGAUGAAAAAGCUUAACUCUUGGUUCAAUGUAUGUAAUUCUAAGCUAGUACUAUCUCUUUCUUAUUGCACAUUAGAGUAAAAUACUUGGUGAAAAGAAAAUGCCAAAGAAAGGCAAGUUGUGGAAUCCAAAAGAGAAGUGACCUUUUCAACAAAUCAACUUUUGCUUCUGGCUUUGUAAAGUCUGUAUAUUGAAAGUGAUUCCAAGUACUAUUCAAAGCAAACAAAAUAGGGGCGGAAUGACAAGAACUCUUUCAUUCCUGAGUUCGAGUCUUAAAUAUGAAAGUAGUCUUUAGUAAAGAAUGGUUUAUCCCUCUAGUGGGUAUUCUCGGUGCGAAACUGAAUAAUCGAACUCCAAAGUGGAUACCACAUACUGAAGGGGGUAAAAAAAAAAAAAAACAAGAGCAGGAAAAAAAAUUUAUUGGGGGUAUUGAGCUGUUGAUAUUGUAAUUUGCCCAAAAAAAAAAAAGGUAGGGGACCUCAAUUGAAAAUGAAAUGAUAUGAGAAAGAUUAGGUCCUACAUCUUGCUAUAUAGUUCACACACAUGUAGUGCAACAAAAUCAACUGUUAUUUAAAGCCACCCAUCUCAAUCUCAAAUCUAUCUAGGUGUUGUGCAUGUGUGUUCAAAGAUAGCCCCCACCCUUGUCCUUUUUACCUAUUUUUUUAUUUAUAAUCACACCAACCAAUGAUAAGAACAACUUGCUCCCCUUAUUUGGAAGUUGCUAAGAUGCUUCAAUUCUUCUUUUUCACUACACUAAGUUUCAACUCUACAUGGAGAAUAGACAUAGACAUGUACAUUAAAAAUAAUAUUUUAUUCAUGUAGUCGACUUCGACUAAUUAAGAUUCGAGUCACACAUACAAAAGUGCAAUAUACAUAUUACACAUCAUCGAUAUGGUUGAACUUUGUGAUUUACCUUUUUAAGUAGCCUGAAUGUGUAAACAAACGAAAAAGUUUCAAAAAUAUUACACUACAUAGCCCAUUAUCAACUUUUAAGUGUAUAAUAAAUCGGACAACUCACUCAAAAUACGAGCUACGUGAGCGUAAUUUUCCAAAGGCGGCUUGAAAAGGAUACUCCAAGGAAACAAAGCAAGAGCUAAGUCACAAGUAGAGUCCAUAUUUGCUAAAAGAGAGCAAGUAACAUGAUAUAACCAACAGAGAGAGCCAAUGACACAAUGCCUUUCCCAAAACAAAAAACAAAAACUUAUGACCAUCAUUCACGGAUUCCCGUCUAUCUGUCAUUGACAGACACUAUUUUUCAGCCCAUAUAAAGUAAAGAUUGGACAUAAAACUUGAAAGUAAGUAAAAAUCUUUGAGGGCUAGCUAUCCAUUUUAUAUGUGCCAAGACAUACACAUAUACACCUUGCAUUACACUUAUAUAUGUCCAAAAAGAUAAAUACUGUCCAGAAAAUGCUAUCCAAGCAAAGUAGAAACCACCUUUAGGAAAAGAAUAAUGAAUUACUGAAUGCAUCAGAAUUCCUACUGAAAAAACUUGGAAGGUAACACAACCUUCACUAUUUUUCUUAGUUCUUAUCACUGACCUGCUCCCCCACCCCCCCACACACAAAAAAAGGGAACCAAAAACCUUUUUCUUUCCUGGACCUAACCUCCAUCAUCAGCCAUGCAGGAAUGAGCUGAUAAAAUUUCCAGCAAACCAUCCUGUGAUCAUCAAAAACCAACCGACCGGUCGAGCAGCGCUUUCACUUGUGAUCUCCCCCUAUAAGCAGCAGCCAGAUAUACACCACGCGAAUGUGUUGUACAACAUCCAUCCACAUGUUGAUCGACUUGCAUUCCGUGCAAAAUCAUUCGAGGAUCAGUCCUCGAACCGACAACAUAGUGCCCCUUUCAAAACUGCAGGUUCUUCAUUCAAAAUUCCGAGUUUCUUUGACGUGCCUCCGCUUGGCAGCCCCAUCAUCAUCAAGUUGAACAGUGUUCAUUUCUUCUCAGGCUGCCAGCACGCAUGCAAAUUGUCAUUUCCUGGUCAAGAAUUAUGUUUCACUUCAUGAAUUACUUCCCAUUUAAUCUAAAUCAUUAAUUUUGUGUUAAAACUCCCUAGACUUGUCUACCUAGAAAUGGAGCUGAAACGUAGAUAAAGGAUGAUCAUAAAACUACUCACCCGCAGGUUGUUUCUGUUCAGCUGGCUUCACCUGAACUGCUGCCGGAACAGGGUGCACAUACGAGAAACCAGCAGGCAAAAGCUGAUGUUGACUUCCUGAUGUUGGUGUUGUAUAUUGGGAAGCAUGAAGUAUACCUUGUGAAGGCAACACACCACCUUUAAUAUUAUUAGCAGCAGCAGCUGCAGCUGCAAUUGCUUUGGCAGGAUCAGAAGUGGUGCCACCACCUAGAGUAACAGGACAGAGAGUCAACAUCCCACUUGAAGAUGGCGGAGCUGAUGAACCAGGCGGCUGUUGGCCAGGCUGGUCAGGACGUCGUCUCUGAAGAUAAUAUCCCCCAGUAGCUUGACCCGUAGAACUUGUUACACUAGAAUGUGGAGGUUGAGCAUGCACAUAAGGACUUGAGAAGAACAGUUGUGCUUGCUGCAUACUUUUCUGUAAAUGUUGCUGCUGCUGUUGCUGCUGUUGCAUUUGAGACUUCGUUCCACCACCUGAAGUCGAAGCUAUAUGAGGGUUUCCAAGAAUUGAGGGCACAUUCCUCCCACCAGCGGGAGAUGACUUCUGGUUGGGAACAGAAGACGAGGAUUUACCCUGCUGUGUCGACAAUGAUGAGUUUUGGACGGUUUUAUUGCUUGUAGUAGUAGAAUUUGUAGGUCUUGGGCUUCCACUGGCACCUUUUGAGAUUGAAGAAGUGGUAGGAGAGCCAACCAUCAUGGGGGGAGAGGGAGACUGGGUAUUGUUAGGGGGCUGUUGUCCUUGUGGAGGAGCGGAUUUCUGAUUUGUGCCAAAAGAUAUCUGUGUGUGACUUUGCUGGGAUCUAACCUGCUGCUGCUGAGAGAGGUUUUUCAGAGAAGACGUCGAUGACAAAGAUGGAGCUUGCGGUGUUGAUGUUCUCGUAGAACUCUUCCACUGAGGCGACUGAGCUUGACUGGUGUUGUUACCACUCUGUACAAGAUUUUGAGGAAAAGCCGACAUCGCAUUUGAAAAUUUUGAAGCAGCAGAAGCUGAUGAAGUCAAGUGUUCAGAAUAAACAUUCCCAUUACUAGAGGUUGAUGUCUUGCUCCGAGCAGCAACAGCAGCUGCCAACUGAUGUUGCUGUUGCUGUUGCUGCUGUUGUUGCUGCUGCUGCUGCUUAUGAAGCUGAAUCAUGUGUUGCUGCUGAAUUUGAGCUUGCAACUGUGCAGUAGGAACAUUUACAGCUCCCAUAGAAUUUGGCAUUGAAGCUCGAGCAGUCCAUGAAGCACCAGAUGGAAGAUUUAAGGACCUUGAUGAGCUAUCAAUGACACUGUUGGCUGCAAUAGUAGAAGCAGACGCAUCAGAGAUAUCGGACCUUGAAAAUGCAAUAGACUGACUAGCAUUUCCUGAUGGCUUCAUUGCUAAACCUUUUCUUUCAGCAUCAGCUCCAGUCUGGUCACCUGAUCCAGAUUUACCAUCCUCGGAUAUUCUGAAAUUCUUCUUUUGCUGCACAGCUUGAGCAGCAGCUGCUGCAGCCAUCUGUAAAUUUUGCCUCGUAGCCUCGGGGAGACUCUGAAAAAUAGCAUGAUUCUGUGCCAUGGACAUGUCAAUGCUAGGUCCAGGAGACGCGAAUGAAGCAAAUGACAUAGCAAAAGGUUGAGGCGGCACUGAUUCUAGACUCGUUUUUAGACCUGGCUGCUGCUGUUGUUGCUGCGGCUUCUUUUCAGUUUGAUGAUGAUUACUGCCACCACCAGCAGAAGAAGCAACACCAAAGGUAGCUGGAGGAGUCAUCAAACCGAAGUUUGAAGGGUGCAUUGGCACAGCAAAAUUCUGGUUGUACACAUUCAUUGAUCCAUGUGACCUUUUCCUCUCAGCAUUUGAUGGGCUAUCUUCACUACCCACCUCAUUUUCAAUAUGGCGCGACUGGGGGGGCAUAUGCUGAUUCUGUGACUGUGCUGGGGACUGAGAUGGAUGAUUCUUUGUCCCAGGAAAAUUAUGCAGACUACUACCACCACCACCACCGCUCCCACCAUUAACAGCAUUGCCUUGGGACCUCUGCUGCUGGUUUUGCAAAUGCUUCUGGGAUGAAGAGGAUCCACUUGACAAGCUUGUAUUUUGUUGACCUUGCUGCAUUUGUUGGGACUGCGAUGUUGGUGGCUGCUGCUGCUGCUGUGGCUGUUGUUGCUGAACCUGGGAAGGAUGAAUCAUCUGAGAGGAAUAGAAAGAUCCAUUGAACAAUGGCAUGGGCUGAGGAUGAGUUCCUCUAUAAUUCGGAGGUGCUCCUACAGCUGGUAUUGGGAAAGCAUAUGCAUUAUUCUGCAGGAUCGCCAAGUACUGAGCUUCAUUAGGCGACAUAUUUGGGUAGUUGAAGCUAAUUGCAGUAGCAGCUCCUCCAGCUGUAGCUGAGGAAGUUCCAGCAGCAGGAUUAGAUGUGUUAGAAGAGACUGAAGGGCCCGUUGUGCUAGAUGACUUUGCGGGACCGGGUCGAACAGCUGCAGCUGCCUGUUGUUGAUUUAAAGGGAAGAUGAAAGCAGGCCCAUGCUGUAAAAAUUCAUGGGGAAAAAAGAAUCAGAAAAACAGCGGUCUUGACAUCUUUUCAUUCUCAUUAGAAGUCAAAAAUAGAGGAAAAUCAAGAAAUCGAGAAUGUACCAGCAGAUUAUUGGGAGCAACAGGCGGCAAAGUUUGCUGGAGUAACAUUUGUUGCUUUCUUUGAGCAGCAUCUGGCAUGUUUGCAGGUUGGGCUUUGUCUUUACCACCAUUACUAGGGUAGAUAGUAAGCCCCUGACCCUUAUCUGGCCCAGCACUUGCUCCCCUCCCAGCUAAGUUUCCGUGUAGAUCUGCAGACGGCAUAACAUUGAGAUUGGUCUUGGCUCCAAAAAAGGGUGCAGUACCAGCAGCAGGUGGCCAAAAAGGAUGCAUCUUCAUAAAUUGCUGAAGGCAAUGUAUGUUCCUAGCAAUGUAACAAUGUGUUGCACAUCUUUUUGGCCGCGGUUGCGAGAACAAAGGCUGGCAUAAGAUUGCAAAGUUAAAAAGGGGUAGGAAAAUGAAGUGCAAAAAUAGAAGUGACAGAAAUAUAAAGAAAAAUACCUGCAUUGGAGCAGCAGAAGAAACUGUGCUUCCAUCCAUAGCUACAACUCCUUGUAAAGGCGCCAUGUAUCUGCUGACAGAAACACAGCAUUUACACCACGGAUCUACUACUUGUAAUAUCUAAUAUAUCAAUUAAAUGAGAGCACUGAAAAACAAUUAAGUCAAGCCAACCGUACCCCAUAGGAGGAAGCCCACUAGGCCAGCUAGCCAUAGAAAUUGGCAUAGUAGGUAAGGAGCUAGAUUGACCUGAAUAUAGAAAGAAUACCCCCAUCAGUAAAAUCAAGAGAAAAAAGAACUCAUCACAGAUUCAAGAAAAUAAUCAACUUACCAGUUUUUUCAAGAACUGAUUCAUCUUUAGUAGCUUUUUGUAAAGGAGGUGGUUGCUGCUGCUGCUGCUGCUGCUGCUGCUGUAACUUUUGACUCUGCUGUAGGAAUUUACUACCUACACCUACACCACUAUCCUUUUCUGGUUUUUCCAAAUCAAGAUCAAGAUUAAUACUCCUACCCCUACUACCUUCACUGAUCUUAUGAGAAUUAAUUUCUUCAACGGCUGCUUUUGUCUUCUUUUCCUCAGCUUCAACACUGACCCUCCCUUCUUCUUUCUCGGCCUUGCCAAUCCUUUCAUCAUCCUUCUCUUUUACCACAGGCUUCAUUUCCUGUAACAAAAACAAAUUGUCAAUUCAAUCAUCAGAUCAUCCCCAAUAACCUCAGAAAAGGGGAAAAGAAAGUGACUGAGUACUUACAACUGUGUUUUCUGCUGUAUUAUGCUGCUUAUUAUUAUCCACAGCUGCUGAGCCAAAAUCUAUCUGAGCCUCCCUUUCUGGUGAUGAUCUUAACUGUGGAGGAGGUGCCUAAAAUGGAAUUCAAAGAUCAAUAAAAAAAAAUUACAAAGAAAGAUGAAAAAGAAAUAGUCCACAUCUACAUCCUCACCAUAAGAUCUAUCUGGAACUUCUCCUCUCUUUGACUUUCCACUUCAGAAACAAUUCCACUUCUGAAAUUCCAAGAAACACAUAAAUCAGAUUCCAGAAAAGGGACUACUAAAAGUUUCAUAAUCAUAAAAAAGAUCAAAACUUUGGAUUAGAUACUCACACUUGGGUAACUGCAACAGCAGCAGCAACCUCAUGAAUACUACUCUCCGCUGCAACAACAGUAGAAGUUUCCUUCUUAGGUGAAUUCACUUCCACUUUACUCUCCAUAGUAAAUUCAGAUACAUCAGGCCUCCUCUUGACCUCAGAUUCAACCUUCAUCGGCUCCGGUACCGGAUCUGUUACCACCGGCAAACUUUGUACAGAAGCACCCAAAUCAUAUAAGGAAACUCCAUUUUCCGCUGUAGAUUGUGGGGUCUUCUCCAAAUUAGGAGAAGAAACCUCCAUCUUCAUUGUUGUUUGAUCCAUCUCCACUUUAGCCGAAAUGGGGCUGCUCCUUAUACCAAAUCCUCCAUGAUUUUCCAUUACUUGCCUUGGCCUUUUCCUCUUUGGAGCUACAAAAACAAAACUCUAUCAGAUGAAAAUCAAGAAAUACCAAUUGUAAAGAUUGAAACUUCUUUUCUUACGCUUACCAGCAGCAGAUAAAGGAGUAGCUGAUGAGUUAGAAUUAGAAACAGGAGAUGAAACUCUGGAUCUGUUAUUAUUAACUUCUCUUGUACUAUCAUUUGUCACACUUGUAUCUUUUUUGGAAGGUCCAUGAUGACUCAAACCAAAAAGAACUUCAGCAAUCUCAAUCUCUAGCUCUUCAGGAUUAGAUGAAGAAGCUUUAGGUGGUGACUUUGCUGGUGGCCUUUUUUGUCCGUGUGGCUUCUGCAUCAACAACAACAAACAAUCAGUUAAAAGGGUCUAACAAUCUGAUGACCGAAAAAAAAAAAAAAAAAGUAGAAAAUUCAAUGAAAAUGAUACUAACAAUUUUCUUUCUCACUGAAACAUUAGAUGAAGAUGGAGAUAAAGGAGCUGCCGGAGAUGGCGAUGUUGUAGGAAUGUUGUGUCCCACCGGGGAAGCUGUUGAAACUUGCUGAUGAAGUUGGUCUCCGGUAACAACACCACCACUGUUGUUACCUCCACCACCACCACUAGAACCAGAAAUCCAAUCAUGUGACCUCUUUGUAGCUGCUGAGAAUAACACCAAAAACAUCAAAAAAGAGUCAAACAACCAAAAAAACAUCAUCAUCAUAAACAACAAACAACAAACAAAACAGUUACCGGAACGAGCUUUUCUUGGAACAGAAACACCAAUCAUUUCAUCACCAGGUUUCCAUACAGGUGCUGCUGCUGUUGCUGCUCUGUAAACCUUCCCCCCACCAACGUUGUUAUUCGUUGGAAAACUCUUCCUAGACUGUUGUAAGUGAUGGUUAUGAUGAUUAUUCCCUUGAUGAUGAUGAUGGUGAUUCGAAAUGGAUGGCCCUAUCGUUGUCGGUAACGUCCCCGGACCAGCCGGCGGUAACAACCUCGUACUACUGGAAACAACGUUUGUCGUCGUCGUCGUCGUCGUUGUCGUCGUCUCAUCAUCCUCAUCUUCUUCAUCAUCGUUUACACUUUCUUCCGAACUAUCAUCUCCACCAUCUUCACCACCUCCUCUAUGCAUCAUCAACCUAUCACCUCUUCUCCUUUUACUCCGGCUUGACCUAUCUCUAUCUCUAUCUCUAGUUUCUCUAUCCCUCUCUCGAUCUCUCUCUCUUUCUCGUUCUCGAUCUCGAUCUUUCUUCACUCUCUCCCUUAACCUUACAGAUUCUUGUAUCUCUACACCCCCUUCUUCAUCUGCAACAACAAACAAACAAAACAAAACAAAUCAAGAUUUCAAAAAAAAAAAUUCAAGAUUAUAGAUCUGUAUCAACAAAAAGAAAGAUGGAUUUUGAUUUUACCAGGGGAAUCUCUAAGACUGUUGUUACUUCUAUGUCUUCGUCUUGAUAAUCCAUUUGAUGAAGCAGAUACCAUACCACCAGUUCUUCUUGCUUCUCUAUUCCUAUCCAUUUCUCUUCUUCUCCGGUGAAUCCAAAAAACAACUAACCCAAGAUGAGUUCUUGCAUAAUUCACCGGGAAAUGAUAAUUUUAAACAACAACAACAACACCGGAAUCUAUGAUACUUCACUUAAAAACAACAACACAAAUUAAUUGUAUCCAAGAUCUUAUCUUUAACCAAAUGGGUGUCUAUUUUCUUGAUUUUCUUGGUUUUUGUCCUCCUCUCUGGCUACUUUAACACACACAAAAAAAGAACAACCAACAAAUUAAUUCUUGCAAAGAUCUUAUCUUUAAGCAAAUGGGUGUCUGUUUUGUUGAUUUUCUUGGUUUUUUUCUCCUCUUUUCUCUGCCUCUCUUUUUUUUCUCUACUUGUCUCUCUCUUUCUCUAUCUCUAUGUAUCUAAGGUUUUCUGCUCUCUAUCUUCAUCACCCUUUUGGCUAUAUCACUCUCUUCAAACCCUCGUGGAAGGUUAAGAUGUACCACUUUUGACAAUGCUUUACAUCUCAGCCGUUGGUUUAUCAAUUGAUCAGACGGUGGAGAUUUCAUUUCGCCAGCAUGGCAUGUGGUUCCACCGUCAGAUGUAAGACUGACACGUGUCGGUUGUAGCUUUCCAUGUUCCUGAUUUAAAUAUAGUUGGGUGGGUGGGGUUGGGUGUUGGGUAGGGAGGGAGGGGUGUGACUGAAUGAAUAUGUGGAGUUUUAUUUCUGACAACAAAGUAUUGAGUAGUAGAAAAAAAGUUGAUUUAGUUUUUUUUAUUAUUUUUAUAUUUUUUUAUGGCCCCGUUAUGUGGGCCACUUUUCAAGAUUGAAUUGAACAAACGUUAAUUUACCCGCAAGUCUCUUUGGGCUUGUUUGGUACGCCAAUUAAAAUGUUUCAAAAUUACAAUAACAACGAUAUAUUUGUGUAUUUUUAUAUUAGUAAAUUUUAGGAGAAUAAAAGUAUAUACAAUCAAGUAUUAGUAUCUUAAAAAUGUGGCAAAAAGUCUAUUUUGAGAUUGUAGUUUCUAUUUUAUUUAAAUAGUAGAAUAAAAUAAUUAUAAGUCGAAUAAAGAAUAUCCCCCACUUUCAAUUAUGUUUAUGUGAAAAGAGCAAAAGGUGAGAAAAAUCUUAAAGGAAUGAAAUGAGGGGAAACAACCUAUUACUGUGAGUUAUCAAGAGUGACAGAUGUGGAAACAACCCUAAGAUUAUAAGUUUAAAUCACUAGGAAAUUAAUAGAGUGGGAGCAGUCUUAAAAUUAUCGUUCCGAAUCAACAAAAAAGUAAAAAAAAAAAAUGACUUUUCUAAAAGGUGGGAAAAAAAUAAUGUAAUGUUAUUUCACUUGCCAAACAGUCCUUUAAGUGACUGGUUAUAGGCAGUAAUACAUGUGUGUGAUUUCUUGGUAAAAGCAAAAAAACAUGACGAUCACAAGGAAUCUAGGUGACUGCAGAAAAUAUCGUUCUAGCCGGUCAAAUUCAUUAAUUUUCGGGUUUUUACUUGCAAUUUUUUCGCUAUACUCAAAAAUUAUCAACAAUAAUUAUGCCUCUUUUUUUUUUUUUUUGGGGCAUUUUUAAUUACUCCCUUCAUCCUAUUUUACAUAUUAUUUCCUUCGUCCCAUUUUAUAUAUUAUUAUUUAAUCAGACAUAAAAUUUAAAAAAUAAGAAAAGACUUAAUAAUAUUUAUUAAAUUAUCCUUUAUCAAAAAAAUGCUACUAUUUUUUUUUAAUUAAAUGAUACCAAUAACAAUAAAAAUUAAAUUAUGUCUUUAAAUAGUUAUCAAAUAAAAAAAUAUGACAUUUUUUUAGACGGAUCAAUAUUUCUUCGGUCUACCUUUACCUCGCUUGAAAUCACCCCUAACCAACCUUUCACACCUCCACACUAAAACAUUCGUGCUCCUCGGCAUCACAGAAUCAUCUCAACCUUGCUUCUCUCGUAUUGACUUCCACCGAAGUCACUCCCACCUUAUCUCGAAUAACCUCAUUUCUAAUUCUAUCUUUUAUAUUACACCCACAUAUUCACUGAAACAUUCUUAUCUCCGUCACCUUCAUCUUCUAGACGUGGGCCUUUUUAAGAGGCCAAUACUUCGUCCCAUAAAUUAAAACCGGUCUAACCAUCACUCUCUAAAACAUAUCUUUAAAUUUGGGAGGUAUCUUUUUGUCACACAUAUAAAAUUUAGAAUUUAUGAUCUAAAAUAUUUAUUUCUCGCCUAUAAAGUAUUUCAGUUAAUAAUGAAAAGAGUUUUAAAAUUAAAUUAAAUCUAAUUACUAGUAUAAGAAAGUGACACAUUUUUUUAAACGGAGGGAUUAUUAUUAAGCAAAGUGAGGUAUUUAGUACUGUCCAGUUCCUUUUUUCCAGAAAUAGACAGGUGGGUCCCUCCAUUUGAUGAAGAUCUUGAAGUGAAAUCAACGGUUUAGAUCAUCUAUUUGUCUAGUUGGAAUCCACCUGAGACGUUGGAUGUAUAAAUGACGUGGCCAUAUGCGGUUGUUUAAUUAAAUGCUUUAUUAGAUUCCGACAAAGGCCCGAGUCUACGUGGCAAGUUCGGCAAGAUCUGGACCGUUGAUAAUGGAUGAUCCAACGAUGUGAAAUGGUCGGGCAGCGGACGGAAAAAGGGCAGUCAUGGUCACGGAACUUCCCAGAAAAAAAACUUGGAGCCUAAGAGUUAUUAAUUAUACUCGCAUUUAAUUUUAUUUGUUCAAUAUUAUUCAAUCUUUGAUCAACUUAUAAUUAUAUGUCUUAAAUUACUUAUUCACUUAUUAUAUUAAAAUAAAUAAAUUAAAUUUUUUUAUUUUUAUCUUAUAAUAAUUAAUAUCCUUUUAAAGCCUUAAAUAAAUAAACAUAAAUAUAUUUUUUAUAAAUGAUCUUAUUAUACACCAAUAUAAAUAUGAGGUAAAUUAGUAAAAUUAAGUAUUUUAUUUAUGAGUUGUUAAAUAUCAUUUUAAAUGGUUGAAAAAAAAAGUAUCGUUUAAAAUGAAAUGUGGUAAUGACAAUGAAAAAGUGAUAAAUAAAUGAUAAACUAUUUUUUAAUAUUUAAUAAAUUAACUAAAUAAAAUUAAAUAGUAUUUAGUUUUAAUACUUACAAUGCAGAAAAUGAACGAUAAAGUAUCUACUAUAUUUUUAUAUUUUGCGUUAGCCAUAUUGUCACGUUCUGUAGUGCUUUGUUGUUUGUGGUAGCUAAGAUGUGGACCCCAAAACCCACAAUUGUUGUUUUUAUUUUAUUUGAAAUUAUUUUAAAAUAAUUUUUUAUUUAUGGCUGAAGUGAAAAAGGUAAAGGCCAACAAAAAAAAAGUAGGCGAGUGAAUUGAAUUUCUUUUUCUUUUUUGCAAUUAUGUUAUAUUAGUAUUUGGGAAGUUUGACUUUUUUAUUUGGCUUUGAUUUUUGUAAUUAGACACAGUCAAACUAAAUAUGCUCUUUAAAACAUAGCUUAAAAAGUUUAAUGUAGAUAAGAUAAUAAAUACUUUUCCAUAACAGUUCAAAAAAGAAAAAACUUUAUUUCACUACUUAAAAUAAAUUUUAGAAAUCAAUACUCCUUUUUAUUUUUAUAUUGUGUGAUUAUUUUAUUUUAAAAUAUUUUAUUUAUAUGGUUAAAGUGAAAUUGUGAGACCAAAAAAAAAAAGUUAGAGAAGUGAAUUGAAUUACUUUUUCUUCUUUUGCAAUUUAGAUUUACCAGUGAUUGUGAAGUUUGACUUUUUUUAUUUGGCAUUGAUUUUUAUAUUUACGAAAUUAAUGCAUUUAAUUUUUUUUUAUUUAUGAUUGAAGUGAAAAGGUGAAGGCAAAAAAAAAGCAGGCAAGUGAAUUGAAUUUCUUUUCUUUUUUACAAUUAUGUUAUAUUAGUAUUUGGAAAGUUUGACUAUUUUUUAUUUGGCUUUGAUUUUUGUAAGUAAGAAAAUCUAAUACAAUCAAAUCAAAUUAGAUUAACUAAAUAUGCUCUUUAAAAUAUGGCUAAAAAAAUUUAAUAUUGAUUGAUCCGUACGCGUGGAGAUAAGAUGGUAAGUACUCUCUUUGUAACAGUUCAAAAAGGAAAAAUUAUGUGUCAUUAUUCUAAAUAAAUUUUAGAAAUCACUAGUUUUUUUUAUAUUGUGUGUCGUUAUUUUAUUUUCAAAUAUUUCAUUUAUAUGGUUAAAGUGAAAUUGACGCCAAAAAAAAAAAAAAAAAAAGUUGUAAAGAAAAACUGGUUUUAUUUUUUUUUUUUUUAAGUUACGGUUUUUGAAAUUUGUUUAUGGCAUUGAAAGAGGAAGAAAAUGAGAUGAGAGGAGCUUGAAGAAGAAAUGUGACGGAGAAUAGCUGGGAGGGACCCACAGAAAAAUCAUAGAAAACGCGCUUUCGCUGAAAUACAGAGGAAUAUUAAAAGAGAAAGAUAAAAGCAGUUAAAGAAACAAAAAAAAAAAAAAAAAAAAGGUUUGCAAGUGAACUGGUUUACUUUUUCUUCUUUUUGCUAUUUAGAUUUACUAGUGAUUGUGAAGUUUGACUCUUUUUAUUUGGCUUUGAUUUUUAUGUUUACGAAAAUUUAAUACAUUGAAAUCAAAUUAGAUUGACUAAAUGUACUUUUUAAAACACAACCUAAAAAGUUAGAUGCAGAUUGGUUCAUUCAUAUGCAAAUAAGAUUGUAAAUACUCCUCCUAUAAUAGUUCAAAAAAGAAAAAUUAUAUGUUAUUAUUUGAAAUAAAUUUUAUAAAUUACUACUCUGUUCGCUUCUACUAUUUGAUUAGAGUGAUUUUAGUAAAAAAAUGACUUUUAAAAUUUAUUAUUUAAAAUAAGUUUAUAAAUAUUUGAGUAUUUAUAAAUGAACUCAUUGAAAGUAAAUUUUAUAUUUACAUUAAUUUUUAAUAUAGAUAUUUGUUAUUUUAAAACUAUCAAUUGCAAGUAAUAAAUUGACUAACUCCACUUAUUGAUUUGAUAAAAUUAAAUGGGUCAAAUAUAUAAGUAUAAUUAUGUGUUUACAAAUUUAAUGCAGAUUAGUUCGUAUACCUGUAGAUAAGAUUGUAAGUAUUUCAUAUAUAACAGUUUUAAAAAGACAAAUUAUGUGUCAAUGUUUGAGAUAAAUUCUACAAUUAAUGCUCCCUCCACUUUAAAUUAUGUGUCAUUGCUUGAUUAGAGCAAAUGUAAAAAAAAAAAAAAAAAAAAAAAAAAAAAUAAUGAUUAUUUAAAACAAAUUUACUGAUAUUUGAGUCGAUAUAAAAAUGAUCUUAAAUUUAUGGAUAUUUGAGUGGAUGUACAAACGAUUUAACUAAUUUAUUUUUUAUUUAAUAUCAACUCAAAUUGAACCCUCAAUUGUAAGAUUGAAAAUGAAGAAUAUUUAUUACCUGAGCAAUUCCCUCUCAUUGUAAAUCAGAGGCACUAAUAAAAUAUUAAUUUAAAGAGAAAAUGUGUUUAUUUUUAUGACGAUUGCAUAGUUGUGUUUAUUUGCAUCAGAAUUGUAAUGUUUCACUUGGUGAUUAAUAAAAUAUUAAUUUAAAAAAAAUGUGUUACGAAGUUGUGAAGGCGUAAUCUUAAAAUGGUUAACCUGGAGCCGUUUGAUUUACGGUACUAAAGUUAAUAAUAUUGGGAUAAAAUAAUAAUUUCGGAAUAAAAAUUUGAACUAUUUGUUUGAUUGUAAAUAUUUGGGAUAAUUUAUCUCAGGAUUAAUAAUUAGUCCCGGAUAAGUUAUUCACCCAAUUGAUGGGAUAACAAUUCCAAGACUAUUUUUCUUUGAUAUAAAAUUAUACAAUGACUAAAAUAUCUUCAAAACCUCUGAUUUCAUUUCACACAUCUAUAUAUAUAAAUACUAGUAUUCUAACUAUGAAUUUUAAUAAAAAUUAAAUACUUAAUAAUUUUGACAUAAAUUUUCUAUUUACAUUAAAAACUUAUUAGUAAUAUAUAAUAAUUUAUCAAAAAUUUAAAUUUAAAAUUCAAAAUUCUUAUUCCUUCAUUAUCUCCGAUUAUUCGUUUUCAUUGACCCGUCUCACAUAAGAAUAUCAACACCAUUGUUGAAUUACAUAUUUUAAAUUAAAUGGUAGUUUUUAAUCACUUGAAAAUUGAUAUGGUAUAUAUAAAAUGAAUUUUAAUAUAUUAUAUGAGUGAUAUGUGUUUAAAUAAAAUGAAAUAAAUAAUAAAUUCUCUUUUACUUUAACAAACUUAAGUUGGAAGUUUUUAUUACAAACUAAAUAAGAUGUAGUAAGAUUUUUUAAAAAUACAUACGGCAUAAUCAUGAAAAGGCACACGCGAAAAAAUUAAAACUAAAUAAGAUGAAAGUUUUAUUUUUAAAAUACACACAAUAUAAUCAUAAAAAUGCGCAUACACAAAAAAAUUAAGCUAAAUAAGAUAAAAAAAUUAUUUUUAAAAAUAAAUAUUUAAAAUUUGAAAAGAAAUUAUAUAAAAAAUAGUUAAAUAAGAUGGAGGGUAUUUUUGUAAUCACUUAAUUUAUUCUUGGAAACUAUACCAUGCAUAUUAAUUUGAAUACAACAAACCAAACACUCAAUAAAAAAUAAUCCCAGCAUAACUAGUCCAAUAUAACUUAUCUCAUCGUAACUUAUCUUAUCAUAACUAAUCUCAUCAUAACUUAUUUUCAAACCAAACGACCCCUAAGACGGUUCAACUCUAUUGUUGCACCAUUAUCAUAUAAUUGUGAUACACUAUUUUAAUGUAACUACAUUUUCGAUUUAAUAAAAACUAGAAAUAAAAAUACUAGUAAGAUCAUUAAAAAAUAAUGGGUGAAAAAUGAUUUUCACCCCCUCAACUUUGAUUAAAAAAUCAAACUCCUCCCUCAAUAUUAAAUAAUAAUUAUAUUUUCCCCCUUAUUCUAUAUAAUGUCUAUUUUGUCCUUGUAAUUUCAAUCCUAUAUUUAUAUAAUAUCUUUUUAUAUUAUAUGUAAUGAAUAUUUUUUUUAACAUGGAUAUUUGUAGCAUUUUAUUUAAGUUUAUUAACUUUAUAAGCAAAUUAAUACUUUUUAUAAAUUUAUCACAAAAUUUAUGGUUAUUUUUUAAGAUCAUUAUUUUAGUAUUAUCUGUAUUAAAAAGUCGUUUGGUGUGACGUAUAAUUAUAAUAAUUCAGAGAUAAAGUUCAUGAUUAUUUAUCCUGCGUUUAAUUAGAUGUAUUAGGUAGUCUCAAAAUUAUUUGUCGCACCAUUUAUACCACAGUGGUGAGAUAAGUUAUCACACAUACAUAUUAGUACAACUUAUUUUGUAAUAACUAAUCCCAGAAUAGCUUGUUUCCAAACAACCCACCCUUGAGUGUGUAUAUAUACAUAUGUAUGUAUAUGCAUGUGCGUAUAUUUUCAUGUUUUAUCACUCUCUUACUAAAUUCGUUUCGUAUUACUUAACUUUUUGUUGAUAUAAAACAAUCCUUAAGAAAAUUUUACUUAGAGGUAUAUUUUGCUAAAUUAACCUUAUUAACGAUAAUUUUAAAUUUUAAAUUUGUCUAUACUGUUACUUUAUAUAGUUAUUUGGGAUAAUACCCACGAAAAUACAUGAACUUUGACUGAAUUUUCAGUUGAGCAUAUUGAACUUUGCGGGGGUCUUAUUACCCCUUAGACUUUUUUUUGUCGUAUUUUAAUGUCAUAUAUCUGCCUACUUGGACACGUGUAAAUAUGAGGUGGUGCGUGUAUUACACGCGCCAAUACACGUGUAAAAACGAGAUUUGGCGCGUGUAUUACACGUGCCAGUGUCGAAUCUGGGUAUAGAGUUUCGGGGGAAAUUAAAUCCACUUUAAAAAGUCUAGGGGGUAAUAGGACUCCCCCGCAAAGUUCAGCAUGCUCAACUGGAAAUUCGGUCAAAAUUCAGAUAUUUUCAUGAGUAUUAUCCCUAGUUAUUUAACACUAAAGGGUAGAAAAAAAAAACAUAAUACAACUCUUUUGAUUUCAUAAAUUGAGCAGAUAAAUUAAAACAUCUAUUUUUAGUAUGAGGAUCAAGUGAUAAGAUACGAUAUUAUCUAUUGUCUAUAUCAGUAGAUAAGCUGUGAUUGUCAUUAACAGAGUAUUGCAUAUUUUAUAAUUUAUAUAAAUAAAUAUAAUCUUUAAAAUUUGACCAUAUUUUUAUUCGAGAAAAACAUCUAGUUCCCCGAACUAUGACCAAAUUUGCUACGACACACGUCAACUUCACGGGGGUCCUAUUACCCCUUAAACUAAAUUUUUAACGUAUUUUUGUCAAUCUUUUUAGCUAACGUGAUACCUUUUGUCAAUCAUUUUAGAUGACGUGAUACCUUUGAUGUGAGCUUCAUUUUAUUUAAUAAAGUUGCCACAUUAGCACAAAAAAAUAACAAAAAUACGCUAAAUUUGAGUUCAGGGGAUAAUAGGACCCCUGUAAAGUUGGAGUGUGUCGUAACAACUUUGACCAUAGUUCGGGAUGGUACUAAAGACUUAUCUCUUUCAUUUGUUGUUUGUAUUUUCUGCAUUGAAAUAUGUUUAUAAAAUUAGUAUUACUUAUUAUUUUCACUUGUAAAAUAAAUAUUAUAGUUUUGAUUAUUAUUAAUAAAACUAAUUUUUUUAUUAUGCUAAUUUACUUCAUAAAGAUCAUCAUUAGCUUAUAUACUUAAUUAGUAUUUUUUAUUUUUUUUCCUAAAAAAUAAUGAUUAUGUUUUUAUGAAAAUUUUGUUAUAUGAUUUUUUUUUUAAAUGAAAAUAUGAUGAUUUUAAAGAAGUUAAAAAAAGAAUAAAAAAAUUGAUGAUAAAGGGUAAAAUAGGAAUUUUAAAAAGUCAAUUAGGAUAAAGGGGGAGUAUAAUUAUUGUUCAAAGUUGAGGGGGGUUUUAAUUUUUAAGAUAAAGUUGGGGAGGAAAAAUGAUUUUGACCCAAAAAGAAUUUAUGAUGUGUGUUAUAAGGGUAUAUUUUUGUUUACCCUUUUUGUAUUAUUUUAUUUUUUAUUAAUUGAGUACUUUGAGUUGGCACUAUCAUUUUCGCAUUAAAUUUGAAUUAUAAUCAAUGAACAUGUUAUGCCUAAUAAGUAACGAGUUUUGAGCUUAAAAGGAAAUUGAAUUAUUUACUUUUCCUUUUUUGGUGGGGAAGUAUUUUGAAAAAAAUUCAUGACAAACAAUAUACUUGAAAAUCACACAAUGCCUUAAAUAAAAAUUUGAACAUAUGAAGUUAAAUUGUACUUAACCUACUUCCUCCAUAUUUGCUUGUUCAUUGGGUAAGGAAUUAUUUAAAAAAAAUGAAAAAUGAACUUCAUUAAUGGUUUUAUUUUUGUCAUAAAACUUCAUUGAUUCCAUUUGCUCUUCUAGAUUUUUACAUGCACUCUAAAUUUGAAAUGAUAAUAUUUAUGUCAAUCUUUGAAUAAAUCUGCAUUUAUUCCUUAUUUAUGAAGCAAAAGCAAAACAAACAAAAAACAAUUGAGUAAGCUGCUUUUAUUUACUUUGGAUCUUUAGAUAAUUACUCUAACAAAUAAAUUUUCUUCCUUUGUUUAACUUGAUAAACAUCGAAUACAGCGUUACUUAAAAUGUAAUUCAUCUUAUUACAUACAUAAUUUUCAACUUUUUUCAAUAAACAUUACAUUAUUAUUUUUAAUAUUAUUUUGCAACACUUGAUUGUUUGUUUUGAUUUUUGUGAAUUUGAUUGAGCGUGUUGUAUAUUAUAUAGUUAUUAUAAUUUUUAUAUAUGUAUUCGAAGAGUUAAAAUCAAAUCUAAAUAUGACUUAACGUAAAUAAGUACUUUAUAGAGAAAUGGUUGUCCCCAUUAGGUUUUUUGCGAUUUCAGUACAAUGUAAAAUCAACUUUCAAAAAUUUCAAUGUUUUCACAUUGACAUAAAAAUUUGACAUUAAUUUCAUAAAGUUAAAAAAAUACGUGUGACGUUGUGCUCUGAUUCUAUAAAUCUAUUUAAAUUACCUCAAUCUAAAUUAAUUGUUGCUACAUAUUACAAUUAAAUAAGGAGUUAAUACUUUCAUUUUCAAUUAAAUUCCAUAAACACUUUAAUAUUCAUCAUAAAACUUCAUAAUAUAAAAUGAUGACAUUUAUGUAAAUCUUAAUCUGCAUUUUGGAUGUUUCUUCCCCCUUAUUCAUGCAGCAAAAGUUUUUUUUUUUUUUUUUUUAAAAAAGACUUGACUUCAAGAAAUCAAUGUACACUUGCUAAAUUAAACUGCUUUAAUUUAGUUUGUAUUUUGGAAAAUUACUCUAGCAAAAUAAUUUUUCUAUUUUUGUUUAACUUGAUAACAUUAAACACAACGCUACAUAAAAGUUAAUUUUCUCUUGCUAUAUUAAAUUAUUUGCUUUGUAGAAUCAACAUUUCAUUAUUAUUUUAUUUAUUAUUUGGUUUCUCAUUCGGUGUUCGAUACCCGCAUUGAAGUCCGACUGAUUUGGAUUCGCGCCGCGUAGGGUCCCAUUCGGGGGAAGCUCUCCCUAUCAAGGAUUUUUCCAUACUCAUAGCUCGAACCAGAACCCGAAACCUUUGGUUAAGGAAGGAGCAGCCCCAUCCGCUGUACCAUAUCCUUUAUGUUAACAUUACAUUAUUAUUACAUUAUUAUUUACGAGGCUAAUUGUAACAUUUUGAUAGUUUCUUUAGAUUUUUUUUAUGUGAAUCCGAUUAAGCACAUGGCAUACCAUAUAGUUAUUAAAAAUUGUGCGGUGCUAAUACAAUAUUAAAUCAACCUUCAAAGAUUUUGAUGUUUUUGUAAUCACAAAAAAAAAUUGAAUUUGUAAUCUUAUAAAAUUAAAAGACAUGUGUGACGUUUUAGUCUAGUUUUGUAGAUUUAUUUAAAUUGCUUCAAUUCAAAUUAAUUACUUCAAUACUUAUUAUAAUUACAAUUAAUUAAAUGGGGAGUUAAUACUUUCUUUUCAAUUGGACUUAAUUUAUUUUUCUAUUUUUUAAAGUAAACUCCAUUAUGAAAUGAUGAUAUUUAUUUAAUCUUUGUAAAAAACUGCAUUUGAAUUUUUCUUCUUCCUUAUUUACGUUGCAAAAGCUAAGAAUAAAAAUAAAAUUUCUGUCUUCAAAAUUUUUUAAUGUUUUCACAGUCUCAUGAAAAAAUGUUAUGAUAGCAAGAAACCAAUUUCGGGUCGGGUCAGGAAAUAUAUUUAUAAGAUUAAAAUUUUGGAAUAUUACAUUUUGCAGCUCAAUGUUGACUACAGAAAGCUUUAUUGCGAGAGAAAUUUCAAUCAUACCUAUCUAAAAAUCAUUUAAAGUAGGAUACUAUUUUGGUUGUAUAGUUUAUGAUGAAUAAAUUGGUUUGAAACAAAUCUUGUUGUAUAUUUUAGGUGAACAAGCCCUUUGUUGGUGUUUUCAUUAACCAAAAGAUAAUCCAAUAAUUUAAAACCUCUCUAAUCCGUCUUUCACUUUGUUGUUUUCUUUACUUUACUAGAAAAAUAUAUAUACAUCCUUAAAUUAUAUAUUACAAGUUAUACCAAUAUUUUUUAAUUGCAAUUAAUAGUAACUUUUAAAAGAAAAAAUAAAGUAAUAAUAGAUUUUAAAAAAAUAGAAUUUUUUUUUCAUUUUUUGGUUAAAAAAAUCUUCUCAUUUUAAUGGGAGUUAGUUAUUAUGUAGCUAAAAUUAGGCAAAACGGCUUGAUGGACCCUUAUACUUUGUCCGUUCUGUAAUGUAGAUACUCCUACUUACAUGUUUAUCAUCUCGAACCUUGAACCCACUAAAAAACAAUAUUUUAAACACUAUUUCGGUGUGCGUAACGCACCCGCAUCCACAUCAGCUGCCAUGUCAUUUUAAAAUAUUAUAUUAAAUUCUACGUCAUUUAUUAAAUACCAUAUAAAAAAAUAUUAAAAUUAUUCAUGCCUUUUUCGUUCAUCCCCACCACCACUCCAACCCACCCCAAACACACACACCAUUAUCAAGACCAUAAACACACAAAAUUCUCUCUCACACAUGCUAUUUUUUUUCAGAAAAAGAUUGUUGAUGUUCAACACCUUCAUUCAGUAGCUGCACCACUGUGUGUCCAAUGAAACCAGCUCCAUCAGUCACCAAAAUAUCUUCUUAAUGUUCAACACCUAUUUUAGAAAACAGAAAAAAGAUUAAAUCUUGUUGUAUCAAGAAUCAAUUUUUAUGUAGAAACAAAAAUUGUUUAUACCAAACUCUUGAAUUCCUACAAUGACAUGAAUUUAUCUUCGAAUCACCCAAUUUACCUUUUAAUUGCUUAUACCCAAAUCUUGAAUUUCUACAACGAACAAAAAUUUCUCUUCGAAUCGAAUUUGGGUAACUGGAAAAAUUUUGUCACCUUCCUUUCCUUUCAGUGGACCCUGCUGCUCCUGUUUCUUAUUUCUCUACUGAAGACUUGAGGAAAGUUCUUUUGAGUGAAAAAACGACAUGUAUAAACACUAUGCUGCUCUUUUUGCUCUGAGAAACAAUGGAGGGGAAGAAGUCAUUUCUGCCAUUAUUGAAUCUUUAGGUUUAAAGAGUGCUCUACUAAGACAUGAGGUUGCUUAUAGCUCAAAGAGUACUAAUAAUAUGGUGGUGGUGGUGGUGCAGGGUGGGGAUGGAGGACAAGGGAGGGAAAAGUUGGUUAAUGUUGUGGUGGUGGCAUUGGGUUGGGGAUAGGGGACUGGGGUGGCUGAAUAUGAUGGUGAUAGGGGUGGGGCACAAGGGUGGGAAUGGUUGAUUGAUGUUGUGGUGGUAGUGUUGGGUGAGGGACGGGGAAGAGGGGAUGGCUGGAUGUGAUAGUAGUGGUGCUGGGUCGGGCUGACAGUGGUGCUGGGUAGGGAUGAGAAUGGUUGGUUGAUGUUGCGGUAGUGUUUUGGGUGGGGGUGGCGGAUGUGUCGUACUAGGUGGAGGGUGGGGGGAGGUGUAUGAGGAAGAGAAAAGUUUUUGGGAUUUUUUUUAAAAAUUUGUUGUAGUUAAUUCUUUAAAUUAAUUAUUUUUAAAUUUUAAAAAAUAUUUUAAAAUGAAAUAACUUCACUCACCUAAAAAUGCGUGUUUACACGCGUUUUUUCAGCUCACUGGAUUAAUGCCACAUAUGCAAAAUAGUGUUUAAAAUGAUGUUUUUUAGUGGGUUCUAGGGUGCAGAUGACAAACAUGUAAGUAUGAGUAUCCACAUUACAAAACAUAUAUAGUACAAGGGUCCAUCGAGCCAUUUUGCUUUAAAAUUAUGAAAUUUAUUGAUGAACAUAUUUUUUCUUAUUUAUUCAAUUAUAUUUAUAUUCAAAUUUUAAAAAGAAAAAAAAAUAUUCUCCUUCUCUCUCCAUAGUUCCUUCUUGCCAAUCUCUCUAUAAUUAUGAAUUACAGUACUAUAUAUUUGAUUUCUAAUUCAUAAAUUUUAAAUUUGCGAUAAUAUUAGUAGUAGAAUUAUCGUAUAAAAAUUAAUGUCAAUAAAUAUUAUAUUAUUAUAAAAUAUAAAGUAGAUACAGGAAGAAUAGAGAGAAAGAGAGGAAGCUUCUUUAUUUCUCAUGAGAAUUUUUAAGGAGUGAAUUACAAUAAAGGAAAAUUCCUUUUAUUUAUAGAAGAAAACUAACCUUGAAGUUUCUAACUUUUCCAUAAAUAGAUAUUCACUAUAUAUGGUAAAGUAGACAUUCACUAUGUAUGGUAAAAUAGACAUUCAUUAUAUAUGGUAAUAUAUUUGUAACACUCCCUUUUCAAUGGCUAAUUAAUAGAUGACGUGUCUCAUUAAAACCUUACUAGAAAAAACACAAUGAAAAAAAUCUAGUGAAGAAAAAAGAGUACACAUAUGUAACAAUACGCAUAUAUGUUGCCUCAUUAAAACCUUACAAGAAAAUCUUGUGGAAUAAAAUCUCGUAAGGAAAAAAGAGUACAACGUGUAUUAACUCCCCUAAUGAGAAAACCUUGAAGUUUCUAACUUUUCCAUAAAUAGAUAUUCACUAUAUAUUGUAAAGUAGACAUUCACUAUGUAUGGUAAAAUAGACAUUCAUUAUAUAUGGUAAUAUAUUUGUAACACUCCCUUUUCAAUGGCUAAUUAAUAGAUGACGUGUCUCAUUAAAACCUUACUAGAAAAAACACAAUGAAAAAAAUCUAGUGAAGAAAAAAGAGUACACAUAUGUAAUAAUACGCAUAUAGGUUGCCUCAUUAAAACCUUACAAGAAAAUCUUGUGGAAUAAAAUCUCGUAAGGAAAAAAGAGUACAACGUGUAUUAACUCCCCUAAUGAGAACAUCCUUGAACCUUUGCAUCCCGAUCUUGUGCACCAUCUUCUUGAAAGUUGCAAUUGGAGGAGAUUUGGUGAAUAAAUCAGACACGUUGUCACUUGAACGAAUCUGUUGCACGCUAAUAUCACCAUUCUUUUGUAGCUCUUGUGUAUAGAAAAACUUUGGCGAAAUGUACUUUGUUCUAUCUCCUUGAGUCCUCUCUUAAGUUAUGUUAUGCAUGUUGCAUUAUCCUCAUAAAAAAUCAAGGGUACUUUAACACAUUUCAAACCAUAUUUUUCGCGAAUGAGAUGUAUCAUAGACCUCAAUUAUAUACAUUCUCGGCUUGCUUCAUGAAUACUUGUUAUUUCAACAUGGUUCAAUAAAGUUGCAAGAUAGAUUGCUUUGUAUAUCUCCAAGAUAUGACUAUAUUCCCAUAUGUGAACACAUUAUUUGUUAAAGACCGAGCUUUAUGUAGAUUACAUAAGUAUCCAACAUCAACAUGAUCAAUAGUAUCAGCACUUGUAGUAUUUGUAAGAUACAUGAUUGCACCAACUGCAAUAAGAUAUAGUACUUCAUAACCAAUCCACAUUGGUAUAUUUCUUAUUUCAGCAAAUGAUCUAUUGCUUUUGAAAACUCUCUAAGGGUUUCAAUAAUUUUCAAGCUAUAAGCUUAUGUAAUAUAGAGAUUAUAAAUAAGUUUCCCAGAAACUUUUAUAUGCUUCAAAUAUUUUGAAUCCUUAAAAAAAAAUUCAUAUAAAUUUUAUCAAGUGACAAUAUUCAACAUUUCAUGAGUGACAUCUUAAAGUAUCUGGACUGCAAAUCAAAUAAGCUUUAUGCUUACCAAGAUGCAUUCUUUCACGUCACUUGAUGAAUAUUUAUACGUCAGCAUGCUUAAAUAAACGUAGAAUUUUGAUCCACGUAAUCUUUUAUAAUAUUGUAUCAAGGAAAUUAUUGAUGAUAUAUCAUUUUGUAUCGAUUCACAAUGUGACAUAACAUUUUGAGAUAUCAUCACUUUAUUAUUUUCAGAUAUCUGAACCUCUCAUAAGAUUUCAUAAAGUGUUAUAUCAUAAACUCUUCAAAAGCACAUUACCUUCUUAUUAUGAUCAUAAACUCUUUUUUCCUUUUUCAAGAAUUAUUGCAUUUAGAAUCAAUUGAUCUACCAUGCUUCAUGCAUGAAGUAGAUUUUGUCCUUUAGAGACAUUCAAUUUGGAGCAUUUACAGCUAAAUAUGAGAUUAAUAUUGGGUCAACAAAUGCUCCAACAUUUGAACUUGAAUUAUCUUUUGAAUGAGGGUCUAAUGAUAAUUCACAAUAUAUUACUUAGCUGCUUAUUAUCUACCCUUUAUGUUAAGAAAACUAACAUACUUCUCAAUUUACUUUAGAGAAUCCAUCUUUGUGCAUCAUGAUAUAUCUGUUUAUCAAAGACCACACAUCAAAACUACUAGAUGGAAUAAUUGAUUCCUGCCCUUGAACUGAUUGAGAGGGAAGUAUUAAUCAUAAUUUUUUGUCUAAUACAAACAAGUGUUGUUGUAUGCAAUAUAUCAUACUUCAAACCAAUACAUGCGAUUUUGCUCUCAUAAAUAAUGAUUCAAUUAUUUAUCGAAGACAUUUAACACCAACUUAAUUAGCAUUACAAGAUGAAUUGCCCUGAUUACACAAUUUAAAAAGUAUGCUCUUAACUCAAUUUUACUAAGCAAACAACUUUAUGAAUGUCAAACUGCAGGUGGACAAUAAUUGUACAUGUGAUCACCUUAUUGAUGCAUCUUUUUGACAUAUCACAUGAUAGGUAAAUGAGCUCAUAUUCACCUUUUAUAAUUUUCAGAUUUUAAAGAAUCCCAACAUUAGUUGGUCCAACCAACUUAUCAAGAGAACAAGCAACAUUAAAAGUAAUGAAGAGUUUUCUAAUUCUUCAAUAAAUGUUAAAUACUCAGUAUGUGCAUCUUUGGGAUGUCGCAAUCGUUCAUGUCAAUUUAUAAACUUUAUUCCAGCAAACUCUAAGUUUACCAUGACAUGUACCUUUUACUUUAGUAAAUUUCAAAUUUACUAUGACAUGAAUAAAUUUUAGAUUUACUACUUUAGAAGAGGCGAGUUUUGAUACCUUCACAAUCAAGUGCACGUUUGCAUUAAUAAGUUUCUCAUUCCCCAGGAAUGAAAUAUAAUUGUGCCUUAAGCUUAUCAAAUUCUGAUAGCUUAUAACCUCUUUCAUGAUAUUGCUGCUUCAGGAGCACAUCGAGGCAUACAUAUCUUUAAAAGUAUAUCAUAUAUUGCUACCACAUUCACUUCAAGAAUGGAGCAAAUUGUCAUCUUUCAGACUUAUCAUAUAUUGCUACCAUAUUCACUUCAUAGAAUGGAGCAUAUUCAAUGGACAAGUUUCAUGACUUUUUAUCAAAUACAUGUUAUUUUUACCUUAGCCAUCAUAAUAUCACUAAUAUGGUGCAUUGAAAUUCAAACUCGACGUCUUAUCUAUAUAAAGAUGUCUUAGGCAUAACUUGGUGGAAAUUGAACCCAAUAUCUUAUUAUCAUGGUGCAUUGGAACUUUUAAUCCAGUGUCUUACUCUCUUAAUGAGAUGAGACUUAAAUUCAUCAUCAUAUCUUUUAGCAAUAUUAUUUUUCAUGAACAAAUACAAAGCACAAGUGGUUCCAAAUCAAUUAUUUUUUCUCAAAUACAACAAUAAUUACAUCAUUAGCAGCAAAUAACAUAAGAAAUUUCUAACCUCAAAAUUACCUUUAGAAUUAUCAUAUCACCUUGUUUGAUAGAGUUUCGUACUUACAACGUGUUAUGAAAACAAGAAUAGAGAGAAAAGAGAGAGUGAUUAUUAUUUCUCUUGAGAGGUUCUUGAUGGAGUUAAUUACAAUGAAGGAAAAAAACUUUAUUUAAAGUGGAAAACUAACCUUGAAAUUUUUAACUUUUUCAUAAAAAGAUAUUUACUAUAUAUGGUAAAGCAGACAUUCAUUAUGUAUGGUAAAGUAGAAACUUAUUAUAUAUGAAAAUAUAUUUAUAACAUAUAUGCUAGUCUUAUAUUUUAAAGAGAAAAUACUCAAUCCCCCCCUGAACUAUACCUAAAAAGGCUAUGACACCCCUCAACUUAAAGUGGGUUCUAUUACUCCCCUCCCUGAACUAAUUAAAAGUGUAAUUUUGACACCCUUAGUGCCUACGUGGACACUUCAGUGUGUUGUGCAACGUAUGUGCCACGUAAGCACUAAGGAUGUCAAAAUUACACUUUUAAUUAGUUCAUAAAGUAAUAGGACCCUCUUAAGUUGAGGUGUAUCAUAGCCUUUUUUGGGUAUAGUUUAGGGGGUUAAUUGGGUAUUAUAUCUAUUUUAAAUGAUUUUCUAUUUUUUGAGUCUCAAUUUAUGAAAUUGGUUUAUAUAAGAUUCCACGAAUAAAUUAUGUAUUCUUAUAAUUAUUUUUAAUAUAUGAAAAUUGUACAUAAUAUGAUAUGUAUGAAUUAGUUUAACAAAUUUUGUUGAAAUCAGUUUGUAUACUCAUUUCAUACUUAAGUAAUAUUUCUUUUAGUUCUCGAUAUAUGAAGUUGAUAUUAAAAUUGAUAUCGAUUAAGCUUCAUAUAUGCCAUCUUUGUAUGAAAUGAGUUUUAAAAAUGUGAGAAUUGAUAAGAAAAAUGAUAUUGUAUAUUACAUGACUUAUUUGUGUAUGUAAUGAAUAUUUAGUGAAAACUAUCACCGUACAUAUUUAAAAUAAACUAUUAUUCGAUAUCAGAUAAUUUUUCGUCUUAAUAAAAAGGAUAAUCAAUAUUAGCCAUGAUUAAUGUUGGUGUUGAUCUAUUAUAUUAAUUUUGCGUUCCGUCAACCAAUAUAGUUCAAUAAUUACACAAAAAUAUAAUUAUAAUUUGCAAUAAACAAUCUAAAAAGGACACAUAAAGUAAUUUUCACAUAUAAUAAAAUUCAAUACAUUGACUGGAUCAGGAUUUUAAUCUUAAAGGAUUUUGGGUUACUAGAAAUUCAUGCUUUCCGUUAAUGAGAAUUUUGAAUUUGAGUUUGCACUUUGAUAAUCAACUAAUGGAUUGGAUUUCCCAACUCAAUUUUAGUGAAAAUGGAUUGGCUAAUCUUCAUAGUAUCUUGAUUAAGGAGAGAAAUGGAGAAAUUAAACGAAAAAUCAUGAGAAUUUUUUUAAAAAGAUAAGAAGAUAAUAAAUAAAGAUAUAAUAUUGACCAUAUUUUACUUCUUUCAUAAUUAUCAACACAGUUAAAUUUUUUUAUCAAUAAAGUAAAUAUGGAGAAUUGUGUAAAUAUUUUAAAAGUAAUUUUUUUUUAAUUAAAAAGACAUAAAAUGUGCAUCAAUGUAGAAAAUAUCUUUACCAAAUUUUACUAAGAACAUAUUUUGUAAGUUAACUGAUAAAGUUAACAAAAUAUAAAUAAAAAUAAUUAAUGAACCAAUAAUUAUUUUUACCAUAAUUAUCAAAGCUAUUAAUGAGGAGAGGUAGAUAUUAGAGACUAAAGAUUAAAAAAUAAUUAGAAAUAAUACAAAAAUAUUCUUUUAAUUAAAAAAAAAUAAUUUUUAAAAGUUCCUAUAACUUGCAAUUACUUUUUUAAUUCAAUAACUAUGAAAAGUUGUUGGUAUAACUUGCAAUAAACAAUCUAAUAAAUAUAUACAAGUUAAUUUUCACUUACUUUAAAUAUUCUUAAUAUUUUAUUGUUAGUGUGUUUGUGGAUAUAUGUUCGUCAUAGCUUCUUUACUUUUGUAUUAGUGAAAUGGAUCGUGCUUCACGCGGUGAUAAAAUAUUUUAUUAAAUAAAUAUAUAAUUUUUACUAAUAUUCAAGUGCAAUGCGUUCAGAUUUCUUUUAUUUCUCAAAUUCAAAAAAUUAAAGCUAGUAUUUUAAAUUCAUAAAAACAUUAUGAAUUUAUAUAAUUAGUUGUGUAGGUUUCAAAGUUUUCACUCUUUGAGAAUUUAUAAUCUUUUAGGGAUACUUGAUUUUAUCUAUCUCUAUGUUAGAUGAUAAUUCUUUUUUUUACUACAAUUUUUGUUUAAAAUAUAUAAAUAAUAUAUCAAAACACAAUAAAUAUAAGAAUUGUAAACAAAAGUUCAUAAAUUAAAAAUAUUAUUUCGAUUUUGUAUUUGUGUAUAUAUAAUAUUUAAAUGCUAGAGUAAUAAAUUUUUCAAACUAAUUUUAAAAGACACUACAAAAUAAAUUAUCAAGAUCCUUAGUUAUUAAUAGGACUCACAUUCUUUGAAUUUCAAGAAAUGAAAUUAAAUUUAUAUUUGGAAACUUAAACUUUCAAUUAUCACCAUCAAUACAUAUAUGAAGCUAGGCAUAAGAAAGGUAAUAAGACACCUCUAUUUGGCCAAUUUUUUUUUUUCUUGACAAUUUCUUCAAAUUCAAUUUAGUUAUUAUAUUAUUAUUUUACAAAAAUAAAUAUGUCAAUUACUAUUUCCUCUAAUCAUUUACAUUUCUUAGCAAUUAUACUAAAAUCACAAGAAUUGCAUUAUUUUGCAUGGAUACGAAACUGCCAUAAUAGAUAUUUGAGAAGGUGGUAGCAUUAAUUUUUAAUUAAUUUAAAAACUAAAAAAUAAUUAAAACUUUAAAACUUCAUCAAUUAACUAAUGAUGAAAAGAGGUACAAAAAUAUAUGUUUGUACUAAUACUUUAUCAUAAAGAAUUUGAAGGAGUACGUCACAUGAUCACAGUAUAUAUCAACUAAUUAUAAGUACAUCUUUUAAUGUUGAGUUGUAACUAUCAAUAAUUGUAAUGAGGAAAUAGAAAAAGGACAGUAAAUUACUAGUAGUGAUAAUGAAGGAAUCAAUAACAAUUACUUAGAAAUAGAAAAAGCCAAAAGAGAGGGAAAAAUAAGUUAGGCAUUAUAUUAAAAUGUAAAAGUAAAUAAUAACUAUCUGAACCAAAAGAGAUGUUUUUUAUAUAAAUUUAAAGAGGUUAUAUAAAGGUUAUAUAAAUACAUAAAUAUAAAUUUAUGGUCUUAUAUGUUAUUUGUCUUCUUCUUUUCUUUUCAAAGCAAAAAAUUGUGAAUAAUAUUUUGAUUUCUUUUAAUUUUUUUCACUCAAAUACUCUAUUUUACUAUUAUUAUUUUUCUAAUUCAAUGUUUGAACAACAAGGGUGUUUUACCAAAACAAAAGGGGGGUGUUGAAAAUGUUUCUUUUUUUUUUUUCUUAAAAAAAAGAUAGCCAAUAAGCUAAGUGUUAAAGUUAUGAGUUAGGCAUAUUAAUUUUUUUUUUUUUUUUUACUUUUAGCUUAUUUUUAUAUUUUUUAACCUAAAAGUAAAUGUUUAGAAAUAUUUUUUUCUUCAAAAACCAAAAAAUAAUAACAAAAAAGGAGCUUUAAAGCAAAAACACGUAAAAUUAAUUAAUUAAAAACUUCUCAAAGUUCUUGAAAUUAUUAAAUUUUCGUUCUUUAAAAUGCUUCUAUCAAUAGUUUUUAACCUCAAUAUCGAAUUUAGGAAUUAAGAAGGAACUAACAUGCAAAAAACAUAACAUCAAGCACAUAAUGUUCAUUUUAGAAUGUUGCAAAAAUAUCACAAUAAAAAUUUACAAAAUCUAAUCAUAACUCAACAUAAUGAAAUAUGUAUGUACAAUUAUAGUCAUAUCAAAGAAAAAAAUAAAUAGAAGAAGGUCAAUUCUCUUUAUCAAUAUUUUAAUUUGUCUUAUCUAUUAUCCCAUUCUUGUUGUCAUUAUGUUUAUAAAAUACAAUUUUAAUUUAAGAAAUAAGAGAAAAAAGUAUCACAAUGAAAAUUUAUAAAAUCUAAUUAAAAUUUAAUAUAAUGAAAUAUGUGUGUACAGCUAUUAUCAUAUGAAAGAAAAAAUAAAUAAACGAAAGUCAUUUCUCUUUCUUAACAUUCCAAUUUGUCUUAUCUAUCAUCUUAUUCUUGUCAUCGUUACAUUUCUAAAACACAAUUUUAAAAAAUAAGAGAAAAAAGUAUUUUUUAAAUUCAUCAAUAAAGCGCAUACAUGAAUAAUAGAGAAGAAGAAGGGCUCGAAAAUUAAAUAGAUGAAAUUACUACAGUAAUAAUUUUAUUAUAAAAUUGUACAUCAUUUUUUUUUCUGAAUUUGGUUGAUUUUCUCUCCUUUUAUAUCUUGUUCAGCUUCUUCUUCAUCCCUACAAGAGCAAAUUAAGAAUAUACUUCUACUAAAUUGUUAGUUACUCUAAAAAUCUUAAACAAAAUUUUUAACUUUAAACACCUAAAAUAAGAUUUUAUAAUUUUUAAGUAACCAAAAUUGACGUAAAGAAAUUAAAAGAAUAGUCUUACACUUUAAGUGAUCAUAAUUUGAUUGGUAAUUUAACACUUUAAUUUUGUUGGUCUUGAGUUUGUCUAAUGCAAUUUAAUUUUAAAAAUGCCUCAAAAUUGACUCACAAAAAAUAAAAAAUAUCACAAAAAUUAAAAUAAAAAGAUUAUAAUUUACAAAAUCAAAAGAAAUAUCCCUAUCCAUAGAUUUUUUACGGCUUUACCAAUCAUAGUUCUUCACGUAAAAAAAAUCAUAUGAUGUGAUGAUUAACAUGUUUUCCUCACCCUUAUGUAUGCUAUUGUAAUGAAGAAGAGAUAAAAUAACCUUGAAUGAGAAUUUUCAUAAAAUAAAAUAUAAAUUUAUAUAGGCAAAGUGGAGGAAUACAAUAAGGUAUUCAUAAAUUUAUAAAUUAAAUUUUGGGGGGUUAUGAACACUAAAAAAUAAGAGUUAUGAAUAUUAUUAAGAGCAUAAUAAUAGAGAAUGCAAUGAACAUGGACGGAUUUUUUUAUAACUCAUAAGAUAUAAUUUUAAUAAAGUAAUUUUAGUUUCUAGUAAAACAUUUUAAAGAAAACAUAAGAAAGAAAAAUCUUAAAAUUUUAGAAAAAGCGAUAAAUAGGUUUUCUUGCAUCUAAGAGAUGUCAUAUCAACAUAUUACUUUAUAGAUUCUUCAAUCUUUUUUGAAUAAUAUUUUUGUUGAGUCGAGAUUCUAUCAAAACAAUAUUUUUACGCCUCUGAAAAUCUAUAAGGUUUGUAAAUAUUUAUCCUCCCCAAAUAUAUUUCAUUUUUGAGGUUAGACUGCAUUAUCGUUGUUUUACUUUUCUGCAGUCCUUAGCCACCACGUCACUUCAUAAUUGGAAAUGAAUUGAAAGUUUAAAAGUUAAUUACCAAACGUACACUACAAUUUUAGGAUAGGUAUGCUACAUAAUUUAGGCAUGGGCUAAAAAUUGAAAAAAAAAAAAAAAAGUUAAAAUUGACUUGGCUGAGCUAGUUGUAUUUUUGAGACAAUUAAAAUCUUCAACCCAAUAAUUUAUGUUAAGUUUAAUAAUACUAAAAAUUACACAAAUACCUAACUUAUGUUUUCAAUAUUAUAAAAACUCUCAACUCCCUAAGUAUAUUACAAAAAUCCCAACAUAUACAUAGAAUGCUAUGUAUAUAUCGGCUACAUUAUAUAUAUUAAUAGGUAGAAAAAAUAAAUUAAUUAAAAAAAAUGAAAAAAGAUAUAAUUACUUUAAAAAAGAUUGAUAUUUAUGUUAUUUAUACAUAAUAAUAUGCAUACCGUAGACUUGAGCAGUUUGGAAUUAAAUGUUAUAUAGUGGUAUUGAGGAAAAAAACAACAAACUAAACUGUUACACCAAAACAUGCCACUGUUUCAUGAUUAGAUUGAUAAAUAAUACUUAGUAUUUUAACUGAUAAUGACUAAUAUUAAAAAAUGCAUGUCAUGUUUAUUGAUUUGUUGCUUGACUUUAUGAUAUGAUUAAAAAGAGAUUGUCACUUGGUUAAAUUACAUUAGGCUAAGAUAAGUGUAAAUUCUAAGCAAAUAUACUUUCUUCCCAUAAACAAUAAGAUAUUUAUAUUUAAAUUAACUUUGAUCUUAUAAAACUGAUAAUAAUGUCUAGCAUAACCACGUACUAAACUGCUUAGUCCUGACUAAUUAUUCCACAAAUCUGACUGUCACAAUUAAAAGAGAAAGGCAUCCAAUGCAACUAACUUUAUUAUUAUUCCACUUUUAUUUUUUCCAACGGACCUCAUACGUUUCUUAAGAAAUAAUAAAUGAAAUAUAUUUUUUAUCGUGAUAUCCAUAGUUAUUACUGCAUAGUUUAAAUGAACUUGAGAAAUAAUUUGUGAAGAGUAACCGAUUCUAAGAGUAAAAAUAAAAAGAAUUUUUUUUUCUAUAUACAUAAGAAUGGACAAGUAAAAAUAAUAAUUUAUUUUAAAAUGUAUUCCAUAUUUUCAUUGUAUAUUUCCAGUGAAAAACAAGUCACAGUUAGAAUAAAGUUAAAACUUCGAAUUAUUGCCAUUUGAUGUACUAAUUGGUAAAAUAUUGUCAACUUAUCAGACCAAAACGAAAUAUUCUGUCCGUUUCAGAUUUUAUAAAAAUAUAAGAAUGACUUUUAAAAUAUAAGGGCAUCUCAUUUGAGAAAAAAAAUAUUAAAGAUUAAAAAUAUGCAAAUUCUUCUACUAGAAAAAACAUUUUUUUUUUGUUUUAAAUUUACUUUUUUUAAUUUUAUUUUUAUUUUUUAAAACUUCUUAGGAUCAAGGAAAAAAAGAAGAAGAAUAUAAGUAUCUAAAGACGAAUUUAAUAAUGAAUGUAAAAAUUGUCUAAUAUUUAUUCUAGGUUGUUAUUUAAUUUUCACGUCAUCUUAUCCCUUAGUAGUACGUCAAAAUAACUUUCACAUAAAUAUUGAGUAUUAAUAAGCGUUCCUCUAUUCUAGAUGUGACAUAAUUAAUUUUAUUAUUUGUUUUUUAAAAAAAUGACAUAUUUCAAUAUUUUAAAAAGUUAAUUAUAAAUUAUUAACUCUAUUUUAUCAGAAGUUUUUAUAGUUCCACAAAAUACUACAAUCAAACGCGAAUUCAUUCUUGUUUAUGUGGUUAACUAUGAUAUUUCUUCGUUGAAAAUUAUAUCUAUAUAUGAAUAUAUUAUUUUUUUCAAUGCACAUAUACUGUAUAUUAAAUUUCUUCAUUUCUUUGUAUAUUUAUACUUUCUUGAAUUUUAACAUUCAUGAAAAUUUUAGUUCUGCUACUAAUUACAAAUAUUUAAGACCAUAUAGUUUUAAAAACUUUCAACUAUUAUAUAAGUAGUAGUAAUAAUAUAUCUCACUUUUACUUUCUCUAUUCAUUUUCACUUAUUAACUAUAAAAUAGAGUUUAAUAAUAUUUGCCUAGUUUGAGCAAUGAAUGAAUAAUUUAUCAUUUUGUGUCAAUUUUAUUAUUGUUAUUGAAUGUCAUUCAUAAUCUAAUAUAUUUUUUAAAGUGUUAAAUCUAUUAUAUUCAAAAUAUGCUAGAGUACAAUUAUCUCUGCCAUUUUUUUUUAAAGAUGUAUAUUAGAUUAAUAGUGAAUAAAUAAAAAUAAAUGAUUACAGUAUUUAAAAUCUGAUUCCUAAUAAAGCUAUAUCACAUAAAUUAUACUAAUAUACAAAAUAUAUUUUGUUGGGGCUAUUUAAACUAUAUAAGUAUUUAUGAGUUAGCCACUUAUACAGUGGAGUACUAUUUACAUUUACACUUGGUCAAAGCACGUACUGAUUUUCUGGCUUAUACAAUAUGCUUAAUUACGGCAACUCUAUAGUGUUUUCUAUUCAUCCGAUAUUCGAUACUUAUAUUGAAACUUUGAUUAAUUUAAAUUUCAUGUUGCAGGGCCCAUUAAGAGAAUAACGUUUCCAACAAAAAUUUCUCCAUACUCAAAACUCAAACUCAAGACGUCUGAUUAAGGGUGAAGCAAUUUCAUCGCUACACCACAACCUAUAUCGGAGGCAACUAUAUAGUUGCUAUAGCGNNNNNNNNNNNNNNNNNNNNNNNNNNNNNNNNNNNNNNNNNNNNNNNNNNNNNNNNNNNNNNNNNNNNNNNNNNNNNNNNNNNNNNNNNNNNNNNNNNNNNNNNNNNNNNNNNNNNNNNNNNNNNNNNNNNNNNNNNNNNNNNNNNNNNNNNNNNNNNNNNNNNNNNNNNNNNNNNNNNNNNNNNNNNNNNNNNNNNNNNNNNNNNNNNNNNNNNNNNNNNNNNNNNNNNNNNNNNNNNNNNNNNNNNNNNNNNNNNNNNNNNNNNNNNNNNNNNNNNNNNNNNNNNNNNNNNNNNNNNNNNNNNNNNNNNNNNNNNNNNNNNNNNNNNNNNNNNNNNNNNNNNNNNNNNNNNNNNNNNNNNNNNNNNNNNNNNNNNNNNNNNNNNNNNNNNNNNNNNNNNNNNNNNNNNNNNNNNNNNNNNNNNNNNNNNNNNNNNNNNNNNNNNNNNNNNNNNNNNNNNNNNNNNNNNNNNNNNNNNNNNNNNNNNNNNNNNNNNNNNNNNNNNNNNNNNNNNNNNNNNNNNNNNNNNNNNNNNNNNNNNNNNNNNNNNNNNNNNNNNNNNNNNNNNNNCGGUUCAGAUUCAUUGUACCUAAUUUCCCGCUCUUACGUGGCAUAUCCUUUUACUACAUGUUCACUUAUUUCAACGCCACGUAGGACUAUCCUUUUAUAUUUAAUUAAAUAAAUUAAUCUCUUAAUUGGAUCUUGCUAUUGGCUACCCACUACUUUCUGAUCUUCACUCAUCACCUAUAAAUAUCUUUCUUUUCUUCUUUUUUAUCCUAAAUAAAACAAAAUUUGGGAAAUGAUAAUGUCACUGCCCACUCAAACUAGGUCCCCGUAAUCUGGGCAAAACUAGAAAUUUCCGAAUUGCAAUAUAUCUAUACAUCGUUUUCUAUGCAAUAUUAUUUUAUACAUGCCUAACAUAAUUUUUUGAUAAAGAAUAUUUGAGAUGUAUCAUUUUUGAAUCAAUACAGUUAUGGUGUUAUUGUAAUACAAGAUUAAAGUUAUUCAUAUUGGAUCUUUAUACGCUAAUACAUACGAAUGGAGUUAAUAGAGUCAGGAUAAUUUGUUUGAACUUCCUUGAAAAAUAUCAUUAUUUAUAUAUAAUUAAAAUUAUUAUUUAUAAUAAUAAAAUUAAAUUACAUUUGCUUCUUUGUGUAUUUACUUUUCUAUUUUAUAUUUUUAAAUAAAAUUUAUGAUUUCAUCAUUGUUGAUAUUGAUUUAAUGAAGUAAAAAUUCAUGUUAAGCAAUUAUGAUUAAUAUUGCUGCAACUGAUAAAAUUAUUAUGAUAUAAUUCAAAGAUCAGAAAUUCAAAUGGUGAAAUAAUCUCAUACAAAAAAUUGGGUAAAACUUGCCAUAAUAAAUUUCAAUGUGAAUAAUUUUUUUAUGUACGAACACGUGUUGGUCAAAUAUUCUCCGCUACUUUGAUUCACAGCCCUGUCACUUUAACUCCACCUCUCUCCUAUGGGAAAACCAUUGAUUAAGAAACUAUUGAGGCCACGUAGGAGUAGGAGGACCCACAUGAGAAAAUGGAUGGCCCACAUAACGUGGACCCCACCACUUUGCUUUUACAUUUAUUGUUUGUUUGUCGAUUGUGAGUGUUUUUUUUUAAUUGUUUAAAAAUUCGAUGUGUUAUGCCACGUGCGCAAACGAUGUGCUACGUCAUCUUUGCCUACGUGGCUUGCGCUAUGACCAUGUGCGAGUGAUAAAUAGAUUUAGCCAUCAACAACAUGGACCCCACCAAUGCUAGCUAGCUAGCUUAACGAGUAAUAUUUGCAUUAUUUUCAUGUUAAGUGUUACCGUAAAUCUCAUUUUUAAGCUAAUUAAGAUUGUUUAAGUUAGUUUUUUUAGUCAAAAUCAUUUUAUUCUGAAUUGCUUCGAUUUUGUCCACUCUCCCCUUUCCUUUUCUUAAUGGAUAUUACCUAUCGUAUUUGCUAUCUAUAAUAAGUGGGAUAAGCAACACGUCUUCGACAUUACUAUUUGUGCUGUAUAUUUCAACUGCUUUAAUUAAAAUUUUAUUAUAUAAUUUCUAAUAAAUUAGUAUAGAUUAUUUAAGUAUUAAAAUUUAUAAUAUUUAAUAAAAAAUAUAGAAUAAAUAUAAAAUAAUAAAUUAAUAUUUGAUUUUUUAAAUUAAUUGAUGUCUUAUAUGAGAUUCAUUUAUAUUUUUUCACAAGUAUUUUUUAUAGUAAUUUUAUUAUAUUACUUUUAAUUAGUUGUUAUAAGUCACUUAAGACAUGUCUUCUUUACUGCUUUAAUCGUGAUUUUAUUAUAUCAAUCCUAAUUAAUUACUACAAGUUAUUUAAGUAUUCAAAAUUUAUAAUAUUUAAUAAAAAAUAUAAAAUAGACAUAAAAUAAUAAAUUAAUAUUUAAUUUUUUAAAUUAACUUGAUGUCUUAUAUGAGGCUCAUUUAUAUUUUUUUACAAGUAUUUUUUAUAGUAAUUUUAUUAUAUCACUUCUAAUUAGUUGUUAUAGGUUAUUUAAGAUAUGUCUUCUUCAGUCGUGAUUUUAUUAUAUGACCCCUAAUUAAUUAUUAUGGUCGCAUUAGAACAUUAAUAAUAUUUCAUAAAUGGACACAAAAUGAUAUAUGUUGACUUUCGAAAUUAUAUCAGUGUCACUUAAAUUGGAAUAGAAGAAAAAGUACUAUAAAUCAUAAUAAAACAUUUGAUUGACUAUCGAAAUUAUAUUAGUGCCACAUAGAUUGGCUUUCGAAAUUAUAUCAGUGUCACUUAAAUUGGAAUAGAAGAAAAAGUACUAUAAAUCAUAAUAAAACAUUUGAUUGACUAUCGAAAUUAUAUUAGUGCCACAUAGAUUGGCUUUCGAAAUUAUAUCAGUAUCACUUAAAUUAGAAUAGAAUAAAAAAUAUUAUAAAUCACAAUAAUUAAAAAUUAAAAUUACUUUAAAAAAUAAUUAUCUAAAUUAUAUUUGUGUCACAUAAAUUGAGAUAAAAAAAAUAACACAUAGCACAACCCCUUCAAUGUCUAGUGUGUAUAGAAGAUUGAAGAAAAUUAUUUCAUAACUAGUGCUGUAGAAUUAAUUCAUUUUACCUUUUUUAAUCAGACCAAAACUAGUGAAACUAUUUUUAUUAUUAUAUUAGUAAUAAUUUAAUUACUAUAAUUUUUAAAUUAUUUUUAAUGAGAUGAUUAAUUAGUCAUACAAAUAUUUCUAAUAUAUUUUAGAUCAUAAAUUUUAAAAUUCUAUCUUUUAUCCGAAAACUUCAAUUUCUUUUGAAAAAAUUUAAUUCUAAAACUUAAUACCCAAUCAAAUAUCAUCAUAACCUAAGACGGAUGGAAUAAUAAUUUGGAUAGAAAAUUUAUUUUAUAAAAAAAAUGUGUAUUUUAUUUAUUAAUCUUCAAUAUUACAUUUUAUCAACCACGUUUGGCAAGGACCAUAUAAUGAAAAUAAUACUUCCGUUGAGCCAUAAAAAUUAAAAUCGAUCUCAUAAGAUAUCGAUCAUGAGUGUUUAAUAUCACGAAAAAUUAUUAUGAAUUAGUUAGCAUUGAUCGUAAAUGAUAAGAUUGGUUCCAUAGAUUUACUUUUCAUAUAAGUAUUUUAUUAUGUUAUGUCAUUUACUACUAUAAUGUUAACAUCAUUAUAGAAUAUGCCAUCUUGAAAUUCUAAAUGUGAGAACUUUGGCUUUGAUUAACACAAACUUUAUUUAGCUAAUUAAUAAAUCACGUAAUGAUUUGUUUCAUAUUGCUCCUAGAAUAUGUAAAUUUUUAUUAUAAAUAUAAUAAUGUAGUUGUGACAUGGCUGGCAAGCAAGUUGUUUGUGGGUCUAUGUAGGCUUCUUCUUUAAUUUUCUCAGUCUUUGCAAUAAAAUAAAACAAUAUGAAUUUAAUAUUGGCAAUUAAUUUUUUAUUACAUAGUUUAUUAUGAAUGGGCUCCAUAUACAACAAAGGAGUCAUUUUCUUCAAGAACUUCCUAUCUUACUCUUGAUGGGGCAUUAUUCUUUUUUAAAGUGUUGGAGAUGAAAGUAAAAAGGUUUUAAAUAGUCGCCCUUUUUUACUUUCUAAGUGAAGCAUUAAAAGUGCAAUAACAUAUACUUUCCCACUAUUACCAAGAGUACUUAUGAAGUGACUAUAAGCAAAAUAAUGGUUUGUGGUGUAGCGGUGGAUUUACUUUAUUUUUAAUUAAAGGUUUCGGUUUGAAUCUUGGAUAUGAAUUUUUUUUUAUUGGGAACGCCACUUUUAGCAUGAGCCCUAUAGUGCACGAUCCGAAUUAAUUGGGGCUCCAAUAAAAAUAUCGAAUACCGCAUGGAAAAAAAAAAUGCAUUUCAAGGACAAUUUUAUUUUGUAGAUAAUCAACUAGACAAUAAAUUCAAACAUGUAACAUUUAUAACAUCAAUAUUGCUAUAAUAUAAUGAGGAUCAAACAUGAUAUUAAGAUGCUUUUAUAUUAUACCAAAAUGUCAAUAAGAGAACUAUCACACACCAAAUGAUAUGAAAAUAACUUUUAUAUAAGACUAAAUAGUAAAGCUAGCUGCAAUUAAUUAAAUUUCGAUGUCUCAUUAAUAUUUUAUCGAGUUGAAUUUUAUCGCUAAACUAAAUUCACCAAGUACGUAAAGUCCUUGAGUCAAUAUGCAACUAUCACACUUAUGAUUAAACUCGUGUUUAUGAAAAUUAUUAAAUUGAGAACGUCUACAAUAUAUAAAAAGAUCAAUAAUGUAAACUUAUUUUUGAUUCAAUUAUCGUUUGAAUCUUGGUAGAAAAAAUAAAUACAUUUACUUUUUGAAAUAUUUAAGACUGAGAGAGGGUGGAAAAGUGCUUUUAGGGUUUUCAUAAAGAGAAAACAAACCAUCCACUUUAUUCCUUAAGCAAUUUGUAUUUCCUUUAAAGGAUUUAAAAAAAAGUUUACCACAUCUAAAAGGCCAAAAGAAAUAAAAUAUCGACAUCAUCAUUGAUUGAUGUCUCCUAAAAUUUAACGUCAUGAAUUGCCCUUAAUUCUUGUUAUUUAUAAAAAUAAUAUAUAUAUAUGAGUAUUGAGAUUCAAUUAAAUUUACAUUUACACAUUAAAUCUAUUUUUAAAGACAACACUCCUAAGUCCUAAUAGAAUAUUUUCCAAAUUUUAGUAAUUCAAAUAAAAAAUCUUCAAUUAUAAAUAAAUAAAUCUUGAAUGAUUCUACCACAACUCGUAUUGAUAAUACUUAUAUUUAGGAUAAAAAUGACCAUAUAUAAAAGUACAAAAAGGUCCACAAAGUGCGACAAGCGUGUAAUAUGAUACCCUGACUUUACAAGUACUUUAUUUUAAUUAAUUGUUUAAUAUACGUUUUAGUUGGCAUUAUUUUAAGUGUAUAAUAAAAAAAGUUUUUGUGAUCUUAUCUAUGUGAGAUGUAUUACUAUUUCAUAUAUGUAUAAUAAUACAAUAUAUAAUUAAUUAUUUUAUUAAUUAAAAGUGGAAGUACUUGUUUCGUGGCCUAGUGUAGGGCCUAUCUAAGCUUUCAUUUGGGGCAAUAUAAAUAUUGUAAUGAAUAAAAUAAGUUCAAGAUGACAACAACGAAUUUUCUAUUCAUUAAAAUAUUGGGUACAAUAAAAUAAUCAUAUUUAUGUCCUUGUUAUUCCAAUUUAGCACAAAAAAUGCAGCAUUAUUUUGACCUAACCUAACCAUAACAAAUAGUAUUAUAUUUUUUAAGAAUAAUUAAUAUUAUGUGUAUAUAUUACACUAUAGUUUUAUGUGCACAUAUAAUAUAAUAUUAUAUAUUAUAUUAUUAUUUUGGUAGAGGCACACGACAAGUUGGGUCAUGCUCGGUGGUUUAUUUUGUCAAGAAAGAUACAUGAUUAUGUUUGGGAGAUGAAAUAAAUAAUAUUUUUUUAAAAGAGAAAGAUCCAUCUAGACUUCUUUUUUUAAAUUUUAAUUUUUUUAAUUUUAUUUUAUAUAUUUUAUUAGGACAAAAGAAUCAAUCAAAAACCCAAAAUCUGCAAAUGUGUUGAUGACUUUUGAUAGGCCACGUUGAAACUUUGGUAUGGACUUUAUUAUAUACAACAUUAUUCUCCAAUUUAUUACUUGCUCUCUCUGCCUCUCUAUUUUUCUUUAUUGUAAUGUAAGAUGACUCAUUAAUUAUACUUGCUUAAGAAAGUUUGAAGAUCAAGAGAUACAAAUAAUAGAUGUGGUCAUGUAUGUCAAGAAUUCAAAAUCAAUGUGUUUGAAUAUUUAAGUUGUAUCUUUAACUGUGUAGGAAAAAAGUUACACAUUAUUUUAAUUGGUUAUAGCAAAUUUAUUUAUUUUUUGAUUUCUAAUCAUGUAUUAGCUAUUCUUAUUGAGGUUUUGAUAAAUUCUGAUUUACGUCGUAUAAGAGCUCUGAAAAAGUGAUCUCGAUUAGAAUCCUUAGUAAUGGUUACACUAAAAAUAACAUAUUCAGUAUAAUUUUACAAUUAGGUUUUGGAGAGAGUGAUGUGUAUGUAGUAUUACCUCUGUCGGAAAAGGUAGGAAGACUUUCCAGUAGACCUUCGGUUAAAGUAAAAUAUAUCAAAAUUCAAGUAUGUAAACCAAAUACGGUAGUGCCGAAGUCACACUAAAAACAAUGGAGAAGAGAACAAUAAUAAUAACAAAUGCUAAUAUGAUAAUCGAAGCCAAGGUGACAAAAAAAUCAAAGAAUAAGAAAGUAGGAGAAUAACAAAAAUAAUAUCGAUAAGCAAAUUAGACAAUACUAAACUACCUAUUAAUUUUCUUUCUUAAUCCUCGACAUUCAUAUAUUUCUAUUUGGGAUUAUGUUUUUAUUAAGGUGCACUUAUCAAGGAUUACUUUAUGUUAUAAGGUAAUUUAACUUGAUGGUGUGAAAAAUUUAUACACUAUUAAUUAGCAAACAUGCAAACGUUGUUUUGUAUUCAUUGAAAAUUAGACAUCUCUUUUACAUAAUUGGAAAAGCAAAGUUUGAAGGGGAAUAUUAAUCAGCUCAUUAGGUAAAAGUUGAGACAUUAUAAUAUUAAAAUUAUUAUGUCUCUUUCGAUGUCGUUUAAUAAUAUUAUAAUAGCGAAAAUUUACCUAUUAGCCUAUUAUUUUAUUCUCCAUGGUUUCGUCAUGAUAUACUUGGUAUUCAACUUUCUUUUGAAUUGGCAAAAGACAAUGAUUAAUGUUUAAAUAAUAAUAUACCAUUAUCUUUUUUUUUUUUUUUAAAAAAUUAUUGUAUAAAUAUUGUACAUCUAUAUAAUUUUUUUUAUCUGGUAUAACAAGAAGGAAUUAAAACGAUGUAGAGAAGGGUCUAUGUUGGCCCCAAUUUUUUUUAAAAAAAAUGUUGGCCCCCUAUUAGUAACCCUACAUAAUUAAAUUAUUUGUGUGUUAGUUAUUUGUCCAUUAAAUUUAUAAUUCAAAUAUUUCAAUAUCUAAAGUCUUCCAUGAUAAGAAAUCUUUCAAUACUGCAUCUAAUUUUGUUUCUAAUUAACUACUCCCUUGGUCAGAGGUGGCCCAAUUAAAUUGGCUAUUAUGUUUGACCUAAACUUAGGCACUUAUUUAAUCAUGAUAAAAAUAUUAUCAACUCAUUAGAUUUUGGUUAAACAAGAAUUAGUAAUUUAAGAUUGAUUCGAAACAAAUUUCAAAAGUUUGCAUUAUCCAGAAAACCUCAACUUGAAUUCAAAAUUUUGUUUGGAUGAGCUUAAAACCCAAAAAUGACCAUCAUGGUCCAACUUUGGAUAGCUAACCCAAUUGGAGGCCCAAAUAAUUCAAGGACUUUUGGGCCUUGAAGCCACUUUGUGUGAUAGCCAAUUUCCUUUGAUGUCUGGACCUAAGAACUGAUAUAGGCCCAGCCAAAGAUGAGUAUUAUAAAGGACAAACAACACAAAUCCCGACAGUUCCGAGUUUAAUUACAGAAAAUUUUGAUAUUUGCAUAGUUACUAAAUUUCGAUUUUGAAUCUUUUGAGAUAUAUAAUUAGCUCUCGAUACAUCCAAUGAAGAGACAUUUCUUCCUUUGUAAGAUACAUAAUUAGCUCCCGAUACAUUUUUUCAAUUUCGGAUCUGUGAAGAUACAUAAUUAACUCCCAAUACAUUCAAUGAAGAUAAAUAAUUAGUUGAAAUUUUUGUACUUACUUUAUAAGGAUAAAGAUCUGUAUAAAUAUGUUAAGUUAAGAUGGAUGUUUAUGUUAUUUUUCCUUAUAAGUGGGAUUACACAAAGGGCUAAUGUGUUUUUUUUUUUCUUUUUUUCUUGUGGCAAUCUAUUUGAUUUGGACUCGUUUAUGUUAGAUGAUGGAAUCAGGGAGGCACAUUCCACGUAUAGCUAAAGUUCAAGUAAAAACGACUAAACUACUAUCCUAUGUGUUUGAAGUAAGACAAGAAUGACUAAAUUUUAGUCAUAUAUGGUGGAAGUUGCAAGCAAAAAUGAUUGAUACACAUAUAUAUGACUAAAGUUCAGAUAAAAAUGGCUGCACGUCAAUCAUAUAUGAUGGACUCCAGCCAUAUAAAUCGUCAAAUUCAAUUAUAAACUUAGACUCUACAAAAACUAAUUUCAAAUUUAAACAACUGACACAAAUUAAAUGAAACAACGAAAUUGGCUAUCCGUGGACUCUGCCCCUUACGUUUAAAAAGGUACAGAAUUGACAAGAUUCAAUUAUACUCGACUCUACUUAGCUGUGCGUAUCGAUCGAUUUGAUUCGAUUUUGUGCAUUAUCGAUUUGGUUUAUCGAUUUUCAAUUUGUAAACAUGCUAAUCGAUAACCAAACAAAUAAGAUAUUCGUUAUCAAUUUUUGAUUAAUUAAUUUUUAUUUUUAUCGGUUUGUUUUUGGUUUAGACGAUAAGAAAAUACAUUCCUAAUAUUUCUUUACUUUUCGUUAUUUUCAUUUGUUCUUAUGUAUAAAAUCUACACAAAUUAAAAAAACACUACGACAACAAUUAUAAAGUACUAAAACAAUAAGAUAGGUAUAUAGAAUCUAAAGCCACUAUUAUAUAAUUGUGAAUAAAAAUAUAAUUUUAAUAUGGUUUUACUAAGUUACCGGUUUAACCAUUAACUAAAGGAACCUUAAAAUCGAAAAUCGAACGGAUAGCCCAAAAAAACAAUUUACAAAAUUGUUAACCCAAUAACCCAGUAUCGAUAAAUCAAUAACAUUUUUAUCGGCUUGAUGUAUCAGUUGAAUCGACUUUUGCACAUCCCUAACUCUACUAACAUCCUUUGGCUUAGUACUAAUCUUCCAAUUCACUUUUUUCUCUCUACGUGAGAGUUGAUUUCUCUCUGCAUGGUAGUGUUUUUCUCUUAGUGGGACUCUAAUUCUUCUCAUUUUGAUGCAGAUAUUCAUUCAACUUGCUAGAGAUAACUAUCCAAUAAUAAAUAACAUCCCAGUCUCAUGAUCUUCUACUUACACUUAACCACUUUUAGCCACUCAAAAAAUCCAAAAUACUCUCCUUGAAUCCUAAAACAACAUAAAACAUUCAAUUUUAUUGUUUUUUAAUAAUCAAAACCGACCAUCUUCGACAUUUUUCUUCAAAAAAAAAAAAAAAACUGUUAUUUCCUUUAUUAUUUUUCCUUACAUCUUCUCAACAAACUACAUAGGUGACUAUCAACUAUGGAGGAGGAAAUUAUGGAACGUCUACAAAACUUUAUUCUAACGAAAGACGAGAAAGAUGUGGUAGAGCUCGACUUUUUCGAUAUUAAAGCGAGUUUACAAGACUGUGAAGUAAGCAUCCUUGGCAAAAUUAUUGCAGAUAGAGAAAUCAACUUACAAGGUUUAGGAAACAUCAUACCAAGGGUGUGUGGAUAUCCCGUCAGGCUGAGAAUCAUAAAAGUAGAGAAGUAUUUCUUUCAGUUUGUUUUUACAAAUAAAAAAAAGUUAACAAAGUUUUAUUUGGUACCCUGUGACUAUUCGACAAAUACUUGCUAAAUGUGCAGGCAUGGGAACCAGGAUUAAAAAGCGAUUCAGUGGUCUUUAAUAUGUGUGAAUUGUGGUUUCAAGUGUGGAGCAUUCCUUUACAUUGGAUGUCACGAGAAGUGGGGCGAAAGAUUGGACACUCGCUAGGAGGAACAACAGAUAUUGUGAUUUUAGAAAACGGGAAUAGAGAGGGUAAACAUAUGCGGAUUAAGGCGAUGAUGAAUAUAAAUAAAGGACUGCCGAGGAAAAAGCUGAUUAAACUGGAUCACAAAAUAAAAUGGGUGAGGUUUAGAUAUGAAAAUUUGCCUUACGUUUGUUAUUACUUCAGGAUACUAGAACACAAUGAAAAAAUAUGCAGUAGAAGGGAAAAAGAUGUGCAUGUCGGAAACUUGAAAAAUAAUCAAUUUGAUGCAUGGAUGAGAGCGGAAUAUCAUAUAAUCAUCAAUGAAAAUUCACAACAGCAAGAAAGGAAUGAAGUUUUAAAUACUAGCGGACAAUAUCAUAUAAAAAAGUUGACAAGGAACAGGGAUGAAGGAAACAAUAAUAUGUUGCACCAACUAAUGGAGGGUAUUGCAUCCUCGGAGACACAUCCUGUAGUGAAGCAUGAUAGGGUGCAUAAUAUGGAUAUCCAAGAUUCAAAAGAAAAAUCAAUAACAACAAAUGAUGAUACAAACGAAAUAAAUCAAAAUCUGAACGCUGGGCAUAGCUCAUGGGAAAAUAAAGAGCAAACGAAAAAGCAAAAUAAACAAGGUACGGAGGUAAAUGAUCAAGUUAAUGACACAAUGGUCAUAGACCUGCAUAUCCAAAUCAAUAAGGAGAUGGAAAAAAUACAACAAGAUCGGGAGGAGAAAGAAUUGGUCUUUGCGGAUACAAGCAUCAUAAGAGCAGAAAAAAAGUUAUAUAUAUAAUCGAAAAUGGGAUUCCGUGACACGAUAGAUGAAGGAGCCUUUGAGGAAUAAUUUCAGAGAGUUGCAAAAGGAAAAAUUAAAGUAAUCCAAGUAGCCGGUAACAAGGAGAAACAACUAGCAAUGUCCUAAUCCAAGUCGAAAAUGACGAAUUUGUAGGUAUUAAAGCUUAACGAUACUACUUCUAUUAUGAUACCAACAUUAGUAAAUGUUUCAGUUGAGGUAAUUAAUGGAGAAAAAGAUAAAGAAAUAGCUGCACAAGUGCAAAAAAGUACUACUCCUAAGGAAAAAAAAGAAUUGGAGAAGGCUAGAUAGAGGAACAGAAGGACAGGUUCUAAGAAUAAUAACAUAACGGCAAGCUCAAAAAAUAAUUUAUUUGAGGUGAUAGUGAUUAUUUAUGUACCAAAAAUCUGGGCAAUAAAAGAGAAGAAAAAAAAAUAGUGAAAUGUUAGACGCAAAAGCUAAGAAGCUAAAAAUAGUGGUGGAAUGGGAGGCCAGCCCGAAAUGACUCCUUCUUCUAAAUGAAGACGAUAGUGUGAAACUAUUGAGGGCUGGGGGAUCCUUGACGGUUCCUUUUUGAAGGAGACAAUACCUCUUCACUCUCCGAGUAUGAUGUUUUUAAGCGAGAGUAAGAAUCAAGAAAACAUGAUGUGAAGAGUUCAGAGACAGUUGAAUAUGCCACAUGCAAUUAUUAUGGAUCCGAUUGAACUAGCAGGAGGGCUAAACUUAUUUUGAAAUGAUGAAAUUCAGGUAUAUCAAUACCAAUCUACCUUCUUUUACAUUGAAACAUAUGUUCAUGAUAUUACUGUGACUAGUAAAUGUUGGUAUGUGUUUGUAUACUUCAGUACUGACAAAAGCUAUUCACAGAAAUCAACUACAAGAACUUUGAGGCAAAUAUAAUAGUUGGGGACCAGUGUGGGUUAUGGCUGGCGAUUUUAAUGACAUUAGGGAUAACUCUAAAAAAAUAGAAGGUAGAGUUCGAGAGAAGUCUUCCUUUACAGUCUUUAAAAACUUCUUAUAGGAGAUCAGAGUUAUAGACUUCGGAUUUAAUGGAAAAUCCUGAUCUUGAUGGUGUUUUAGAGAAAACGAUGGGAUAAUUCAAGGACUUGAUAGAGCUUUAAGUUUUCUUGACUAGAGACUUGAAUUUAAUCAAGCUAAAAUCACCUAUUUAUAAAUGGAGGCCUCUGAUCACUCGACUUUUCUUAUAAACUCUGAACCUAGCUCUAUAAAAAAGAAAAAAAAAGGAUUUUUUUCUAUAAGGUGGAGCGAAGAAGAAGAAG